UGUUUAAACAAAAGUCACGAAAAAUCUUUUGAAAACUGUUCCAUACGCGAAACUUUUAUCUUUAUAAAAGCUAGCCACGAGGGAUAGAAAAUCUUUAUUUUACCAAAUCCAGAAAUCCUUUAUUACAUUCAUGAGAGUCCACAUAUUCCAAUGUAAUAAAAACACUGAACCUAUAAACUGACUAAGCUAUAACAACAGAAUAGUAGGGAUAAAACUAAACCGUACCUGGGUCGGAGCUCUAUCGACGCUACGAACGUACCUCACGUCUCGUCCAAAACUCAACGUCUGCAAUACCUGAAAAAUAGUGGGGGAGGUGAGAAAUGUAAAACAUGUCUCCCCUCCCAUGUGGGUACGCAAGCCGAAGAAGGCGAGAAGUACUCACCGGAUCAGGAAGAGAUAAACAACAGUAUGGGUAAGUAAAAUACAGUAGCAACGAUAAUGAACGAAUGAGAUAUAUUAUAUGAAAGCACAACUACCACUACUGUAAUGUACAACUGCAAGAUACAAGGAUAUCAAAACUAUAGUAGCAAGACAACUGUAAAGAAAGAACUAGAAGUAUAUAUAUCAACAACGCUACUAUAGCUAUAUGCCGUCAACCCGGACGAGAAGUCCAAACGUACCCAAUCUAAACCGCCGUGUCGGUCUAAGGACCUCAGGUAAAAGCACUCCUGCUCACACCUGGCAUGUACCCUAGCACAAAGAGAACACCGCUGGGCUCACGGGUCGGAUGUACGACCACUUUUCCGGAAAAGAACACCCUCCCUGCGGGGGAUCAACCCGCUGGUGUAUGUGAAUGCACUCGAGCUGUGGCGAUCAAUGCGGAUAUGAUCAAUAGCCAACCGGUUGGCGAUCAGCCGACAAUCACUGCCUCUGGGCAUACGACCGUGUAGGUCAUCAAGUAACAACGUGAACCGACCGAGAUAGGUCAAUGUACGGAAAGUAACGAACGACCAAGCAGGUCACCGAUGCAAAUAGGAGAACCGACCAACCAGGUCACAAAGUAUAGUAUAUGCGAAUGCCAUCUACUCUACCCCUAUACAGGAUACUACACAUAGAACACCAGGCAGAGUAAAUAAAGAUAGUAUGUAGAUACUGCUCGAUGUCACUAAAAGUACGAACGCAAGAACCGACCGAUAGUCACAGGAGUGUAUUCGAUAUAGUCCAGAACUACCGUCAGCACCAGCGCGACAAUCCUACCCCUCAGGGUACACCGACCUCAAGGUCAUCGACGACGGGACUCAUGAAGCUGACUGACUAGGUCACAAACAUACCAAACAGUGGAACUGAGUAAAACUAUAUAAUCCGUCGGCGUUGGCCGACAAUCCCACCCCUUAGAGUAUACCGACCUCAAGGGUCAUCGAACGAAGUACGAGAACCAACCAACCAGUCAACGAAUACUGAAUGCAACAACAGACCAACUAGGUCAACAGAUACGAAAUGCAACAACCAACCAACUAGAUCAACAGAUAUGCAUAUAAAGAGAACUGCUCUACUCCUACUCGUAUACAAAGCAUACAAACAGCGAGUAGUGUUUAACGAAUAAACAAGGUGCAAGGCUCAAUAUACUAUGGAUAGUAACAACAGAAGAGUAAGGUAAGAAACCAUCACCUUAGCGUGCACCACUGUACGACGUCGGAUCGAAGUACCCACCUGUAUAAAGCUGAAACGGUUCGCGAAGGCGAGAGAGAAGCGACCGAGACAUACGAAGGGUCACCGGGUUAGAGUCUAACCUACAAACACAAUAACACGACCCUUCUCACACAAAAUCCCAAAAUCAUAACCCCUCGGAAUCGGUUUUCUCAACCGCAACUACCGAACCAGCCGGAAGUCCCGGAAACCGUACCGAAACUCCACCAUCGUCACGUCCAGCCGUCGUUUCCGAACCCUCGAGAAGACGCGGGUGACCAGCCAACAAGGCUCAGCGACGCUGCAAUGAACCACGAGGCACCGUCGGAUGAAUUUUGAGUCGAAAACGCGUUCUAUCGGCGGAUUUCGUCGAAAAACGCUCCGGAAAUGACGAUUGAUUUCCGCAAGGGCUUGGGCUUUGGACGAUCAGAUCUCAUCUCAACAACAANNNNNNNNNNNNNNNNNNNNNNNNNACCCAUAUUCCAAUGUAAUAAAAACACUGAACCAUAUAAACUGACUAAGCUAUAACAACAGAAUAGUAGGGAUAAAACUAAACCGAUAACCUGGUCGGAAGCUCUAUCGACGCUACGAACGUACCUCACGUCUCGUCCAAAACUCAAACGUCUUGCAAUACCUGAAAAAAGUGGGGGAGGUGAGAACAUGUAAACAUGUCUCCCCUCCCAUGUGACGGUACCAAGCCGAAGAAGGCGAGAAGUACUCACCGGAUCAGGAAGAGAUAAACAACAGUAUGGGUAAGUAAAAUACAGUAGCAACGAUAAUGAACGAAUGAGAUAUAUAUUAUGAAAGCACAACUACCACUACUGUAAUGUACAACUGCAAGAUACAAGGAUAUCAAAACUAUAGUAGCAAGACAACUGUAAAGAAAGAACUAGAAGUAUAUAUACAACAAUCGCUACUAUAGCUAUAUGCGUCACACGGACGAGAAUCCAAACGUACCCAAUCUAAACCGCCGUGUCGGUCUAAGGACCUCAGGUAAAAGCCACUACCUGCUCACACCUGGCAUGUAACCCUAGCACAAAGAGAACACCGCUGGGCUCACGGUCGGAUGUACGACCACUUUUCCGGAAAAGAACACCCUCCUGCGGGGGAUCAACCCGCUGGUGUAGUGAAAUGCACUCGAGCUGUGGCGAUCAAUGCGGAUAUGAUCAAUAGCCAACCGUUGGCGAUCAGCCGACAAUCACUGCCCCUCUGGGCAUACGACCGUGUAGGUCAUCAAGUAACAACGUGAACCGACCGAGAUAGGUCAAUGUACGGAAAGUAACGAACGACCAAGCACGGUCACCGAUGCAAAUAGGAGAACCGACCAACCAGUCAAAGUAUAGUAUAUGCGAAUGCCAUCUACUCUACCCCUAUACAGGAUACUACACACUAAGAACAACCAGGCAGAGUAAAUAAAGAUAGUAUGUAGAUACUGCUCGAUGUCAACUAAAAGUACGAACGCAAGAACGACCGAUAGUCACAGGAGUGUAUUCGAUAUAGUCCAGAACUACCGUCAGCACCAGCCGACAAUCCUACCCUCAGGGUACACCGACCUCAAGGUCAUCGACGACGGGACUCAUGAAGCUGACUGACUAGGUCACAAACAUACCAAACAGUGGAACUGAGUAAACUAUAAUAAUCCGUCGGCGUUGGCCGACAAUCCCACCCCUUAGAGUAUACCGACCUCAAGGGUCAUCGAACGAAGUACGAGAACCAACCAACCAGGUCAACGAAUACUGAAUGCAACAACAGACCAACUAGGUCAACAGAUACGAAAUGCAACAACCAACCAACUAGAUCAACAGAUAUGCUAUAAAGAGAACUGCUCUACUCCUACUCGGAAUACAAAGCAUACAAACAGCGAGUAGUGUUUAACGAAUAAACAAGGUGCAAGGCUCAAUAUACUAUGGAUAGUAACAACAGAAGAGUAAGGUAAGAAACCAUCACCUAGCGUGCCACACUGUACGACGUCGGAUCGAAGUACCCACCUGUAUAAAGCUGAAACGGUCUCGCGAAGGCGAGAACGAAGCGACCGGACAUACGAAGGGUCACCGGGUUAGAGUCUAACCUACAAACACAAUAACACGACCUUCUCACACAAAUCCCAAAAUCAUAACCCCUCGGAAAUCGGUUUCUAAACGCAACUACCGAACCAGCCGGAAGUCCCGCGAAACCGUACCGAAACUCACCAUCGCAUCACGCCGUCGUUUCCGAACCUCCGAGAAGACGCGGGUGACCAGCCAACAAGGCUCAGCGACGCGUGCAAUGAACCACGAGGCACCGUCGGAUGAAUUUUGAGUCGAAAACGCGUUCUAUCGGCGGAUUUCGUCGAAAAAACGCUCCGGAAAUGACGAUUGAUUUCCGCAAGGGCUUGGGCUUUGGACGAUCAGUCCAGAAGUUGUCCUGAGCCCUAACUUGCUGCCAACAGCAGCCCACGACGAAGCGAAAGCAAAGAAUCCUCUAACGGCACAUGAAUUCACAUUAUUUAUGUGAUUUCAUGCUCCAACGGGUCGUACCAGCAAACCAGGACUACGGAGGGUGCCAUCACACAUCGUUGCUAGGUUUCAGCAAUGCCUGGGGCCGUGCUCACCUUUCGGAGCACUGCCGCCGCAGCAACUAGCCGCCGACGCGCUGCGAACAACAGCGAACCAGCGCGCACAGCCGCGAAGAUAGCACAUUACCUCUAACCAGGGCACCGCUUAACCUAAAUGGAGGUGAGCAUCGUGUUCAGCAUGAGCCCACGAUCAUCGCUGCUCACCUCUAGAGGUGCCAGGGAGUCAUCGGAUCACCGAAAAAGUGACCGGAACACUAAAAUGUAGUGCUAACAUAAAUGGCUACUCACCGGAGCAGUGGGAGCUAGGGAUAGGCCGCGGCGAUCGGGGAGGGCGCUCCGUCGGUGAUGGGAGCAGCAGGUCGGGGAGUUCGGGAGGUGCUGGCCGGCGGCGGGCAGCAGCCGUGGCGCGGCGGCGGAGAUCGGGCCCGCACACUUCCUCUCGGGUUGGAGCUUGCCGGCGGCGAGGCGGCGACCGGGAGGUCGAGGCGGCGAUGAUCCGGUGCGCGGAGACCAAGGGGAAGGGGUGCUCACCUCAGAGGGCAACGCGGCGCUCGGGAGUGGGCGCGCUCCAAGGUCGGCCCGCACAGACCGGCUGGCGCGGGAGACUUGGCGGCGGCCGGCGAGCGCGCGGGACGGCCGGGGACGCGCUGCGCCGGGUUGCUGAGGUCGCCGGGGUCGACAGGGGGCUUGCCGCAGGGGAAGUGCGGUCCCAAGGCCGGCAACCGUGAGCUCGGCCUGGCUCGGGUCUGGGCAGAGCCGGCUGGCUGCAGCCUCUUCGGCGCUCCCGGCGACGCUCGGGGUGGCCGGGGCGGCGGGGAAAGGGUGCCGGAGGAAUAUCUCGACCAGGGGAAGGUGGUGCUCUGGCUAACAGGCCUCUCCAAGCACCAAGCUUAAGCCGGUGUGAGGUGGUCCAAGAGAGGAGGAAUGUUGGCUGGCAGGCUGUUUCGGCGGCCCGGGGCUGCUCGGCGGCGGCCGGAACGCGAGCACGGGCGAGGCAGGGAGGUGCUGGGAUGGCAGGGCGGCUGGGGUCAGCUAGGGGUUUCUAGGUUAGGGCUUGGUCCAAGAUAGACCACUACUCACUCAAUAGCGUUGGAAAAUCGUCGAACGGAAAACCCCUUCGAAAAGGAAUCUAAUUAAUCCCAGCUCUCAACCAGCAGUCGCACAAUGCGCAAUAUCCCUCUGAGUUCGAAGACUCGCCAAUUUGAUGCAUAAAAUAUAGGGCCUUUUCGCGAAUGAUCCGAUUCUCAAAUCCAGUCCCCUUCGCGGACUUUUCGCAAUUCCCAGAAGAUCCGUCCGUCAGAUUCCGAUCGAUUGACCAGCGCGAUCAGCAAGACAGAGGCAAUCGAAUCUAGCAUUUUCGUUUCGCCGAAAAGGUUUCCGAUUUGCGACAAAACCAUCCCUCCAAGGUUCCACCAAACCGCAUAUAGACGACUAUAUGCUAAAACCAUUAAACCCUUUUCUCGAAAUCUGUGCAUCCAAAACCAAUUCGUCAGUGCCAUUGGUUCCAAAACAGCUGAACGGUAGAAACAGAGCUAUUUGACUGAUAUGAACGGAGUCUGAUACGCGCCAGAAGCCAACUCUACUCACGUGGCUUCUCCCGGAAAACCGAGUUACUAUUCACUUAAGUGAAAACUAAAAGUCGCGUAUCUUCUCCAUUUUAGCUCAUUUUCGCACCGAAACUUGACGAGUCCUUAUGUAAUUAAAUUACACACAUAAACAUCAUCAACAGAGAGUUUAGUAGCACUGUCAAAAAAAUCUCAGUCCUUACAUAUAUAUAUUAUUAUUAUAUAUAAUAUAUUAUAUAUAUACAUAUAAUUAUUAUAUAUUAUAAUACCACGGCUCUCGCCCCCUCCCCCUCCCCGUCUCUCUCCCCCUCUUUUCCUUUCCCUACCCUCCGGCUGUCUCUCUCUCUCCCCCCUCCCUCCCCCCGUCUCUCUCCCCCUCUUUUUCUCUCCCUACCCUCCGGCUCUCUCUCUCUCCCCCCCUCUCCCCCUCUUCCCAGCGCGAGCGGGGUGCAGGCGCGGUCGCCGGCGUGGUGGCGGGCUCCGCCGCUGACACGGACGCGGGCCGAGAUCCUCCCUGCGGGCGUGGUAGCCAGCGCGAUGCGUGAUGCGUGGGGCGCGGGUGCAAGGGCACGGGCGCAGCACCAAGCGUGGGCACGACGCGAGCACCAGAGGAGGGGGGUGGGGAGAGGAAGAGAGGGGAAGAGAGAGAAAGAGAGAGAGCCAGGGGGUGGCAUGUAUGCGGGGAGAGAGAAAGCGUGAAAGAGAGUCCCCAGGGGGAGAAAGAGAGAGAGAGAGAGAGGGAGGAGAGAGAGAAUUUUAAAAUUUUAAAUUUUAAAUUUUAUAUUAUUUAUAUUUAUUUAUUAUAUAUAGUAUUUUUUUUUUGCUUCUCCCCUAUGGCACCCACUCCUCUCUCUCUCUCUCUCUUUUUUCCUUUCCUAUCCUUUUUUUCGUUUUUAUCCCUCUUUUCUAACCUUUUUUUUUUUUUGUUCUGUAUAAUUAUGGAUCACAUACAAAAAAUAAAAAAAUUAAAUUUAAAAUUUAAAAUUUGGUUUUGAAUAAAAUUUAAAUUUUAAACCGAAUAUUUUCUUAUAUUGCUGACUUUGCAGUUUAGGCGCUAUUUACUAUAUAAUUUAAAAUAUUUUAGAAUUUACAUAAAUUUUCCGUUGCGUAGCGCGGGUGAUUUCCUCGUAUAUAUAUAUAGUUGAGCUGGAAUACUAUUAAUAGUAUAUAUAUGGGCUCUUUUGCUAUUGACUUUUUAGCCAUUAAAUCUAUACUUUAAUCAAUUCCACUUUUCAAAUCAUAUUAUUCAACCAAUCACCCACUCAACUCUAGGAGGAUCACCAGUAAACCCUAGGCGACCACUAUCAUUCUAACCUUAUAAUUUUUCAUUCAAGAAUUAAAAACUCAAUAGCAAAAGAAUCUAAAUACUAUUAAUAGUAUUCCAACCUAAUUCAAUAUAUAUAUAAUUGAGCUCCUAUGUUUUUAAAAGGACCGAAGUUCAAUGUACUUGUGAUUUUUUUAGCCGUCAGAUCAUCUAAAGAUCCGUGCAGCACUAAUAAAAGAGGACUUAGUGAGACACACCAUUAAUAGUGCUGUACAGAUUUGAGGCAAUCCAAUGGCUAGAAAGUCACUAGCAUAAAUAUUCCUAUAUGCUUAUAUACAUAAGCUCAACUCUCUUUCUGCAUAUACAUGCCUUCGAAAAUGUAAAACGGGUACGUACCUUUAGCCUCAUAGUGCUAAACUAGGCAUAAGAGAGACACAUGCAUGCAACUACUGUCCAAACUAUAGUGAGAAAGUUUACAAAUUUUAACAUCCUACUUUAAUUUAUUCUCGCAAAAUUUAUAAUUGUAAUAAUUGAUAUGGAGUGUUUGCACUUUUAAUGAUCUAAAAAAGUUCAAACCAGUUAAACUUCUAUUAAAAAAAAUUUUAAACCAUUUAAACUAUGAUCUAACACCCUUGAUCUUUAGUAAAAAAAUUUCUGUCAUUAUUUUUUCAAUGAUAUUUAUUUUCAUCCGUUUAUUCUUGUGCCCCUUUAUACAUUCAUUUAUUCUUGUGUUCAUUAAUGCACAAGUGAACAAUAUCAAAAAAUAUCAAAUUUUAUUUCUGUAUACAAUUAGUGAUUUACACUACAACAGAAUUAGGUUAUAGGGACACAUGUUUGGUACACUUUUGAGUAAGUGUCCCAUUUAUCCUAAAACUUAAAAAAAUAUCUACUAAUGCCUAAAUAUAAAGCCCAAUCCAACCAAAAAUAAAAGAUUACUCUACUCAACUCACCAUACCCAGUCCAUUUGGUCCGAUUACAAACAGAAAAGAAAAAAAAAAGAAAAUUCAAUUACCAUCUUUUCUUCUCUCUUCACUCAAUCCACUGAAAUUCUAGAUGAAGUGCCUUUCUUGUCGUCCUCCUCCGCCACUGCAGCCAACGAGAUAGAGUUUCGGCAAUUGCUAAAUACUUAAAUAAGUGUUGGUAAAUUAGCAGCACUCUUUUAGGUUAUAGCGACACACUUUAACUGUCACUAUAUACCUAGCGACCCCACAUAUAGCAACACUUUUUAAAAGUGUUGGUAAUUUUAGCUAGCAGCACUUUUUUGACAUGUACCUAUAUUUAAAAGUGUCGUUAUAGACCGUUUUUAUUGUAGUGUUAGAUCAUGGCGAUGAUCAUCAAUUUGAAGGCUUUAUCUUAAAAAAUAAAUUGGUAAUAAUGGAGCUCGUUUACUAUCAAUAGUAUUUUAGUCCAACUCUCUCUCCCCUCUCUCUCUCUCUAUCUCUCUCUAUGUGUGUGUGUGUGUGUGUGUGUGUGUGUGUGUGUGUGUGUGUGUGUGUGUGUGUGUGUGUGUGUGUGUGUUGAGAGAAUAAAAAUUGGAUGUUAUUUGAAAAAUGUAACGACCCAGCCCACUAGCAAUAAUAACUCGUUGGGCCCAACCACAACCCAAAAUGCUUAAGCCUUGCUACUGCCAAUAUUUUGAUCUUCGUAUGCCUUGGUCAGGGUAUUAUUAUGGAUCCAUGAACUACUAUCCGUAUGAUCAGUAAAUCUAUUUCAAUUUUGUAAUCUAAAAUAGAUGAACAAAAUAAGUCCUAAUUAUAGUAUAGUGCUUGAACGAACCACCAUUUCUAUGGCUGGGCCAAACCGAGCAUUAUUUGUCCAACAGUGGGGCACUACGUUACUUUGCAUUUAAAGAAAGGAACCUGCGCGCAUGAGACCUAAUUAUAUAUAUAGGGGAUAUAUAUAUCCUCAGCAACAUUAAUUCUCUAACAUGUGGGCGUCAAAGAGGAGUCCGGAAACUGGCCUUAAUAAAUGUUUAAAGCUGAAGAUGUAUAUAAAUUAUUUGAACUAUGAUGUGAUUUUAUUUAACUAUUUAAUUUUAGAAAAUUUUGAUUUUGGUAGAUAACUUUUCAAUUUGUUUAAUUUAUGUCAUUUAGUAAUUUUUUCAGUAGAGAAUUUAGAAUGAUUACUUACUUUAAUAUAAAUAAAUAAAUAUAUAUAUAAUUACAUGAAUUACGUAGAAUAUACUAAUUAAUAAACCCCGUAAAUAUAGACGAUGGAUCUAAAUUUUAAAGUUGAAUAGCUUGAAUCAAAUAAAUUAAUGAGUUAGAUAUAUAGAAGAGUCAAAAUUUUUAAAGAUAAAUAGUCAGAUAAAAAUGAGUAAUAACUCAGAUAAAUAUAUAAAUUUUUACCUGUUUUUAAAAUAUAUAAUUUUGAGGAAAAAAAACCUUUUCAGUAAACAAUAAUAUGAAGCUUAUCCUUAAAGUGUGAAAAUAAUUAAAGUUAUCUAGUCAAUUUCAAAGCGAAAAUUCUAAUUCGAAAUUCUAUUUUCAAAUCUAGUUCAAAGAUUUCAUAAGAAUGGUAAAUAAAGUUUUAUAACUGCUUCUUCAAAUGGCUUGUGUUAGUUAUGCUAAAAGGGAAACCACUUUAUGAACAUUUUUAUUAUAAUAUAUUUUUUCUAUAACUAAAUUAUGAACUACAAAUUAUAAUUAUUUUAAAUUGCACAGAAAAUCAUCUAAUAUCUCACAACUAAAAAAUAAUAAUUUUUUGAUGUCAAAAUUGUAAUUUUGAUAUUCAUUACAACAGAAGGAUCAAGACUUUUUUAUUUCUUAAACACUACUGAGAAUACUUAUCACUAAAAAUAAAACUAGAAAAGGAAUUUAACUAAAAAGAAGGAAAUUUGCUCCUCUACAAGCCCUAGUUAGAGUAAGCAAGUUCUAGUAAAGUAUUCACCUCAGGCCCAAUUUGGGAUAUAGCUAUAAAGCACUAGUUUUUAUUCUUUAUAUUGUUCAUUUUUUUUUUUUCUCAUUCAUGCUAUAAAAUUGUGGUGCAAAUUGUCCUCAGAUAAGCAUGCAAUCGCCUGCUUUACAGUAUAAUUUUUGAUAGAUUGAAAAUAUUUUUUAAAUUUUUUUAAAAAUAGAAAAAGUAGAUGUUUAAAUACUAUAAUACUAAGCUAGAUUUUGCUGGCUUAAAGGACCAGCAUUCUGUCGUAUCGCGAAAGGUCAGAAUAUGCUGAAUGAAUCACGUUUAAAAUGGUGAGAGACUGGUUAGAUAUGAAUAUUGUAUCUCUAUGCUUUAAAUAAAUUAGUUGUAUAUUUUUUUAACAAUUCAAACUUUUAAAAUUAAUGAUUAGUGCAAACGAUUCGAUCGGCGAAUAAUAUGCUUACGUAUAGCAAAACUAAUGAGUAGGCACUUGGGAAAAAUGAGUGAAAAAGAAAAAAGAGAGAGAAUUUGGAAAGGAACGAUAGGGGAAAGCACGACGAGGAGUAUGGACAGAAUCCCACUACCAAAACGAAUGUAGGGCAAAAAAUAAAGGGGUAAUGUGACAUUAUCGGGACCAAAGUGUCAACAAAGCAACCACCGCACUCUCCCCCUCUCCCCUCUCUCAAAGUCCUCCUUUCACACCCUCCUCUCCAAAUUAAACUACGUGCAUUAUUAUUAUGGCCACAUGAUUUUGACACCUCCCCAUGCAAAUCCCCUCCACCCCCCCCUAUAUAUACCCCACUCAUUCCCUACCACCUUACACAACAACCACUAAACCACAAUGGCUAGAGUUAGUAGCAACUGUACUAGUGGUGCUAAGCAUCUUCUUGCUCUUUCCCUUGCUCUCCUCCUCCUUUGCGUCGGCGUCACCUCCGCCGCCAGAUCCCUUGUUGGGUUUGCGAGCGGUGGAGGUGGCGGCGGUGGCCAUGGCGGUGGCGGUGGCGGUGGAUAUAACGGUGGUGGUUACGGGUCCGGGUACGGUGAGGGGUACGGUGAGGGGGGUGGCGUAGGGCCCGGUGUAGGGCGUGGAAUGGGAGGAGGUGGCGGUGGCGGCGGCGGCGAAGGUGGCGGCGGCGGCUACAAUGGUGGUUCGGGGUACGGCUCUGGAUACGGUUCUGGGUACGGUGAGGGAGGCGGCGUAGGGAUUGGAGGAGAGUACGGAAGGGGAGAAGGCGGAGGCGGCGGGGGCGGCGGUGGGGAAGGUGGCGGUGUGGGCUCCGGUUACGGCUCCGGUCAUGGCUACGGAUCGGGCUACGGGUCCGGCGUGGGCGGGGCGCAGGGCGGUGGUUACGGAAGCGGAGGAGGCGGUGGCGGUGGCAGUGGCGGCGGCGGCGGUGGCGGCCCCGGUGGUGGCUUCGGAAGUGGAAGUGGAUCGGGAUACGGGAGCGGCGAAGGCGGUGGCAGCGUGCACGGCGGAGGAUAUGGAACUGGAGGCGGCGGCGGCGGAGGCGGGGGAAUGGGCGGCGGCGGCGGCGCAGGGUCUGGGUAUGGUUCUGGGUAUGGGUCUGGAUAUGGAAGUGGUGGGGGAGGAGGACACUACUGAGUUAGUUCGUAUAGCUCAAAAUAAGGUUCUACUUUACAUAUAUAGCAUGGAGGAGAAGGUCUGUUUAAGAAGAGAAUGUGAAACCUAGGGUGAACUAUAUAUAUAUAUAUACAUGUAUGUGAAAUUAUAAAGAUGUAUGUGGUUUGCGGUGUGUGUUAUCUUAAUUAGAAAUGUAAUAAGGGAAUCUGCAGGCUUUAAAUAAAGAAAUGGAGACUUAAUUAUAUAUAUAAAUUAACUUAGCAUGGUUGUUGACUGUGACUUUUUCUACUACUAAUUAUUCCCAGCUAGUAUUAAAUCGAGGGUUAGUUGUUAAUUUAAAUGAAUCCUAGUAAUUUUAUCAAAAUCCAUGUAACAAUUUUUCGACCUGUAAAAGGAAAGUGAAUAAAGCAAAGUUUUUUACAUCAAAAUUCACCAGAAAAUGUGCUAAAAUUAAAGGGGCGCAAGUUAAAGCGCUAAACUUCAAUUGUUCCUGUGCUUUAGGACUUCAAAAAUAUAUAAAAAAAAUAAAUUUAUAAAAGUUUUAUUUUUAGUUUUCCACAUAUUUGGUUUCGAAAAAAUAGCUUUUUUGUAAUUUAUUUUUAAAAAUUUUAUAGAUAGAUAAAUAUAUAUGUAGUGUUUCAUAUUUUUCUAAAAAAUUUGAAAAACCAAAGCACUAGUUAAUUAAUUUUCCAUAAGAUUUGGAAAAAUAUUUUUCAAAAUACUUAGCAUUUCUCAGAACUAAAAACGGAUGGAAAAUUGAAAAAGAGAUUUUUCAUAGAAAACUUUUUUUCUUGAUUUUUUAUUUUCAUUCUUUUCCUAGGAACCAAACAGCAUAUAUUUUCACUUUACUCAUCUAUUGUUCAAAAGUUGUACUUAAUUAUUCUGUAAUUUUAUUUUAAGAAGAUAUCACUAAAUAGGAUAUUGUUAGUUAUAAUUUUUGCAAACCACAUGGCAAUCAAUAUUUUUUUUUAAAUUAUAAUCCACAUUUUACCACACUGAAUUGAAUUCAAAAAUAUCACUAUGCUGCUUUGUUUAAUAGGGACUUUUGGUUAUUUAAAUAAGUAGGUUUCUAAAAUAAAAUAAAAGUAAAUUAAAAAAGAUUAGUACAAUUUUUUGAACUCCAAAAUGACAAAGUAAAGUUGUAUCAGGCCAUAGGAGGCGGAUUAAAAUUAAUUUACCAUUUGUUAUAGUAUUUUGUUUAGUUGCAAUUUUCUUUUUUUUUUGUUUAUCAAAUGAACAAUGCUAGGCGUACCACUCUAGAUUAGCUUUAUAUCUUAUCCUGCUAUCAUCAUAUGCUCUCAUCUCCGUCUACAAAAAAAUUUAAAUUUAGUGACAUUUAUAAAUGUUACUAAAUAAGCAAGAAAUGCAACUAAAUUUUUUAGCAAUACUUAAAGUGUAGUGUUGGUUAUGCCCAUAUUGUUGAAUCUUUUAGUUUAUUAACCUAUUGGGUUUGUCACUACAACAUAGCUAGGUUAUAGGGACAUAUUUUUAGAACACUUUUAUAUUAGUGUUUCAUUUAUACCAAAUUUUUUUUAAAAAUCUAUUAAGGCCUAAAUAUAAAGCUCAAUCCAAUCAAAAACAAAAGGUUCCUCUAUUAAACCAAUCACACCCAACCCACUCUUCCCGAUUACAAAUAAAAAAGAAAAAAAAAUUGAUCACCAUAUAUCUCCCAUUCUCCUCCUCUGCUGUCGCAGCCGACGAGGAAGGGUUCCGGCGGUUGGAGUUCGGCUGCGAGAAUCAUGCAGGAACCGUAAAGAGCUACGAUCGCCACGUAUUCCUCGGCCACAGGUUGCUGGAGGAGUGGUGCCAAAUAUCAAGACGGCCCUACCUAUAGCGACUCUACAUAUAGCAACACUUUUAAAAAGUGUCGGUAAUUUAGCCAGCAGCACUUUUUUUGACAUGCACCGAUAUUUAAAAGUAUCACUAUAUAUCAUUUUUGUUGUAGUGUGUUUUUAUGGACCAGCAACAUUAGCCCAAUUUUAACUAGACUCAGCUUACUCACUCAGCCUACGUAUAAUUAAAAUAUAUUAUAUAUAAUAUAUUUUUAAUAUAUAUAUAUAUAUAUAUAUAUAUAUGUGGCUAGAUUGAUAUACUAUUGAUAAUACGGAGCCCUCCGUGCUACCAAAUUGUUUUCAAUGAUCCGGCUUCUAAAUCGACGAUCGACUGUGUUACACUUAAUCUACACUAUUAAAAGUAUUUGGAACCUAAAUUUCAUAAUUUUUCGACAUCAUUUGGCUAGUGAUCAAAAGAUCUCAAAAUUGACAAUUUUAAUGGUAGAUGUGAUGCGUUUGUGAAUUUAACGGNAGUGUAAAACAAUUCAAAUCUAAUAAAAUUUUUAUAAAAAAUUCUUUUCACUAUUUAGAAUAAGAUCAGUACCUCUGAUCUUAAAUUCAAGUCCUUUUUCAUCAUUUUUGUGAGAUUUUUAUUUUCAGCCGUUCAUUUUUAGACUACUCAUUUCAUAGGUAAAUGGUGUCAAAAAGUUAUGAAAUUUAGUUUCUAAGUACUUUUAAUAGUGUAGAUCAAGUCUAAUUGAGCCAAUUGUUGAUUUGGCAGCCGCAACAAUGAAAACAACUUGGUAGCACGGAGACCUCUGUGCUACCAAUAGUAUACCAGCCUAGCUAUAUAUAUAUAUAUAUUCGAGCUUUUCGAGUCUAAUUCAAGCGAGCCGAGUAAUACUCAAGCUCAGCUUGAAAUGAAUUUCGAGCUUUUUCUUUUGUUCAUGUUCGGCAAAUUUAAUUUCGAGUCGAACUCGAGCGAGCCGAAUAUCGAACCGAACGUGAGCCUGCUCGCUCAUUUGCCAGCCCUACACAUAGUCCCUCUCUUUACUCUUUCUCAAUCCUAUUUGAUCUAAACAAUAUAUUAAUUAAUAUUUCAAAAGCCAAAUUCAAUCCUACUUAUACGUCAGUAAAUUUAUUUCUUCCAACUUUUACUUGGAAUGCAUACAAAAUAUAAUAUAUGUAUAUGCAUGGAUCUUUUGCUUUUAUUUAUAAAUUGUGAAUUUUAUAAAGAAUAAAUUACGCAAUCGUAUGUGUGAUCAAUUGAUAAACGAUUGUUUGUUGACUUAUAUAGAAAGAGAAGUAUUUCAUAGUAUCUUCAAUGAUAGCUUGUAUCAUUUUUGAAAUAUGAAAAAAUAUCGAGGACAAUUAUAAAAAAAUAGUACUUUUUUUAACACAAUAUUAAUGUCUAGUUUAUUUUAUAUUUUUUAUAUUUUUUGUUAUAUAUUUGAUCUUAUCAGAAAAAAUUUUUAGAUUUGUCGCUGAUCAGACCCUUGCAACUUUAUCUGUAUAGUUGGAAAAUAGUCUAGGCACCCAAACACUUCUUGUUCUAUAGCUAGAUCUUAGAUGUGACAUUCUAUUUAAAAUGUUGAAAUUAGUAAGAUCCUAGAAUAUCAGCUCUAAAUUUAUGUGUUCUGUGUAAAACAAGAGGUCAAGAGUAACCAGAUUUUGUAGAUUAGCCCAGAACCUACCAUUUUCAAGGUUUUCUAAACAAAGGCCUAACCAAGUAUAGACCCAACAAUAUAGAACAUCACAACAAUUAAUAUAUGUAUAAGCCAUUUUUUAACAUCGCCACCACCUCCACCACCUCUGUUCUCACCACUGCAUGCAAUCAUUUGCCAUGGCCUACUCCUCGCGCAUGUUCCUCGCCUCCACAUUGGUGUUACUGGUUCUUGUGACACCUUAUGGUGCAGCUGGUGAUCAGGUUGGCCAAUACGACGUCGUCAGAUACAAACAUCAUCGCUCUCGCUUCCGAUCAAACCUCCGAUCAUUCAAGCAUCGGCACGGCAAAUUUCGACCUAGCGGGUGGAGCUUCGCACAUGCUACGUUCUACGGCGGAAGUGAUGGAUCUGAAACCAGAGGUGACAUUUUGAACUUGUUUAUUGGUUUGCCAAUCUCUCAUCCGAUCGAGCCAAGCCAAUCUAGUUUUUUCGUUUGGAUCAAACAUUCAAGAAAUUAUCCACUCGGCCUAGAGACUUCAAGUGGCGCCAUGCACACACUGUUCCUCACUUAUAACAGGAUUUGUAGUUGGAAAUUGAUGUCUCAAGAGGUCUUCGAUCGUGGUAUCAACAUAUGCUAGUGAAGAAGCCCGCGCUUCGCAGCGGAUAAAAAUUACUAUAUGAGUAAUUAAUAAUAAGAUAACAUCAAAUAUUCUCUUGUGUACCUCACUUACCAUAGUCACGAAAAAUCUCUCACUAUUGGCAGCGGAGAUGGAACUGACGACACAUUUUCCGGUGACGGUGAUAGUGAAAAUGACGACAAUCCCUUCAGCUGUAGCGGAGGGGGCAGAUGAGCGCGCAUUAGUUGUAGGGAGGGUGGCCACGGUGUAUGGGAAAAAAUGAGGGAGAGAGAAUUGAUGAAUUAAUUGGAGAUGAAAAAUCUAGUGGAGGAAAAGUUUGGUAGUGGGAACGAAAGAUAUGAUGGAUGGAAAGUACUUGAUAGUUGGAACAUUUAGAUGUAUUAAUUAACUAUAUUAAUUAAAAAUUUGAUGAAGGAAACGGACAGGGUCAAAUGAUGGUGAGGGUGACAAUAAAAAAAUAUUAAAGAUUCAUAUAAGUUAAUAGAUUAAUAGAUAUGUAUCAUUAAGCUCGAUGGAGUGCAAAAUGAUUAGAACUGGCCUGGCUGGGGUGGUUCGGGCUGGGACCUAAACAAACAAUACAUAUCUGACCUGAGUUUUUCUUGGCCCACACGAAAUUAUGUAUCACUAUACCUACAAUGCUAUAAAGUUAGCUUAUCUUUGGAAGAUCAUUAAAUAUUUGAUUAGCCCAGUGGUUUGUUGUUCAGAUGAUCCACUAAAGAGGUCCGGAGUUUGAUUCUAUGAGAGUGGGUUUGAAUGAUAAGGCACAAAUUAAUAAUACCUGACUUCUCCGGUUAUAAAUUAGAAUAAAUUUUUGACAAAAAUUUAUUCUACUUAUCUCAACUAUAGACUAUUCUGUUUUGACUACCAAAUCUUUCAAAAUUUUGAUUUUAAUAAAUUUUUUAAUUCGUUUGAUUUUAGUAAGUCAACGAUACGUAAUUUGUUGUUUAUCUUUAUAGAUUUAAUUAUCAUACUGCAUGCAAUUCUCACAAUCAUAAAUUAAUUAAAGUACUUAGUUAGAUUAUAUUUUGAAGUCAAAAUAUCGUUGACUAAUUCAAAUUAAAUAAAUUAAAAGGUUAAAUAGUAAAAUCAAAAUUCUUGAAGUUUAGACAACCAAUUCAAAAAAGUUCAUAGCUAAGACAAGUUUGAUAAGUUUUUAUCUAAAUUCUUAUCUACAACUUCGCAUGUAACACAAUUUACUAAUAAUUUUAUAGAUCUUAUGACAUCUAAUCCGGCCUAAUCUUUUAGGAGGAGCAUGUGGGUACCAAGACACAGUGAGCCAAGGCUACGGCCUGCAAACUGCAGCAUUGAGUUCAGCUCUAUUCAACAACGGCCUAGCUUGUGGUGCUUGCUUUCAGAUCAAGUGCAUCGACAAUUCGACCCAGUGGUGCAAGCCAGGCCGGCCGUCGAUCUUCAUCACCGCGACCAACCACUGCCCGCCGAACUACUAUUUGCCGAGCGACAAUGGUGGGUGGUGCAACCCGCCCCGUUUCCAACUUCGACCUGACUCAACCCGCCUUCUUGCAGAUCGCCGAGUAUAAAGCCGGGAUCAUUCCCGUCGCUUACCGGAGGUAAUAUUAAUUUGUUCCUAAAGGAUCAAUGUCCAUGAACUUUUUUUGUAGCACAUCUCUUUCGGUCAACAAAGGUGAAAUUAGGGGUGUAAAACACACCAGUCGCCUGGCUCGGCACGAGCUUGGGCCAGACCAAGGCAAGGCACGAGUAUUGUAGCACUCGUGCCGGACCGGCCCGACCCUAUAAAUCGGGUCGUGUUGGGCCUCCUCCUUUCGGCCCGUUCGCCCAGCACGGCCCAGCAAGAGACGGGUCUGGGCCGUACCGGGCUUAAGGUAAGGCCCCGGCCCGGCAUACGGAUGGUGCCUGCCAAGCCAGCACAGUCUAGCCCUUGGGAGUUGGGUACAACCUAAGGAUUUAAAUGCCGUAGCACGGGGUCGUGCUGGAAAGUUGCCAGCACGGUAUGACACAGUACGUAUUGGGCCGUGCCGAUGCAUAUUAGUCACAAAAAAUAUAUAUGCCGACACGUAAUAGUAUAAAAUAUUUAUUUUCUUUAGCUACAAAAUAUGCCAAUUGUUAUUAUGUAUUUUUAUUAAAUCUUUUGAACUAUAUUGAGAAAAUUACUUACUAAUUUUAAAAAUAGAGGGUUUUGAGUUGUGCCAUCGACACGGAGGUUGUACCGUACCGAUAUCUUGCUGGCACGAUAUGGCAUGGUGGGUACGGCUCAUGAUGAUGGGUAUCCCAACUCCAAAGGCUUUGGGAGUUGGAAGCCAGGUUAUGCCACCCUUGGGGCUCUCCAAAGGGUCUACUAUGGCGGGCCCUUUAAUUUUUAGCUGUUGGGAAGGAUAUUUUAUCCAAAAAAUAUAUAAUUUUUUUAAAAAAAUUAAAAUUCUAUCAUUUUUAUAAAUAUUUUUAAAAUUUGAAACUUUUCACUCAUACAUUAUUUUUCAUUAAUAGUAUUUUAAUUUUUAAUUUUCUAAAAUUCUAUAUAUUUUAAAAUAAAAUUAAGUAAAUAAGAAAUGGAUUGGCUUGAGGCCUGGCCCGACUUGGCACGACACGCCCCGUGCGGGCUAAGGGGCCAUGCUGGGCCAGGGGUCCAAGAAACUCAGCCUAGCACGGCAUAGCCCGACGUUGGGGUCGGGCCCGUUUCGACUCGGUAAAUGUGGGCUAUGCCGGCCCGGCCCGUCGAAUGUGGGCCGUGUUGACCCGGCCUGGCACGACCCACAUUACACCCUAGGUGAAAUGCAAUAUGGAAAAAAUGCAUCAUGACCUUUAUAAUAACAAACAAGAAAAUUUUAACCAUAGUAAAUCACACUACUAGUUCCUAAACUAGUAGUGUGAAAAAAGAGAAAACGAGGAAAGAGAAAGUGAGAAAAGAGAACUCAAUGAGGAGAGAGAAAGUGAACAUAGAUAAAAUAAGAAAAGAGGGAUGAGAGAGAAAAGGUGAAGAGAGAAAAAAAAUAAAGAGAGAGUAGAGAGAAAAGUAAGAAGAGAGUAUGUAAGGAGAGAGAAAUUAAGAGAGAGAAAGUGAGGAGAGAAAAUGAAUUGAGUAAUGUAAGAAGAAGGUUUUGUCAUUUAUUUAAUAUAAUAAAUUAAACAAUUUAUAGAGAGCACAAGCCAUAGUUGGUAAGGAAAAGGAAUUUUCAAGAGAAAAUUGAACUGUGUUGACUUUGCAUAAAUUAGAACAAAGGCCUUAGCUAUUCCACUAGGUGUUCAAUGAGGGCCGAUUCAUAGCCAUUGAAAACUUUAGAACAUACAAAAACUUAUUAAUUAUUAUAGCUCAUUAAAAGACAUAAUGAACAAGUAUUGUAUUUGAAAGCAAAAUUUAGUCUUUAAAACAGCUCAGUUCCGAUUCCUAGAUCGUGAUAAAAUUACAUCAAACCAAACCAUGUCGCUCCAACGGAUCAAACGCCAGAUCACAAGAUAAAAAUUGCACAGUAUUAGUACGCGGCUUAUAAUUAUUUCUUUCACAGGGUUUCUUGUAGGAAGCACGGUGGCAUCAAAUUUACGAUCACUGGAAAUCGAUACUUCAAUCUGAUUCUUGUUUGGAAUGUUGCGGGCGCCGGGGACGUCCACGGCGUGCAAGUGAAAGGAACUAAGUCCGGGUGGACUACAAUGAUACGAAAUUGGGGGCAGCAUUGGCAAACUAAUGCGGACUUGACGGGUCAAUCUCUAACAUUCAGAGUCACCACCAGUGACGGCCGCAGAUCAACCUCUAGACGUAUUGUUCCGCAGAAUUGGCAAUUCGGUCAGACCUUCGAAGGCAAAAAUUUUAGAAUAUAGGUGCAAAAGAUUUCAAAGUAUAUCGGCUAAAAAUGUACUGACAUAUAUCACAGCAAAAUGUAUCAUUUUUGUUAGUUGCUGAGAAAGAGAGUGAGAGAGAGAGAGCAUAAUUUUGUGACAGCUAAAUAGAGUGUUGCAAAAUUCGCAGAUUAUUGAAUCGCGUAGGGUGAUCCUUAAUCCGCCCAACAAUAACAGCUUCUUUUUUUUUUUCCCAACUAAUAAGUCUUUUGUGGAUCUUCUCAAUUAGGGGAACAAAGUCCCCGUGGAUGUCAAUGGAUAUGGAUACCUAAAAUUUUAUUCGAAUCCGAACUCAAACGGAGUGGAUUUAUCUGAUGCUAAAUGAAUAUAGUUUCGGAUAUGAAUAUCACAAGCGGAAACUCAACGGAUUUCGAAUAUAGAUUUUGAUUGUACCCGAUUCAAACCUGAACAACAUACCCGAACCCGAUACAAAUCCGAAAUUAUUUUACAUUAUAAAUAACAUGUAUAUAAAUAUUUAUUGUUAUAUUUGAAUUUAUAUUUUAAAAUUUUAAAUUUAAUAUAAUAUAUUUUAAAAUAUUGUAAAGAGAAAUAAUUAUUUUGUGUUUGAAUUUUCAGUUUCAGGUUACGAAUUUUUGGUCUGAUUCGGAUUUAGAUAUAUAUGAAUUUUUGAGAUCCAUCGAAUUUGAAUUCGGAUUCAAAUUUAAAGGAUUUGGCAGUCAGGCUUGGAUUCUAAUUUUUUAAAAUUCGCCUCAAAUCAGACCGAUUGAUGUCCUUAGGUGGGAAAAGGCAAGCCCAAUUAAUUAUUUUGCAUUAUUAUAAAGAAAAAAAAUAAAUUAAAUAGUUUUGCUAUAUUUCCCGUGAAAUAUUAUCCCUUUUUUUUUUUUUCUUUUUUUUUUUUUUCCCUCGAAAGGAUCCUACCUAUUCCCUACAUAUACUAUUUUGGCAUGAGCCCUUUAGUAAAAUCACAAGUGGGAUCGAAUCCUUAACCUCAUAGACAGCUACCUGAGAAUAAUAAUAUAUUUUUUAUAUUCGUAAACUAAACAAUCACAUAAAUUUAUCAAUACAUCAAUAAUAUUACGAUUACGAAGAAUUCUUAAUCUCAUUAACCGCUAUCUGAGAAUAAUAAUAUAUUUUUCAUAUAUGUAAUCUAAACAAUCAUAUAAAUUUAUCAACUCAUCAAUAAUAUUACACUUAUAAAAGGAUCCUUGACUUAAAUGGACCAGUAUUUUGUCAUGUGAUUCCGUCAGGUUGGGCCGAAUCACGCUCAAAAUGACGUGGGAUUUGAUUAGGUUGAGUCAUAUUUGAAGUGACAUAGGGUUAAUUUGGUUAGGUUGAGCCACAAUUGAGACCGAUAGGCGUUGUAUCUGCACACUUUAAGUGAAUUUAUUGUAUAUUUUUAAUAGCUCGAGCUUUUGAGUUUAAUAGCUAGCACCUAUGAUCCAACACCUCACAUGGCAAAGGUAUGGAGCUAACACGGUAUACAUUAUUUACUACUAAUGUGGCAAUUUUAUUCUAGUUUAUAGUAAAGAAAAAUAAGAAGAGAAAGACUUAGAAAAUAUUUUUGAAUGGUUUCUUUCCUUGUUGAGAGUAUUUCUUAUUGUAUUAGAAUAUAUAAAAGUUACAAAAUGUUACAAAUUAUAUGAUAUGCAUAAAAGAAAAUAAUUUGAAAUAAUAAAAUACAAUCAUAAUUUUUCUUUCUUGAGUGAUUGAAAUCAAUCUUGGUUGAGCACAAAUAAUCCUUCACGAGAUUUGAUCAACCUUCCAAAUUCGUCGCUUGAUCAUGAGCAUUUCCUUUUUGAUGAGAUGAUCCUUCACAAGAUUUGAUCAACCUUCCUAAUUCGUCUUUUAAUCAUGAGCAUUUCCUUUUUGAUGAGAAUCUUCAUUAAAUGAUUCUUAAUUAGUAGUAAUAUAAUUUUCACCACCCAUUUUAUGACUAAAUCCCUUUUUCAGGAUCCCAAGGAUUUCAUCAUUUAAUCAUAAUAUUGACUUUCCCAGCAUAUAUAUAUAUAUAUAUAUAUAUAUAUAUAUAUAUAUAUAUAUAUAUAUAUAUAUAUAUAUAUAUAUAUAUAUAUAUAGAAUGAAAUCUACUUAUCAUUUACACUUCUCCUCAUUAUAUUAUAUUAAACAAUUGUAUCUAUAUAUUCAUCGAUCUCCUUCCCCACUAGUUAGUACUGGUGAAGCCAUGUUAGGAGAAAGAGGACUCACAAUCUCCCUCCUGUUCCUGUUUCUAUUUCUCAUUUCAGGUUAGCUUUCCACAAUUUUCGUGUCCAAUCAAAUGAUCAACUCGUAUUAGAUUGAAUUACUGUGUUUUUCUCCUUCCAUUGUUUUGGUUUUGUGAUGUUAAUUUAAGAUGGCCCAUUGGGCAGAAUAUUUAAGGCUCGAGUUUGGAUUUAUGGAGAGAUUGGACUACAUACAGUAAAAAAGUACAAAAAAAAAAAUUAUAUUUGUUUUCAUACGUAAUACCAAGUUGUAGAUAUCUCAAUGAAUUAUUUACAUUAUAUUUUCUGUAAUCUUACUGAAAAAAAAAGGAAAAACAUAUUCUCAUAUACUUAAUUUAGCUUUAAAUUUAUUUUUCUAGCAACUUUAGACCUUUAUUGAAAAGAUCGAUCUAGUGAGAAACGGACCCAAUAAUAUAUACUAAUAUUCUUAUUUAUAUACACGAUGAAUAUGAAAUACACAUAAGAUUAUAGAUUAGAUGAAUUGACUUUAAUAUCAUAUUAUACAAAACAUCAUCUAAAAAAAUUAACAUAGAUGACCUCCAAUACCAGACAGGCCAUAUAAUAUUGAUCUGAAAUCAGGUGAAGAGAGCAUGCAUGCACUAAUAAAUUAAUUUCUACGUACGUGAAAGCUCUAACACAUUUUUGUAUCUCACUUUGAAGCUUAAAAUAGCAUGUCUAGCUAGCUAAUUGGAUCAGAAACUUUUAACUUGUAACAUAGUAAUAAAACAAAAAAAUAUAUAUAUUCUUGAUUAGGACCGAGCUCUCUUACAUAUAUAUUAGCUAGUUUGUUACUGUUUCCUUCACCUGUGUAUGUUUGGUUUAGCUCCUAUACAUUGUUGCUGCUUGUGUUUCAGGGGCAAACUCAAUUAGGAGAUAUUUUAUAGACAACGAGUGCCCCGGCGACUCGCUAUGGCUUGGUUCGGUCCCGGCGAUUGGGUUGCUUGACUUCGAGCUCCCGACGGGCACCCUCACCAUCAUCAACGCGGACGACCAUUGGCGGGGCCGCUUCUACUUCCGGAUGCAUUGCGCCGCCCACGACCGCAGCGGGGGGUUUGCCAACUUCACGUGCCUCACCGGCGACUGCCGCUCCAACGUCAUGUCCUGCGAGGGCCGCGACCCCGUCCCGCCCGCCACCGCCGUCGUCUUCGAGUACCAAACCAACACCGGCAACAUCGACCCCAAUAACUACUCCUACUACGUCGACCUCGUCCACGGCUUCAACGUGCCUGCAGUCGUCGCGCCGUUGUCCGGCGGACAGGGUCAGUGCCAGCUUGCCGGCUGCCCUGCGGAUAUUAACAAGAGUUGCCCGACAGAACUCCAGGCAUAGUAACAAAACUCGAUCACACGCAUAUUUCACGAAUUUUAUUUGAUUGUUAAUUUUAAUGCUUUUUUCCUGAAUAUUUUACAUUAUAUAUAUAUAUAUAUAUAUAUAUAUAUAUAUAUAUAUAUAUAUAUAUAUAUAUAUAUAUAUAUAUNNNNNNNNNNNNNNNNNUUAUCAAAUUUUAUGAUUUUAUUAAUUACUAAUUAGUCUAGAUUUGUUUGCUAAAGCGUGAGUUCUAUUACAUCACUUUUAUAUUUUUGUUUUAUAAAAAUCUGUAAAAAUUAUAAAAUUAAUUUGCUUAUUUAGACACCAAAUUUUGCUUGAGCUUUGAACAUUUUGCCGUCGCCCAAUUUAACCGCAUGCAUGCCAAAUAAACCAUAUAUAGUUACCAGAAUAGCACAAAACGCCCCUAGCUCCAAACUAUAUAUUUCGUAAGAAACUAAUUUUUUAUUACGUGCCAAUUUUUAUAUACUUUCUGAAGUAACGAUAUAUAAGAAUAACGUUCUGACUAAUCCUAUCUCUCGUGUUGUAUUUGUAUUAAUUGCCGUAACUUCGCAAUAAAUAACAUUGUGGUAGCUGCAGGUGAAGGACGCGAGCGGGGCGACGAUCGGGUGUAACAGCACGUGCGACGCCACGCAGGACCCGGCGGCCUGCUGCGAGGGCCAGUUCGCAGGCCGAGACGCCUGCCGGCCCUCGGCUCAGGCGAACUUGUUCAAGGGGGCGUGCCCGCUGGCCCACACUUGGAAGUACGAUGAUGAUCGGGCCAUAUACUCCUGCGCCGGAGCUGAUUUUAACAUAACACUAUGUCCCUCUAGCUAGUAGGACUCGCGCGUUACAAGUUAUUUAAUGUAAGGAAUAAUAAUCAUAUUAAUAAUAAUAUAUAUAAUGUAGAGCUAUAACUGGUGAUUUGUAUCGUAAUUGUGUGUUAUUUCACAAUUAAUACAAAUCUCGUAUUUAUUAUAAUAGAAUGCUUACACCGUUAAAACGGAUUUGAUAUCAAUCACAACAAAUAUAUAUUACGAUUUAUAACAGUGAUUCUGAUAUGUAAAGAGAGAUUGAGAGACAGAGACAGAGAGAGAGAAAGAAAGCAUAUAUAAAUAUAUAUAUAUAUAUAUAUAUAUAUAUAUAUAUAUAUAAAGAGGGAGAGCUUUACUGACCUACACACUAACGGUAGUAAAUAGUUCGAUUUACUAUAAAUUUAUUUUUGAUAAUAGAGUUUCGAAGUCGAUAAUCAAUACUGUUGAAUAUGAUCUAAAUCAUUUAAACUAUUUAAAAAUUAAAUUUUACGCUUUUUCGAUAUUAUUUUUUUUGUCCAUCAAGUGAACAGACAAUGAAUGACUGAAAAUAAAUACCUUCUAAAAAAUGAUGAUAUAAUUUUUGUAUUUAAGAUCUAUACUUUAUAUCUUGUUUUAAAUAGUUUAAACAAUUUUCUAAUAAAACUUUUGCUCAUUUGGAUUUCUUCUAUACCCGUCUACAAGCAAACAAGCAAACAUAUUGUAUUGACUAUUAAAAUUACAGAUUUUAUGACUUUUUGAUCAUUUGGUUAGUGAUGUCAGAAAGAUAUGAAAUUGAAUUUCUAGAUAGUUUAAAUGGUCAAGAUCAUAUUUAAUGAUGUCGAUUGUCGAUUUGAAAGCUCUAACAUCGAAAAUAAAUCAAUAGUAAACCGAGCCGUUUACUACCGAUAGUAGUCUAGUCCAGCAUAUGUAUAUAGAGUUCAGCUAUGGUGCUUGUAAAAGCACCAAAUACUUCGUGUUUGUAAAUUUUUUAUCAUUAGAUCUAUUUCUUUGAUUAUUUCUACCCGUUAGAUCAUACUAUUCAACCAACCACCCACCCAACCCUAGAGGUCCGCAUCAUCCUAACUGCAAAUUCCUUAAUCCAAUGACCAAAUAUUUACAAGUACCAAUAACUUAGUAUUCUUAAAAGCAUAGGAAUUCAAUUUUAUAUAUAUAUAUAUAUAUAUAUAAAAUAAAUCUAGGGGUACUAUUCAACCCUAUGAGGGAUUGCAAUCAUCCCAACCGUACAAUUCUUGAUGGAAGGGUUAAAAAAUCGGAAGCAUCAAAUUCUUUAUACUUCCGAUUAAAUAUAUAGUAUAGAGUUACUAUGCUAUCGAAAGUAUAGAGAAUUUGAUAUUUUCAAUUUUUGACUUUUGGAUCAAGAAUUGUACAAUUGGAAUGAUUGCGGUCCUUCCUAGGAUUGAGUAGAAUCUUUAGAGUUGAGUGGUCCCCACAAGAUAAUAGUUAAUCUUAAGGUUAGAAAUAAUUAAAGAAACUGAUUUAAAGGCUAAAAAGUCGGAAGCACCAGAUUCUCUAUAUUUUCAAUAGCAUAGUAGCUCUACUAUUUAUAUAUUAUAAAAGUAUUUAAUAUACAGCUGCAAAUUGCAAUAUAAAAUAUUUAAGAAUUGAAUCCACAACGCGACAGCAAAAAAAUCCAUACAACGAACCAAACCAUGCCCCACUCUCAAACAAGUGGUUGACAAAUCCCUAUCUUUGGCAAUACCGAAAUUAUUGUGUGAACCCGGAGCAUUCUUUUAUUUAUACACCAUUUAUUUACCAGCCAUAUUUUAUUAAUAAAACCAAUAACUUAUGACAUUAAUUUUGACUUUUACCGUUAUUCAAAAAAUUGAUUUGAAUCUGAUCAUAUUCAGUGAUAAUAGAAGAAAUAGAAAGUNGCCAAGCCGGAAGCCCUCCAAGUUACCAAGUAGCAGCAUAUGCUUGUCGUUGCCUAUCUUGCUAUUAAUUGUAUGCUUGAGAAAAUAUACAGAAUAUUUUUAAAGUAAAAAAUUAUUAUUCAUAUAAAAUUUUAAUUUUAGUUAUAUAUAAUUGGAUAGUUUAAUCCAAUAUUUAUCUAUAUAAUUUAUUUAUUUUUGACUGCAUAAAUGAAAAUGAAUAAUAUGGAGAUUGAAGGCGGAAGAAAAGACAUGUGAGACUGAAAAGAUUAGAUAUUCAACUCAUAAAUUUUUUUUAAUAUUAUAAUACUAUAUUUUAUAUAAUUAUUUUAUACUUUGAACUAUUAGACAUAUUUUUGUAUCAAAUUAUAGAAAAUGUUCUUUACAAAUUAAACUAUUGAUCGUAUGAUGUUGAGAAUUUCAAGCAGCUCGUUUAGGGCUCGAGCUCGUUCGACUUGAAAUUAGACUCGCUCGAGCUCGGCUCGAAUUAAUUUUAAUCCAAGCUUGAGCUUAAAUUUAGGCUCGAAAUUAAUUUCAAGCCGAAUUUGAGCCGAGAUAAGCUCGCUCUAGCUCGGCUCGUUUCCACCCCUAACCAAACGAUCAAAAAGUCACAAAAUUAGUGAUUUUAAUGGUAUGUACAGUACUCUUGUUUGUUCGCUUUAUGGUAUAAGAAUCCAAAUUAGUUAAAUUUUUGUUCAAUUUUGUUAAAAACUAUUUAAAUAAGAUCUAGAUUCUAGAUCUUGAAUACAAAAAUUAUAUCAUCAUCUUUCGAUGAAUAUUUAUUUCUAACCAUUCAUUUUAUACCAAAUUUAUGCAUAAAAUAUAUAUUUGACUUUACCAAAUAGUAGUAGUGUUGGAGCCGAAAUUCCCCGACCCUUGACCUAGUCAACGAUCUCCCUCAGGAAAUGCGUCGGGAUGCGAGACUGACCCUCGAAGUUUGCCCCCUUCGACAGAUCAAGCAAUUCGGCUGAUGAGGGAUCGGAUCAGCCGGGUUCAAAGCCUUUAUAAGAGAAUCGGUUCGGCUGCGAUGAGCCGAAUACUUGAAUCAAGCCAGAAAGCGUGUAGAGAGAGGAGCCGAAUGGCCAAAACAAUACAAGAUCUGGUCGGCCGGAAGAGCCGAAAACAACUUUCUAUUAAAUAGAACUGGAAAAAGUACAACGAGAUGGGUUUUAAUCUACAAUGGAGUGAUGCCCAAAGGGCAGACAGACUCCGGGUUGCUAAGUUACAGGAACUACUCCUAGGAAAAAUAAGUAAAUGCGAGAAAGAAAGAUGCGAGAAAAUAAAGGUGGUCUUUUAUGCGCAGGGGCGAAGACCCCUUUUCAAAGUAUCAUUGACCUAUUUAUAGAAUCGCCCCUGAUUCGGUUAUUACAUGAUCGGCCACUACCUCCUAAAAUCUCGGACCACCUUCAGUCGAUCGAACCGCUCGCAACUGCUUGCGGUUGCUGUAACUUCCUAUUGGCGUGACGGUUUUCUUCUUUACUUUUUCGGUGCUCCUGGUGCACGAUUAUGUAAGGACUGAGAUUUUUUUUACAGUGCAACUAAACUCUCUGUUGACGAUGUUUAUGUGUGUAAUUUAAUUACAUAAGUACUCGUCAAGUUUCAGGAGAAAAUGAGCUAAAAUGGAGAAGUUACGCGAUUUUUAAAUUUCACUUAAGUGAAUAGUAACUCCGCUUUUUCAGAAAGGCCAAUGCGUGAAGUAGGCUUCUGGUGCGUAUCGGACUAUGUUCAUAGCGAUCCAAUAGCUCGUUUCGAACGGUUCAGCUAUUCUGGAACCAAUGGGACCGACGGAUUUCAGAUCCGAUGCACGAUUUUUGAGAAAAAGGAGUUUUAACAAAAAGAGGGUUUCUGCUCUUUGCUAUUCGUGCAUUUUAAAACUCCUCGUGCUCUGUGCUUGUGACCUGGGUUUAGGUGAGAGUUGUUUCUGGUACCUACUGGUGGUAGGAAAUUCAAAUUUGAAUUUGAAUUAAAGGUUUUAGGGUUUAUACUUUGGUAUAUGUGCGUUAUACGGAUUAAUUAGAGAGCGGAUGGGUUCCGUCGCGAAUCUGUGACCAAAUCUGACGAACAAGAUUGUAGUUUUAUUACCCUCGUCAUGCUGAAUGCGAUGACACUGUCGGAUCGAAAAUCCGACGGAUCUUCAGAAUAAGCGAGAUGUUCGCUGAGGGGUCAAAGUGGCAAAACGGAUAAAUCGCGAAGAGACCCUAUAUUUUAUGUGCCGAAUUGCGUGAGAUCGGACAUGGAGGUGCAUAUGUGUAAAAUACGCGCGCUGUGAGGGACUUGACUGAGAAUAUUACCCCUGGGAGGACUAUUUUGCAAAAUGCACAUAUGUGUAUAGUGGUUGCACUAGGGUUUCAUGAGGAAACCCUAACUGUUGGCCUCCCUCUUCCUCCAACUGCGCCCCAGCCUGUUUUUCCCCCACCCCCCCUGGACCCUCCCCAGACCGGCCGCGGCGUCCGGCCCCGGCGGAGCAGCCCGCCCCGGUCGCGGAAAAGCCCACCCAGCCACCUCUGCCAUCUUCUCUUGUAAACCCGAUCCACCACCCUCUCGCCUAUGUACACAGGGGAAACGUGCACGAAGCCUCGAGGAUCCCUUCACUUGUGGCAGAAAAGGCUAGUCUCUCCGGCGCCGAUUCCCCGCAGGCUCUCCGUCGUACACCGCCGCGCGCCCGCAACCCGUCCUUCGCUCUGCGCGCACCAGCGCCAAGACCUGACCGAGACCGAGCGGCAGCCUAUUGUGGCCCCCAAGCGCCGCCGCCACGUCCUCGGUCCGCCGCCCUCCGUCGGCCUCCGCGGCAGCUGCCCGCCCGACAUCGUCGCCGCCCACGUCGCCGCCCGCCGCCGUGCUCUCCCUCUCUGCGGCGCGCCAGACGAGUGCGGGCCGAGCCGGGGCUAGCUCAUGGGCCUCCGCGCGCCGAGCCGCCGUUCCCCACGCCGGCGAUUUGCCAACUUCCUCCACCUCCGCGGGUGCUGGCCGCAGCCUCGACCUUCUCCGGCCCUCCGCCAUGGCCACCGCGCCACCUUUGGAGCCCGUAAUGACCUGCGCGGGGCUCGGUUUGUCCAGCACACAGCCGCCCGCGUCUUCCCCGCCAUCCGGUCGUGGAGCACCGGCUCCGCCUGGCCGGCCGCACUCGUCCGCCGCCGGCGCCCCCACCGCCGGAGCUCCCUGUCAACCGUGGUGAGCCCAUGCUCUCCUCGGGUUGUCCAACUAGGGCAUCAAUGCCCGCCGUUGUCGCCGCCUCCCGUCGCCUGUUGACGCGAGCCCCGGCCUCCUCUGACCUGGAGCACCUUCCCCUGGCCGGCCUGCCCGCCGUCCGGCCGCCGCUGGCCACCCCGAGCCCUGCCUAGCUCUGUAAGCUUGAUUUCAGCCUUUCUGUGCAUAGUCUCUAGUUCUGUUCACUAUUCCGGCGACCCGAGGCUGUUCCGAUGCCUCCAGGGGUGAGCACAGUGAUAUUCUGUCAGUCCUGAUCACAGUGCUCACCUCAAUUAGGGUCAGCGAGCCCCUGGUUAGCGAGAUAAACAUGUUUUUCAUGCUGUGCGCGCUGUUCGCAGAUUUUCGCGUCACUCCCGCGCUCUCCGCUGUGGCCGAUAUUGCUCCGAAAGGUGAGCACGGCCUCCGGCACGUCGAAACCUGUCAGUGGGUAUUUUGACUCGGCUGAUUGACCCCUGGUUUGCGUAAACGGACCAUAAAAGCGCCGAAAUCGCAUGAAAUAAUGCGAUUUCGGGUAUUCGGAAGGGCUUUUAUGCAACUUUGUCCGUCGUGGCUGCUGUUGGCAGCAAGUAUGGGCUGGGGAUAACCUCCGGACUGAUUGUCCAAGGCCUCGGACCUUUGCGAAGAUCGAAAAUGUAUUUUCGGUUCGUUUGUCGGCAAAAUCCGCCGACGGAACGCUGUUUUGGUUCGGAAUUGUUCCGACGAUGCUUCGUGAGCUAUUGUGUAGUCGCCGAGUCUUGUUGGCUGGUCACCCACAUCAUUUCGAGAGUUCAGAAAUGACGGAUGAGCGGCGGUGGGUUCCGGUGUCGAAAUAGACACUUCCGGGAACCCGGAUCAGAACGAUUAUCCGACGAUAAUCGUUUUGGAGUGAGUUAAGGUCUCUGCUGCCAAGUCACAUGUAAAUUGUAUUUAGUGGCAGCGGGUGACUCGUAGUACGAGUCGGUGAGUUCCGGGACAGUCCGUGGGUCCCGGCAGAGUCUCGGUGCGGUUUUCGGGACUUCCGUUUUGUUCGGUAAUCGGUUUUGGGAAACCGAUCUCCGUGGGAUUGUUUGUGGGUUGUGUAUUCAGUGGUUUAUUUGUGGGGUUAUGCUUUUAGGGUUUCUUAGUUGUGCGUUAGACACUAACCCAGUGGACCCUCCUUAGGUCCUGUUGACGUUCUUUUGCAGUCAGGAGACAGGCGCGACAAUUGUACAGGUGGGUACUUCGAUCCGACGUUGGUACAGUGGUGCACGCUCCGUGAUGGUUUUUACCAUUGCUUUUGUUAUAACCAGUGAUAUAUUAUAUGUUAGCUUUGCACCUCUAUUGUUUAUAUUCACCACUGUUUGUUUGAAUUUUAUCUCUAGAGUUUAGUGCUUAGUAUCAGGUGCUAGGGUAUAUAUAUCUGUAUGUGAUACAUGUUUCCUUGAUGCUCUACUUAGCUAUUUGAAAACCUGAUUCAGAAUACAAAUGUUAAGAUAGGCGAUUCCGUUUAUUUUAGCAUCAGCGUUAGUACGGGUUGGUCGAGUUCUAGGUAUUCGUAUUGUGACCUAUUCGAGUGAAGUUCCUCGACUUUGUUGUCUGCAAAAAUGACGUUGAAAAGUGGUAUACCUGAGGCGGUGGGAUGGUCGUAGUUACCGACGGAACAGAUUAUACCUACCUUCCUUAUUCACUAUUAUAGAAUGUUCAGAAUGACAUUAGUAUUCAAUGCAUCUAUCACCUAUACUUGUGAAUGAUUGGCGAUUUUAUUUGCCAUUAAUUGUGAGUGAUUGGUCGAGUUUUAUUACCUAGUCUGAUUCGAGUGGCGGAUCUCUGUGGUUCAUUGCAGCGUAUUGCAUUGUUUGAGGGAGGAUCGACUGUUGUACCCAUCCUAGUUGGCGCUGAGUGGUCGGUUUUGUGUUUUUACAUGUUGACUGACUGCGGAUCGAUGGGCCCUGGGGGGGGAUGAAAAUACCAGGCUGAGUUGCAGACGUUGAUAUUGAGAAUUUGCAUUGAUCGCCCGGAUACUGUCGCAUUCACGAACACUGGACGGUCUGAUCCACCGCAGGAGUGUUCUUUGCGGAAAAGUGGUUUGAAUAGCUGUGCAACCCGUGAGCCUAAGGGGUUAUAUGCAUGGAGAGUAGUAGUGCAUUGGACUUGAGGUUGCGGUUGCCUGCAGGAGAAUUGGUUUUGUUGGUACUUUUGAUGAUGUGUCCGUGAGCAUACGCUAUCGUAGCAGUUGUUGCAUGCAUAUUUACAGUUUUUCUAUUAUUACUUGUCUUGCUCUAUAGUUGAUACCAAGUAUGUUUUAUAUUCUUCUUACAGUAGCGGUAGUCGUUAUUAUAAAUUUGGUUCAUGUAUUGAUGUUGCUAUAUAUUUAGACUAUAUUGUAUUAUUUAUACAUUCUUUCGUUAUAUUGUUCUACUGUAUUCCAGCUGACGUUUUUGUUAUAUAGCUUCCUGAUCCGGUGAGUAUCUCGCUUUUUCUUCGGGUUGCGGUACCUACUGGGAGGGCGAGCAUGUUUAAUGUUAUCACUCCGCCAUUUUUUUUAGGUAUCGCGAGCGAUGAGUAGUGGGACGAGACGUGAGGUACGUGUGUAGCGGUCGAUAGAGCUUCCGACCCAGGUUAUUUCGGUAUAGUUAUUACCCUUAUUAUUUCAGUUGUUAUAGCUUAGAUAGUUAUAUGGUUCAGUAUUUUUAUUACAUUUGAAAAUAUGGAUUUUCGUGAAUGUAAUAAACGGAUUUCUGGAUUUUGUAAAAUAAAAGGUUUUCUACCCCUCGUGGCAGCGUUUUUAAAGAAUAAAGGUUUUCGUGUAGGAAACAGUUUUCAAAAGGUUUUCUGUGGAUUUUGCAUCUUAGUAUUUCAAAACCUGUUUCUGUGGUUGGAAAUAUUUUAACUGAUAGGUGUGGAUUUAUGCAUAAAUGUGAAUCUGUGGUGAAUGGUGUAUGAAUAUGUAUAACGGUUGGUUAUUUGUAUGUUCAUUUGUUGUGGUUGUGCCUGGAUGACUUCUUGUACUUGUGCGACGCCGUGCAAAUACAGGAGAGAUUCUGUCCGUGUGAACAGUGGAUUCCCUGUAUUUGUGGCGGAUCUGGCAUACUCUGGGGUCAGGUUUUCAAAAAUAAAAUUCAGACGCUUUUCCGCUUUGUUUUAAACUGAAAAGGGACCCCGGGGCGUGACAGAUUAGAUUAAUGCCUUUGAAGGCGAUUUCCGUCUACCACCUGUCUGCGCCUAUUUGGCUCAACAAGUAGUCUCUAAGAUUUGUCAUAAAUACCAGUCAAAUGUUUAUAUUACUAUUUUAAACCAAAAAACUAUAUAGUGUACGAAACAUGCACGUCAACGUAUCAACAACUUUAAUUUAAGUUCUUUGCAGGACGAAAGGAAAAGAAAAGGUGAUAUGAAUGAUGAAUAUUGAUACUAUCGUGGUAUAUUUUCAUACCUGUUGUGUCUAAUUGUUUUCAUAACCUGAAGGGCGUGUUUGGUUCGCACUAUGAAGGAUUAUUAGGAGUAAAAAGAUAUCCAAGAAUCUUAUUUCUAUUCAUCAUAUUACUAAGAAUGUAAUAUUUCGGUGUUUGGUUCGUACGGUCAUAUUAUUUAGUCAUGUUAUUUAAGAUUACGAAAAAUAUACAAUUAAUUAAUUUAUUUAUUUAUUUAUUUUUAAAUAAUACUAUAAAAAAUUUCAACAUCUUUUUAGAAAAAAGAGAGAGAGGAUGUAGGUUAGAAUGAGAGAGCAUAAUUAAAGAAAUAGGAAGAGAAAUAGAGUCGAUGUUAGAGGAAAUGAGAGGGUUGAGAUUUUAGAAAAAGAAGGGGAGAAAUAGUUUAAUCUAGAGAGAGAAAAAGAGUUGAAGUUUAGAAAGAAAAAGAUAAGUUUAGAAAGAGAUACGAGGUUAGAGUGUAAAGAAAAAUAAUACUAACUAGCCAGCAGGUGGGAAGAAAAAAAAAAUUAAACAUAUUAUAAUUACUUCAAUCUAUUAAUACAAGGAUACCCACCCUCCCUUAAAGGAAUGAGAUUAGUACUUUGGGAUGCAUCUUAUUCCCAAGUAAAUCCAGUAUUACCAACUAGAUUACUUAAUGCGUUUAGCCAAACACCGUCAUAUUUUUUUAUUUCUACUGGAUUAUUAAGAAUCUUAAAAAGAUAGCGCGAAUCAAACGCACCCGAAAUUCCAGAUGUAGCAAGAUAUGCAAGCUUAUCAAAUUUAAGAGAAUUUUAGCAAGAAGAUAUGUAGUUCUAUUUUUCUUUUUCCAAUCAAACCAAGUCGAUUAGAAAGAGAAAGUAUGUUUUUUCUCAAAAAAAGAAAGAGAAAGUAUGUCUACAGCUAGCAUGUAUUACCUCUUCUCUUUUUUUUUUUUUUCCAGUUAUUUAAGAAAUUAAUUAACGACCUACCAAUGAUAAACUAGCAAGUAGAUAUAUAAUCCUUCAUGGAUUCAGAAAGAUGCUGGUCAUGGGCUUUGUUAGGAUUUGGUAAGAUUUGUAGAUUAAUUCUAGUUGGAUUAGAAUUAAUAUUUAAAUAUGUUGGAGAUAAAUUAAAAUUUAAAUAUUAAUUAAAGUAUAAAUCUAACUAGAUUAGGAUUACUAUUUAAAUCUAUUAGAGAUAAAUAAAGAUAGAUUUAAAUAUUAAUUAAAAUCGAAAUCCUAUUGUAUUAGGAUUGGGGUACAUCCUUGAUUGAGCAUUAUAUAUAAUGUAUUGGGCAAAUUAAUUAGCCAAGAAGCAAAAAAAAACAUAGGCUACUGAGGCUGUGACGUGUACGGCCAAGGUGAUCUCCUUGCCGUACGUUAGACAAGAGAGCGAGAGAAGGCUGUGAGGUGUACAGCCAAGGUGAUCUCCUUGCCGUACGGUAGAGAGAGAGAGAGAGAGAGAGAGAGAGAGAGAGAGAGAGAGUGAGUCUUGUCUAAGGUUAAACACAUGCACCUUGUGCAGGGGUGCAUGUAAAAGAGGAAAAGGGAGUUGUCUUCUUUGUGGAUUUAUAGAAUACGAGAGAAGGAUAGAAAAGAUUCAGAAAGAGGGUUCGGGUUGUAGCUAUUCUAUACAGAAGAGAAAUCAGGUGGCACAUUCGAGGGUCAGUUUCGAAGUUUAUCUAGAUCAUGAGUACGCAUCUGACUUAGUCAACAUUUUGAUCCGGUCGGCAUCAUCUCGAAUUCGGUUCACAGCCCAACACCACCAUAAUGGGAUGUAUGCAUGUAGGUACACAUUUAGCAAAGUAACAACUAUAAUUGAAUUAUUGAACUAACUAAAAAUAUAGGGGCAAUUUCAUCACUAGCCCUCUUAAAUAUGUAAAUAUCGUAGAUACCCCUGCAAAGUUAAAAAUAUCAUAUAUACCCCUUCAAAUGCAAAAAAUUUUCACAAUUACCCUUUCUUCUAACGGCUGUUACUAUAAUCAUGGUUAAAGUUUGGUUAAAUAAAGAUUGAGUUACAAAAUGACUAAUUUAGCCCUAAAAAAGUUAGGUGUUAUUUUGAUAGCAAAUAAUUAAGGGGCAAUUUCAUAAGUACCCUUCUAAAUUUUAAAAAUAACAUCUCUAGCACUAAUUAUUAGUGCGUAAAAAAUAAAAAAACCCCUCACCGAUAGAUCAUUUUGAACUAGACCAUUUUAAGUUUUAUUUUUUAACAUUAAGAGACCUUGAACUAUUAGUUUUUCUUUAUUUUGACUUUACUUAUUUAGAAGGGUACUUAUGAAAUUUCCUCACAUGAAUUUGAUAAAAUUUUUAAUUUUGUUGGGAAAGACACUCAAUUGAUAAAAUUAAAAAAAAAAAACACUUAGGUUGAGAGGGUAUAUAUAUAGAGAGUUUUGUUAUAAUACUAUCGGUAGUACAGCUUGGUUUACUACGAUUUGUUUUCAAUGAUAGAACUUUCAAAUUGACAAUCGGCAUCGUUAAACAUAAUAUAAACCAUUUAAACUAUCUGAAAGUUAAAUUUCACGCUUUUCCGAGUUAGGAUUAUGUCGAAGUGGACUAUAGAUGAGAGGGUUUUCAUAAAAUUUUAUUUUAUUGUUAACAAUAAAUUUUCAAUUAAAAAUUUUUUGUUUGAGCAGAUCAUAUAAGUAAUACUCGAGAAUUUUGAUAUCAAAAUAUUUUUAGCCUGAGAUAUGUGAGUUAUUUAAAUAAAAUUUUUAAAAAUAAAUCUUUAAAUAGUUAAUGUUGAAUUCUACUAUGGACAAAUUGCAUUAUAACUAUGUAUAAUUUAAAAGCGAAAAAUCAUAAUGAGAUUUAACUAUUACACUUAAUAGACUAUAGAUCUUUAAUUGAAAUAUUUUAAAAAUAAUGUUAAAUUAUUAUGUGAUUCAAAUGUUAAAAAUUGAUCAGAUAAUUAAUCUUAAAUAUUACAUAUUUAAAAUGUUGCUAGGGGUAAAAUUGGUAUUUAUAAAAUAUUGGAUGACCACUCGACGGAAAGUGAACCUAAAAGGUAUCUGUGAACAUUUUUGGUUUUAAGAGGGGUAUUGAUGAUAUUUUUUAGUUUAAAGGAUUUUUCAUGAAAUUAUGAUUUUUCAGAGAGGUAUUGAUGAAAUUAUCCCAAAAAUAUAUAUAUAUGAAUUCGCACUGUGACAAUAUGGAUUUUGACAGGGAGCGAGGUUACAUUAACACACAACUAGGAAACUCGUAUACUUAAAGCUUGGAGCCAUUAAUACAUGUCAACAUUUGUCCUGUCGAUUUUUACUUCAAGCAGCUGGUUUGAUCUUCAUAUGAUAAGUCUUUUUCAUCUUUACAAAGAUAUGUAAAGUAGCCAGUCGUAUUCCCGUUAGGAAUUUACACGUGAAAUAUUUCACAUCGUAUAAUUAAUAAAAAAGUAAAAUGUUGAUGUAUGCUAAUAACUACUCUCUCAUACUUGCACUAUGCUGAAAUGUGACGGAUUAGCUAUUAAAUAUUUAUUUAUUUAAAUUUAAAUAUAAUGAAACGUCAGUCUUUUUACACGUGGCGGCAAGGGAGCCCACCCUUUUUUUACAUUUUUUUUAUUUUUUAAUUUUUAAUUUUUUCUCUUUCAUUAUACGUAUUUUUAAAUAUUUUAAAUUAUAUAUAUUAAAUAUAAAUUUUAAUUUUAUAAUAAUAAUUAUUUAGAUAUAAAUUGUACAAUAAAAAAUAAAAGAGCCAUGGAUGAAAUUUAAGUUAAUUACUUAUUUAAUAAAUUUAGUUGCGAAAAUUACAUGAAGUACUAAUUAAAUCUAAACAAAACGACACAUUUAAAUUUUGAAAUCAAAAUAUUAUUAACUGACUCAAAUCUAACAUAUAAAAAGAUUAGAUAGUAAAAAUAAAAUUUUGAAAGGUUAGGUAACUGAUUCAAAAUGAUUUGUAGUUCAAAAAAGUUUCGUACGUUUUUACUUUAAUUUUAAUAUUAAACUUCAGAACCAUAUUUAUAAUCUGACGAGUGAUCAAUUUCACAUUUAAAAUAUUUUGAAAUAUCCAAAAUAUGAUUGGUCGAUUUUUAAUUUUAAUAAAUUAGGCAUUCUAAAAUUUAUUAGAUAGCUUAACAUAUUCUUUCCUCAAAUGAAAUUACUAAUUGAAUAAAACGAUCGAUACUCAAUUCUGUCUUUGUCGGAAAUAACAUUAAAAUAUAAAAAGGAUAAAUUACGCUUUUGAUCCUCAAACUACAAGACACAUGACACUUUAGUCCUCGAAUUCUAAUAGGUUAUAUUUUAUUGCUCAAAAAAGUAUAAGGCACGUGAAGCUUUAGUUCUCAAAUUUUAAUGAGUUGUAAUUUUAGACUCAAACUACUGUUAUUAUAAAUAUAAUUUAUUAUUCUUAUAAUAUCUUUUAUUCUUUUUUAUCUUUUUUAUAUAUUUUUUUAUAUUUUACUAUAGUAGCUAGUGUUUUUUUUAUUUUUUUUAUCCUUAUUUAUUUCUACGGAAUCGACCCGCCUCAACGCACGGAUACCUUCACUAGUAAACCUUAAAUUCAGGGAUGAAAAAAGCAAAGUUGCAUUAGGUUACUCUUGGCAUUUUUCUAAGGCUAAAUUAUAGAAAAUUUCUCUAUAAAUAUCUAUUUUUUACUUUUUUCUUUUCUGAGUACUUUCAAAAGUAUAUAUUUUCUUCUCUUAAAAUUUUAAAAAUAUUUUUAGAGGAUACGGCGUUAAUGGAAAUGACAAAAUAACCAAAUUGCCUUACUUCUUCUAUAAGAAAAAAAAUAUACUUUUUUAAUAUAUUUCUGGGAGUUUGAAGGACAUUUUCAAUAUAAAUUAUAAGAAAGGGAUAGAAUAGCGAUGGAACCCUCACAGAGGGGGAUUAAAUUCAACAACUUGAAAUGUUGAGAGAGUAAAAUAUAAAUUUUUAAAAAUUAGAAGAAAAAAAGUAAAAAAAUAUAUAUAUAUUUAUAAUAUUUUUUUUCUGUAAUUUAGCCUUUUUCCAAGCCAUGCUCCUCUCGCAUCCACGCAUUUGAUGUAUGUGCCAAAGGAACAUCUACCUGCCCUACCGACAGGCUUGAUUUAUUGGAAUGGCCAUCAUAUCUAUUUCUAACCAUUCAUUUUAUACCAAAUUUAUGCAUAAAAUAUAUAUUUGACUUUACCAAAUAGUAGUAGUCUCUAAGAUUUGUCAUAAACUAGUGAAGGCCCGCGCUUCGCCGCGGAAAAUUUACGCAAUUUCUAAAUUUUUUUAAAUAGAUUAUUCAAUAUUGUUUGCUAAAGUUGGUUAUAAAAAUUAAGUAAAACCAAAAUGAAUAAUUAAAUAUUUAAAAUUUAAAAUUUUUUAUUAUCCAAAUUUUAAAUGUAAAUUUAGAAUAUAAAAUGUUCAAGCUUAAAAUUUAAAUUUUAGCAUAUGAAAUUGAAUUCUCAAUAUUUGGAAUUAAAUAUUUGAAUUUUUAAAAUUCAAUCUAUAAUUUAAUAUAUAUUUAAAAUAUUGAAACUUGAAAUUUGAAAUUUAAAACUUAAAAAUCUUAUAUUUUAUCUUAAUUACUAAAACUAAAUUUUAAAAGUUUACAAUUUUACAUUUUAAAUUUCAGUUUUUGAAUUUUAAAUAUUAGAUUUUGUAUGAAAUUUUGCUGAAUUCAAAAUGUUUUUAUGUAAUUCUAACCUUUCAUAAUUCUGAAUUCGGAAAUAUCGUCGAUGUAAUUUCGAAUUCUGAAUUCUAUCCUUUUAUACGCAUCAAAUAUCCUGAUGCAGCUCAGAUCCGAAUUCUAAAUUUUAAACUUUACAUGCAUCGAAUAACUCCAGGUAGAUAAUUCAAAGUUCAGCUAAGCAAGCAGGAAUUCAGCUAGGGAAUUCAAAAUUCCAUGAAGAAUAUAGGAAAAAUAACUAUACUUUGUUCAAACUCUCCUAGCCAGUUUAUUUCUUAUUUUCAAGUUUCGGCCAAAUCUGAGGAAAACUGAGUUGUAGAGGGUAAAGAGUUAGGUAGGAAGGUCAUUGAUAAGCUACACCGCUACUAUAGUUCUGAACUUGCUGCAAAGAUAUUUGUGUAUGAUGCGGGGAAAAGCCUAUUCACAUUAGGAUCUCUCCCACAAAAUAAUUUCGAGAAUUUUAGAAUUAAUAUUUAGAAUUCAGAACUUAGAAUCUACAAUUCAUAAUGCAAAUUCAUACAAAAUGUUGCUUAUGGCAGGAACUAUGUUUUUUUAUUUGAGACACAUAGCAAAAGCAAAUAAUUAAACAAACAAAUAUAUAUAAUUUUCAAAAUUUUAAAACUUAUAAUUUUAGCAUAAAAUUUAAAACCCACAAUUUAGAAACUAAAAUUUAGAAUUUAAAACAUAAAAGUUUUAAAAUUUAGUUUUUGUAAUUAAGGAAAAAUAUACAAUUUUAAAUUGUAAGUUUCAAAUUUUAAAUUUAAACAUUCAAUAUUUUAAAUAUUAAACUGCAAAUUGCAUUUAAAAAAAUCAAAUACUAAACUUUAAAUAUUGAAAUUUUACUUUUAAAUGUAAAAAUUAAAAUUUUAAGUUCCGACAUUUUAUAGUAAACGCAAUUUUGCAAAAGAUAAAUCCAAAUCAUCAUACAUCUGUAAAGUAACAAAACUAAAAAUCCAUAAAAAACUAAUAGUAAGAACUAAAUAUCAAUAGUUGCAUAACAACAAUAUGAUAUAUAUACCGGAAGUACCUGAUUCAGUGGUAUCUUGUAAUAUGGAACCAAUGAACCAACCUACAUAAAGAAGCCCUAAUUUGCAUCAUAAAAUUGGAAUAGGAUAAUAAUAAGAAUUGCUUCAGAUAGUUGUACAUAAUUUGGAUGAGUCAGAGAUAUCUACUUACAGACUCACCACUUGCAUUCAUAAAAGUUUGACGUUUGGCAAGCAUGACAGGAGAAUCACGAAUACGGCCUGCAUGUAAAACAACUAAAAUAUAUUAAAAUAUAUCUAAAUCAAAGUAUAUAUAUUCUGUAUUAAGUUACUAACAAGGUUUGCAAUUCCCAGCAUAAAAUGAGCAAAUAAUUAAACAAACAAAGAAAAAAUUGCAUAUUUAUUUGCGGAUAUUAGCCAACACCUAAGAGUUAAGCAGAUUAAUUGGUUAUCAUAAGUUAGGAUUAAAAGAUGGCUCAGGUGGCAAAUGAUUAAUAUACUACAAAACUUCGCAACACAUUCCUACAGACAAAAGAAUCAGUCAUUUGGUACAUCCAAAGAAUAAUGUUGAUGUACAUGUACAGAUUCAUCUUCUCUCCUAAAUUAAAUAGAAAAGAAAAGAACUAAUAAUUGCGUAUAUAAUGGACAAAAUUCGUAUUACGAAAAAUAUAUCGACAUCUAACAUAUAAUAAACAUAAUACGCUUCACAUUAAAAUUACAUGUACUAAUAACAAUAGUCUAAAUUAUUCAAGUCUUAUUUAUAUAAUUUAUAUAAAAUAAUAGCAAUAUAAUACAAUUAUAAUAAAAGAUAUAUUAUCUAUAAAAAGCAAGUAUAUAUAACUAUAUUAUGAGAGAGAGAGGGAGAAUGAAAAGAGAGAAGAAGAAGAAUAUAAAUAUAUAUUUAAAAUAACCAAUUUAUAUAUAUAUUUAUAAAAAUUUUUAUAUAUAUAAUAAAUAAAAACAAUAUAUACUAUAUAAUAUAAUAAGAAGAGAAGAAGAAAGAAGAGAAGAGAGAGAGAGAUAUUGUCAGACCCGGCGAAGUCCUUCCCGGCACCCCGCAAAUCCACACGUAUACAAAGGACUUUUCCCUUAUACAACGUCAAAAAGUACCUGUAGAUAUACAAUACUACAAAACAGUAAAUAGGAGCGCUCAAUAUACAGAAUCUAAACAAUAUUCAUUACAAACCAAUCCAAAAAUACAGAGUUACCCCAGCACAGGAGAGUUAAUAACAAGACAUUAAACUCAACAAACAUCUAGCUGCAUAGGGUUGCCCUACUCUGUCAGUUCGGUAGGUCUAGCUUAGACGCCUGCCUCGAUCGGCUGCUCUGCGAAGCGCAGCAGCCGAAACCUGUGGCUCUGCAAAACAAGUAACAACUGGCGUAGAACUACUGUAAAAACAAGUAUCCCUGGGCUACCGCCAAUAAACAUCGUCACCCACAUAAUAUACAGAAGGGAGAGGAUAGUAGGAUAAAGCGAGAUAAUCUACCGCUAUCAAUCAUAACUAUCAUACUCAACCUACUCAACUGAAGGAAUGUCAAAUCUGCCCAUCCAAUCGGCGUAAUACCCGUCCUGGACUCCGUGAAUACAGCCGUCCCUGCCCGUUGCGACAUGGCUCUACUCACACUGACUGCUCCUGAGAGAAGUCCAACUGGCAAGACGACACCAACCGCGAAACACAAGGUGACUCGAUCACUCGUGGGCUCUACCACCAACCGAGUAUGCACGUACUUGUCGAGCUCAAUCAGGCUCUCAUAUCCAAAGCCAAUAACCAUUCAAACUUCAAAAACCAUGAACAGGUAAUAUUACCCUCGCACAUCUGACCUUAAAAAGGCGAUACGGUCAGCCGCUAACCUCUGCACGCACCGGCACAUUCCGGAACAAAUCUGAACGAACCCUGAGUAAAAUCACAUCGCAUCACCACACGAGCGUAAAAUUCUAAAACACCUGGAGUAUCUCUUCCUGAGAUACUGCGCAUACAGAUUUUAUAACGCUCCUAAGCAAAUAGGCAGUUAAAAGGUGAUCAGGUCAAAAUUGGGCAGGUUUCUCUAAUUCAAUUUUCACAGUCAAAUAUAAGACACUUAAAUUAUAUACCAACUCUUCCAAACCAGAAUUGGGCAAUCUAUCAUAUAACCAAUGAAUUCGAGCUAGAAUAAGAUUAUCAAAACGAGAUCUAUACAUAUCGACAUAGAACUUGGAGUCAAAAACCGAUGUCACACCUCGCACUAAUCCUCGUCAGCACGACUCUCACGACGGCGAAAAAACUGUGAGUCGACCAAAAAUGCCGAAGUCCGAAAUCGAGCCAACCAAACAAAAACACAAAAUCAAUUUCAGUCCAAAAUCCAAACAACAGCAAAGAGAAAUUCGACCAUCUAACCUCACUAAAAAUUUCCAAGUAAGCUUCGUGAUUCCUCUCGAAGUCCGAAUCCAGAGAACCAAUCUCGUCGCACAAUCCGAUGCUCCUACCGGAGAACGAGCUAAACUAACAGUCGACGACAAAAUCCUGCAAUCCACACUAACUCGAAAUAAUAACCACGAGUAUUCGCAACCAAUUCCACAGAGCACCACCUCGAAGACUCCCAAGAGUCGACGCAAUGGUUCGAGACGACGGAAAUCCAAGCCUCGCACCGAGCUCCUCACAACCAAACGACACAACGUCGCCGAACGGUCCGCGGCACACGUCGCGACGAAAUCCACCCGAGCUCCUCCUAGCCACUACAUCGUUUGAAGUGAGAAGAGAAUAGCAGCAGAGAACUCCCUCAUCGUGUCCUCACAAGGCUCAAUAGAAGAGGGAUGAACUGUGUACAAACAGAGAGAAGAACAAAACACCUCUCACCUACCUGUUAUAUUCGCUGGUAUACGGGAUCGCAGUACCGUACAAGCCAGACGAGGAGCAUAACGCCUCAAUCCAGACUAGUUACGUCACCACUGCUGACCGUACCUCCGCAAGCAGGAAAAUCUUGUAUUUUGCAGAAUUUCUUCGCAACUGCCCGCGUCGCACGAGUCCUUUGCUCUUGAGACAACUCGACUCGAACUUGUCCUCGCCCACUCUCCAGAGCUAUCACAACCUCACAUAGUCAAACACCAGGGAUCCACAUCCUCCCCCACUCCAAAAGGUGUUUCGUCUGCGAACAUGAACGUUACCUCUGCUCAUCAUCGACAAAUAGCGAUAGCUUUCCCUCGCCAUCCGUUAAACUCCCAGUCGCCUCCGCUAUCAUGAUUAUCCACGCACUUUCACAAGGGAGACCCGGUGCCAAUUCUUUCGUCUCCCGACAAAGAAUCCGCAACGGCCGGCUCUACGUAUCUCAGAUCCUCGCCAUCUCAUUAAGUGAAUAAUCACAGACAUGGAAUCGAAACUAAUCUCACAAUGCUGAUAGUGAAAAACAUAGUGGAUACCAGCAAGUCGCAGGGUAGAGUAUCCGAACACCGGUCCGAUACCUCCAAUACCUCGACCAACAGGCCAACAAACCGUGACUAAGCUUUCCACGUACUCCAAUGGCGUAUCCCUCUGACGGCGAACUUGAGAAACAACAUUAUCUCCACUCUGAAACUGCCAACUCGUUCUUCGUAAUCGCGUAGCUCACUGUCGGCUCUCUGCUUUCUAAAAGUGUCGCGAACGACUCUCACCUUUUUCCUCAGCCUCAAGUAGAAUCUCUGGUCAAGUGUCCUCCCUCACCCAUACACUCCAAAACAGAGGGAAUCGACAUCUGCGUCUAUCAGACGCCCUCUCAAACAGAACCAUCUAAUCUCGUUGAUACUGUUGUUGUACUCAAACAUCAACCAGUACCACAUUACAUACACCUCGCCAAAAAUCCAGACGCAUGCCUCAGAUGUCCUCUCACAGAGUCUGUAUCGUCCGCCUCUGAACUGAACCAUGCCUCCUGGGGGAGCCGUGCAAAGAUUGGCAGGUUGUUGCCAAGUGAUGAAAGGCUCGUCCAAACACUGGCAUAUGCAAACCCUCGACUCCUUUUGAUACACCACUGGCUAUAUCGUCCGUGCAGCUCUAAUGCAACUCAUCCAAGUAUAGCUGGCGCGGAUCCCAUCCUGCACCAAGGUAUUCUGAACCGUAGGUUUAAUAGAGACUUGGCAGUCUUCCCUAUCAUCUCAAUCGCGUCGUAAAAAAAAGCCCACCUGCACUCUAAGAAAUCGAACGACGAAAGUCCAUCGGAGCACUCAUCCCAUUUCACUCGGCACUGCGAGAUUCUGAAGCUUCCAGCAGGCACCGUGAUACUCGCCUUUACCCGUGUUGCAAGUCAAACCACUGAACCCAAAUUAUCGCAAUGUCCUCUCUUCAUUCCAGGCCACCAGAAUCGGCCUAAUCCUCAUCAAUCUGGUUCCCCAGGUGAAACCGAUAAGGGAAAAUGAGCCCUCCCCAAAUAUCCCUCGAUAUCUCAGUCCACAAAGACAACACAAUCGUCCCUGUAUCGAAUACUCCGAACUGUCCAACAAAACCCUCAGCCUGUCUCCCCUGUCUAUGCGACUCUAAUACCUCAACAAUACGGAUCUCACCUUUUCUACUCAGUCUAUCCAACAGAGGUGUCUUAACAAAAUACACGCGCCACGGGCCGGCAGAGCCCUCCCGGUGGCCGGCCAAGACCCCCAUAAGUCACAAUAAAGGGUCUACAAUAACAACAAAUAAAAGCAAAAGUAAUGGAAAAAUAGAAGAAGUGAAAUAACUAGCAACUAUAUAUCAAACAGUAAAUUCUAAAUAUCUUACACCAAUAGUAAUAGAAAACUAAAACAUAAAAAAACAUAAGUUAUAGAUCACCCUCAUACAAAAAUGUGUACACUAUACGGGUAAAACUCUCCCAUCCUCAAAUGAAUACAUCGAAGGUAACCACCUAACAACCUCCCUCCUAAGACUAGCUGAAGCAAUGCCCUUCCCUUCGUCCCGCUCACCCGCGGAAGCUCGAAAGAAAUCAUAAAACAGAGGGCCUUGAGAAAACUAAAAUUUAAGUUCCCAGUGGGCAUUAACUGACCUGCCAGCCACUCGCACCACAGCCAAAAAUAAAGAGUCGUAUACUAAAAACAAAUAAGGAUAAAUACAACGUAAGAAAGCAUUAUGCCAAGUGAGUACAUCACCUAAUCAUAGAUAUAAAUUCCAAAUCAUACUAAAUAUCUCAACAAUAACUAAAAAGUAAACCUCACAUCAAUAUGUCACAUAAGGUAAACACUACCAACACACCCGAGAACUACUAUUCAAUAAUGAAACCGACAAGAAAUACUAAGUACCCAAGCUAAAUCAUGAGCAUAUCCAAGUAAUCCAAACACUAAUCCUAUCUAGUAUGAUAGUCCAUAUACAACACCGUUCGAAUCCAUUCCAAUUUCAGGACCGUACUCAAAGAUCCAGGUCCGCCUUAAGCCUUUAUAGCCCAACAUCCCUACUACUUGGAUUUCUAGUCCCACUGACACCGUAGGCUAUCUAAAUACCGCACANNNNNNNNNNNNNNNNNNNNNNNNNNNNNNNNNNNNNNNNNNNNNNNNNNNNNNNNNNNNNNNNNNNNNNNNNNNNNNNNNNNNNNNNNNNNNNNNNNNNUGACAGUGAUGCAACCGAGGGGUACGCGGCGGGCACCAAGUGGCUAUGGACACGCGACCCAGCUUGUGGGACCUGCUGCUGACGACGUCGUGGCAGGUAUGAGUUAUUCAUGCAGUUAUGUGUUUCGGCAUGAUGUAAAGUUGGAGCGUCACAUGCAUUGAGUAUAUAGUUAAUUACUACUAUUUAUGUAGUAGUAUAGUAAGGACCAAGAAUGUGAUAUGCCGAAGAAUUCGGAAAGUAAAUGUCGAACUGUCACGCCCCGGGACCCAGCGGAAGCCCGCCCGGCGCGUGCCCAGACCCGCCAUAUGUCUACAACAUAUAAGGCGUCUAAAAACAACAAUAAUAAAAGCAAUAAUAAAAGACAUCUAGGAGUAUCAGAGCAUAAUAAAUGUCUAAAUGCUACGACGAGGGAUAAGGAUAAAACUGUAAAUCCACUAAAUAAAACAUAAAGUAAGUACAAUAGGGAUCCCAAACACAAGUGCUAUAGGUAGGUACACAGGUGGUCUCUAUACAUGGAUACAAAAGCCUCACACUCUCUCAAACUACAAAAUGGAGAAGAAGUAACCACCUAGCGCAAAAAGAAACUCUCCCGAGCUAGCUACGCGACACCCUUGCCGCGAUCCCAUGCCUCCGCCGGUGCCGAAGGCUCUGAAAAGGAAACAUAGAAACAGGGGCGUGAGAACUAUUAAAAUAGUUCCCAGUGGGCAAUUACUGACUUCAGUGAAUGCACCACAAGGCCCAAAGCUACAAAAGAUGUGAGUGACUAUAAAUGUAGGAAAGCGAAAGGCAAGUAAAAAAAAAAAUGUAACUUAUUACAACAUGAUAUCUCUACUUAGCAUAAAUAGCAUAAGUAUGAAGCAAGUAUGCAUGAAGUGAAAGUCUCCAACUAUUAUAAUGUUCACAAUGCGAAAUAGUAAAGUUCCGUUGUUUACUAUUCUAGUCAAAGUCCAAGAAAUACUCUAAGUCAGUAUCUGUCCACAUGUCAUGAUGAAUGCUCAAGUCAAAUCUGAAGAGACCCACCCGAAGGCUGUCUAUGGCCCUGAGACCCACCCGAAGGCUGUCUGGCCGGUGCCGGGCCUAAUGGCCCCGUGGUAGUCAACACCCCCACCCUAGGAGUGAGUCUGGCCCACGGCAAUCCACUUCGGCGCCCAAUCCCGCACGGCGAAUAUGUAUCGCGAUGGCCAUCUCCGGAGUGCCGGCUUGCAGGGAGCGACCCUCACAACCAUGUGCGAAUGAGCACAAUGGCAAGUAAUCAAACGAUCGGUCGCAAGUACCAAAUUCUCAUGUUCAGUAACAUAGUAUAUAGCAAAUGUCCUCGUGGCCAAGUCACUAUUUCAUCAUAUCUCAAAUAUGGAAUAUAGUUGUUGUCAAUGUGGCCUAUUAUCAAGUCUCUAUGUUGCAGUUUAAUAAUUCUCUAGUCCAAGUGCCUCUUUAUGACACCAUGGCUCAUUUUGUCCCAACAUGGAUACUAAGUUCAAGAACUUAUAAUUUCUAGUCAAAAUCGAAGCAUGAAACUUUAUUUCCUAUCAUCUCAUAGAAUAUUCGUCGCAUGCAUAUUAACAAGGCACAUUUGUCUCUCUACUAUAUAGAGUAACCUUCUUGAUGCAUAAAAUAUGAGUUCCAAGCAUUCAAAAUUCCCAUAAAUGCUACUAAACAUGAAUAUGCAUGAAUUUGAAGAGAAUGAAAGCAUUUAACCACUUAGGAGGAAUUUCCUCCNNNNNNNNNNNNNNNNNNNNNNNNNNNNNNNNNNNNNNNNNNNNNNNNNNNNNNNNNNNNNNNNNNNNNNNNNNNNNNNNNNNNNNNNNNNNNNNNNNNNNNNNNNNNNNNNNNNNNNNNNNNNNNNNNNNNNNNNNNNNNNNNNNNNNNNNNNNNNNNNNNNNNNNNNNNNNNNNNNNNNNNNNNNNNNNNNNNNNNNNNNNNNNNNNNNNNNNNNNNNNNNNNNNNNNNNNNNNNNNNNNNNNNNNNNNNNNNNNNNNNNNNNNNNNNNNNNNNNNNNNNNNNNNNNNNNNNNNNNNNNNNNNNNNNNNNNNNNNNNNNNNNNNNNNNNNNNNNNNNNNNNNNNNNNNNNNNNNNNNNNNNNNNNNNNNNNNNNNNNNNNNNNNNNNNNNNNNNNNNNNNNNNNNNNNNNNNNNNNNNNNNNNNNNNNNNNNNNNNNNNNNNNNNNNNNNNNNNNNNNNNNNNNNNNNNNNNNNNNNNNNNNNNNNNNNNNNNNNNNNNNNNNNNNNNNNNNNNNNNNNNNNNNNNNNNNNNNNNNNNNNNNNNNNNNNNNNNNNNNNNNNNNNNNNNNNNNNNNNNNNNNNNNNNNNNNNNNNNNNNNNNNNNNNNNNNNNNNNNNNNNNNNNNNNNNNNNNNNNNNNNNNNNNNNNNNNNNNNNNNNNNNNNNNNNNNNNNNNNNNNNNNNNNNNNNNNNNNNNNNNNNNNNNNNNNNNNNNNNNNNNNNNNNNNNNNNNNNNNNNNNNNNNNNNNNNNNNNNNNNNNNNNNNNNNNNNNNNNNNNNNNNNNNNNNNNNNNNNNNNNNNNNNNNNNNNNNNNNNNNNNNNNNNNNNNNNNNNNNNNNNNNNNNNNNNNNNNNNNNNNNNNNNNNNNNNNNNNNNNNNNNNNNNNNNNNNNNNNNNNNNNNNNNNNNNNNNNNNNNNNNNNNNNNNNNNNNNNNNNNNNNNNNNNNNNNNNNNNNNNNNNNNNNNNNNNNNNNNNNNNNNNNNNNNNNNNNNNNNNNNNNNNNNNNNNNNNNNNNNNNNNNNNNNNNNNNNNNNNNNNNNNNNNNNNNNNNNNNNNNNNNNNNNNNNNNNNNNNNNNNNNNNNNNNNNNNNNNNNNNNNNNNNNNNNNNNNNNNNNNNNNNNNNNNNNNNNNNNNNNNNNNNNNNNNNNNNNNNNNNNNNNNNNNNNNNNNNNNNNNNNNNNNNNNNNNNNNNNNNNNNNNNNNNNNNNNNNNNNNNNNNNNNNNNNNNNNNNNNNNNNNNNNNNNNNNNNNNNNNNNNNNNNNNNNNNNNNNNNNNNNNNNNNNNNNNNNNNNNNNNNNNNNNNNNNNNNNNNNNNNNNNNNNNNNNNNNNNNNNNNNNNNNNNNNNNNNNNNNNNNNNNNNNNNNNNNNNNNNNNNNNNNNNNNNNNNNNNNNNNNNNNNNNNNNNAGUUUGCAGAUUUUGAUUCUUAAGCUCUCGAAAACCUCCCACAAUGCACUUUUACUCAUUCUAACGCCUUCGGUCUUUCCGAAGCAUAGCAACCUUGCACUUCGGUCAAUUUGACUAAAGUUCGUGUGACGCACUGGACCUUUGCAAAUUGCGAGAUUCGAGUGUUUGAUCUGUGUGACGAGCCAUCUCAGACUUUCUGAAGGGUCGUAGACAGUGUUCCGACCCAUGGUUCGAGUCCCGAGAAUUGUGGUUUGAAACGGUGUACCAAAAUCCAAAAAGUUGGAUUUUUGGUUAGCUCUCGGGUUGCCUUCAGCGGGCUGCGUACCGGUACGGGUUCGCUUGCUGUACCGGUACGUGAUCGAUGGCUGUACCGGUACGUGGUGGUGUACCGGUACACAGACCAUUUCCCAGCAAACCCGAGGCUCGGGUUUGGCUUUUCGUGGGUGGUGUAUCGGUACACACACCCGUGUACCGGUAUCCCUGCUGUAGAGACCAGUCCCCGAACGCGUGAGAAACCCAGCAGAGGAGAAAAAUUGGCUAAGUCCCAGAAAACAGGCUCUCGGGAACCGGUCCCUGCGGGAGAGACCGGUCCCCGAGAGACCGGUCCCUCUGGGUGAGACCGGUUGCAUUGCGCAGGGGCAAGAUUGCCCAAAACCAAGGCUUAUUGUAGCACGCUAUAGUAGCGUACAACGCUCGAGUACAGGUACUCGUGGAGUGCGAAUAUGGAUCCGCCGAGUGAGUUUGUUGGCAGUAGCACUUGGGCGUUGCCCAGUGUGAAGUGUGCCAUGAAUCACUCGUGGGGCUAGUGGCUCGCACUAGGUGCAUAGGAGCCGGUAGUGACACGCAUUGCUCGAUAGAGCGUGUAAUGCGAUUGAGAGAAUACCGAGAGUACGAUUAUGACCCAACCCAAGGAUUUGUAAUGGUUUGGGAUUUUAGUUGCUCCUGGUUGGAGUGUGUGCGAAUUCCCAAGUGAGAAUUUCGCCCCAGUGAUGAUUGGGUCUACGCUUGCGAGCGAGAGGCGCUACGCGUAUAUUAAGACAGGUUUAGGCUAUAGGCCUACGUAGUAUUGGUGGCCCUCGGUCCACCAAUGAAAAUUGAGGAAAGUGAUUUGGCGAGUAGCCUUAUCGAGGAGUUUGACUUCAAUUCACAAACGAAGUGUUCGUGUGAGUUGUUGCGAAAGUGAUGUGAUGUUGACCGUGGCAUAUGGUAUCGAAAAAUGAAGUGCUCUUGGAGAGACCUUGAGCUUAUGGCAAGCCACGUGGAAUUUGAGAACUGGAAUUGGGAUGCGCCGAGGUGGGCCAUCUCACGUCAAAGUUAAAGUUUAGUGCGGAAUAAGAGCACUUAUGAUGAAGCGAUGCACCGGUGAUAUUGCUUUUAGGCAAUGUCGGUGAUUGAUUUGAAAUGCAUUCCCUGAAGGGGAAGUAAAUGCAAAGAAGAGUUCUUGCUUGUCAAGUGGCAAGUGGAGUUGGAGCGCGUAGAGUCGUCGAGUUUCGACUUGCGCUACCACAUAGAGUGACGGAGACCGUAAUGCACUUUGUGAGAUGUACGUUGCAAAGUUGGAUGCGUUUGGUAUUAUGAGCUCCGUAGUAGUUUUCUUGGAUAGUUCCAAAGAGUGUAGAGCCCUUCCGAAGUGUAAAAGUGCAUUAGUGCCCUCAAUUACUCGAGGAGCUGAAUUGAGGUGUCGUUUGAGUUUCUCGGACGAAACUCUUUUUAAGAGGUGGAGAAUGUAAUAUACCGAACUUCUAAUUCAUGAAGUUACGAUGUAUGUUAGCUUAGAAAGCCAUUGGAAUCAUUCCGGUGAAGUUCGGGAGCAUUCGGGUGCUUCGGUGCGCAUACGGCGCGAAAACGGGACCCGAAAGGCUAUGUUGGACCAUGGACUAAAUCCGGCAUUAGCGUGGAUGAAAAGAUGAUGAAAACAUGCUUGAAAACAUGUUUGGAGAGUCUCGGUUCGAUUUGAAAAAAAACGGAGGUCAAACGAGCGAAAACGAGCGAAAACGGAGUAAAAAAGGAUAAAGGCUGAAAAUGCUGAAAAAUUGGCUAAGUCUGGAAUUCUGGCCUUUCGGGGACCAGUCUCUCACCGCAAGGACCGGUCCCAGAACCCCGAAAAUGCCCAGUUUGGGCUGAUGGCAAUGUUGUAACACUACAACAAAACUGAAUUUUAGCGGCAAUUAUUUAGCGGCGAUUAUGAAACGGCCACUAUUAUUUUUAUUUUAUUAUACUUUUAGCGGCAAUUAUUUUACAAGAUAUAAUUUUAGCGACUAAUAUUUUUACAUUAAAUAUAAUCCUAACCUAACCUCAGCCCUAACCUAACGCCCUUUCCAACAUCUCUUUCGUCCUCCUCCUCGUUGGCCCCUCCCAUGGCGACUCUCCCCGUCCCGCCACCAAACCCUAACCCUAAUUCUAACCCUAAUCCCACCUCUUCCUUCUCUCCUCCUCCCCCUCCUCCUCCUCCUCCUCCUCUCGAAGAUCCCCAAACCCUAAUCGAAUUCCAGGAGCCCUCUCCGUCGCCCCCAUCGCCUGAUCCCCACCCCCCCGAUGACGACGAGACCGCCUCUCGCGACGUGGGAGAGGAAGAGGACUCUUCCGUCGAUUCCCCGCCCCGCGAAAACCCUAACCCUAAUCCCGGCCCUAGCCCUACCCUCCAGCCUAUACGGGUAGCGCCGCCGCCGCCGCCGCCGCCGCAGCAGCCAUCGUCGUCUUCUUCNAUUUAUAAUAGUUGUUAUUGUAUAGUAUUUAGCGACAUUUAUAAUAGUUGUUAUUGCAUACUAUUUAGCGGCAUUUAUAAUAGUUGUUAUUGUAUAGUAUUUAGCGGCAUUUAUAAUAGUUGUUAUUGCAUACUAUUUAGCGGCAUUUAUAAUAGUUGUUAUUGUAUAUAUUUAGCGGCAUUUAUUUGAAAUUUUACCAACCGCCGAAAUAAAUGCCGCUAAAGCUUUUAGCGACCCUACCAAUAGCGGCGAUUAUCGUAAUUGCCACUGAAUCAUUUAGCGGCAAUUAUAAUUGCCGCUAAUUUAAAAAAUAAAUGCCGCUAAAACCCUGUUUUGGUGUAGUGUAAAUUGGGGGAAGUUGGCUAAUGUAUGGGGCUCUUUCUUUUUCCCUCUUUUACACUACACACACACACAUAAUGUUUGAGAGAGGAACUCCUCCCUCUCUCUAGAAUGCUCUCUCCCUCUCUCUAGAAGUGGAUCAAAAGGAGGAGAGAUUGGUGGAGAAGGAGACAAGGAGAUGGAGCUUCAUCCUCUUCAUCUUCUUCCUUGAGUUUGAAGCUUAGAUGAGGUAAGUUUCUUGAAGCUCUAAUGGUAGAUCUUCAUGGCUAUGAUUAUAUGCUCUAAGAAUGGAUUUAGUGGAACCCAUUGAUGCUAAAUAGAUGGUUUAUGCUUGAUUCAUGAGAUGAAUUGGAGUAUUUUGCUAUAAUUGCAUCUAGGGCUCCAAAAAGAGGGCUUUUGCUUGUGAGGGGUUUUGAUCUCAAUUGACCCUAUACAAACCUAAUUGGGGGUAUAACGAACGCGUUGGUGCGCUCGGUUCGACAAUCCGACGAGCGUACGCGAAGUUAUUGACGAAACAAUCUGUUUUGGUACAGAUAGCCGCAGCACGCGGGAUAAGCCUCCAAAAAUCAUGAAAAUGGAUCGGGAGCAUCGUGGUGUCGGGGAAUAAACUCCCGAACAGACGGAUCGCGGAUUGGUGGCCGUUCGGGUGGUCGCGCAAGAGUUUGGGCCAAACCGGGUCACGGGUGCCGCGGGAGGCCGAUUGCAAGUGACGACAAGCAAUCGGAAAGCGUUAAAAGGUGGGUUGUGCUUACCGAAGCGACUAGGUCGCCUUCAUGCCAAAGUGUAGUGUGUUUCACUAUUGAUGCAUGAUAAGAAUGUUAAGUAAGAAUGCAUAAUAAGAAUGUUAAGUAAGAAUGCACCAUAAUGAUGCUAAUAAAUGUAUACAAUGCCAUGAUAAAGAUGCUAAGGAAUGAAUGCAUGUGAUAGAUGUUAAGUAAUGCAUGUAAUAUGUGCCAAGUAAUGAUCAUAUAAGAUGUAUGUUGAGAAAUGCAUGUUGUCAUAAUAGGAAAUGCUAAAAGUAUGCAUAUUGACAUAAUGUAAGAACACUAAGCUAAUGCUUGUGACAUGUUAUAGAAAUGUUUGAUGAAGCAUGAGUAAAAUGUUAAAGGCAUGUUGAGAUGUAUGUUAAGUAAACAUAUGAGCUAAAUGUAUGAUCCAUAUUGUGAGAAUAUGUUAAAAUGACAUAAAGUAGAAAGCAUGCAUAAUGAUAAGAUAAGAAUGCUAAGUAAAGGAUAUGUGUAAGUUGACAUAAAUGCACCUAUAGAUCGAGUGGCAUUGAACCUAGUGUCAAGGACAUAGGUUAAACAAAAGUAAUAAUGAACCUAGUGUCGAUGAACAUAGGUUAUUCACGAGUGGCAUGUCAAGUAUAAUUCCUAGGUGUGGACAACUAGGAAAACAAGAAUAUGAGUGGCAUUGAACCUAGAGUCAAAUAAACCUAGGUUGUAAAUGUAAUGAUAUAGAACCUAGAGUCAAAUGAACUUAGGUGAUAAAGAAUGUUGGACCUAGUGUCAAUGAACCUAGGCUAAGAAGAUAAUGACAUUGAACCUAAUGUAUUAACUUAGGUUGAGUAAAGGCUUGGACCUAGAUAGGUCGAUAACAUAGGGUGAGACCAACCCUUGAGUAAUGUAAAGUGGAUUCCGGAAUCCCUGCUGCUAGUGCAGCGGCUGCUAGUGCAGCAUACAAGCUCGAUAGUUCUUGGCCGCGGGUGCAUGUGGCGUGUUCCUCUCCCACCGGAAGAACUUCGAGGCUUGUUAAUGAGCAAGAACAAUGAGCGCUAGGGUGCAUGUGGCAUGUUCCUCUCCCUAUCGGGGAUCUCGGCUGCGGGUGUAUGCGGCAUGUUCCUCUCCCACCGGGGGAUCCCUGACCACGGGUGUACGCAGCUCUGGGCGACCCGUUGGGCGAUGUGGUUUGUGAUUGAAGGCUGAGGUGUAUGUGAGAGUUCCUUCACCUCGAGCCGGACAGAGCGCGGACUAUCCGCAGUUGAUUGACUCAAGACCGAGUCGGAUGGCAAAGUUGGCUAAGGUAAAGUAACCUUAGGAAAGAAAGGCUAAUGUGUAUAAUAUUACUAAGGUGUGAGUACCCUUAGUAAAGCGUAAAGAAUAAAGAAUGAAGAAUCAAGAAUAAGAAAAGGCUAAUGCUAAAGAAUGACAAGUAAUAAAGAAUAAAGAAGGGUUAAUGCUAAAGAAUAGCUAGUAAAGUAAAGAAUGAGUAAAAGUAAAGAAUGGAUAAGAAUAAAGUGUAGAAGCAAUUAAUCUACUAUAUGAGUUGCAUAAUUUGCAUAUUGCAUGUUGUGAGGCAAAAGCAUGGUAAUGUUAGUUGCAUGAUUUAUGAUUUCAUAUCUAUCUAUUGGACUAACAUGUUGUUUGCCUCCUUUGACCUGAUGGUCGAGCUCUUCCCUUGGGUGGCCGUACCCACUGGGAACUAUGGAGUUAGUUCUCACCCCACGUUGUUUCGGGGUGUUACAGGUUCACAUGUGAGCGGCGCGGCGGCGCGAGGCAAGGGCGUAACUCCAUAGAUAGCGCCCUACCACCGAGACCAGAGAUAGUGGUAUCCCAAGUCGGCAUAGCCUAGGGGUAGAGAAAAAUGAAAGAACAAGAUGUAUCAAACUUGUAGUAAAUUUAUAAUAAUUGGAUAGUAUUUGGAAGUUGAAUGUAAACGAAUGCAAUUUGUAAUGUAAAAUGUAAUAUGUGAGAUGAAUGCUUGUAAUAGCAAGUAGAUUUAUGUUUUGANUGUGAGAUGAAUGCUUGUAAUAGCAAGUAGAUUUAUGUUUUGAUACUUCCUUAUGCAAUCUUUGGUUGAAAUGUGUUCCUGGUUGGAACUUCGUACAUUGUAUUGAUUGCGACGCCUUGAACGUACAGGGGAGACUCUGUCCGCGGUACAGGAAAAACCCUGUCCGUUCGGCGGUCUGUUGGCGUGCCCGAAUCCGACCAAAGAGGCGGGCUCGGGGCGUGACAUAAUAUAUACCUUACAUCCCUCGAAUCUAGUGCCACUUAAUGACAUUUAUAAUCAUCUAAGCCGAGCAUGAGUUCUAAGUCCCAAAAUGCAACAAAACCCCUCUUUUAAUGCCCUAAGAUGUAACUAUGCAAGAAUUCAUCAUUUGAUCUUUAAAUUCCAGCAUCAAUCAUCUAUUUAGCAUCUAGGAGUUUCACUAAAUCCAUUUCUAGGGCAUACGAAUCAUUCCUUAGCAAUUCACCAUUAGAGGUUCAUGAAGCUUACCUCAAACACAAGCUUUUCCCCAAGCCAAGUGAUGAAGAGGAUGAAGACUUCACCUCCAAGCAACCUUUUUCUUCUCCAAAUCCAUCUCCAAUUCCUCGAAUUAGUGGAGAAAUUGCUAGAGAGAGAGAGAGAGAUCUUUCUCUUUGGUUGCAAGUGUGAGGGAGAAGGAAAGAAUGUGUGUGUGCGUAUGAUGCAUUCAGCCAAGCCACCUCCUCUAAUAGGUGCUGUAACAAUGGCACAAAAACCCCUCUCACCUAUUAGAAAUUACAUCUCCAGCUCAAUUUAGCAGUUCGGAACAGUCAGGGCCCUUCUGAAUGUCCGUUUGUGCUCAAACUUGACAGUCAGGCUUGGUUUAACUUACUGAGAAGAAAUAUAUCUUAACUUUUCAGUUUCAACCAUUUUUGGUCACCCAAAGCUCUACCGAACUGUAAUCUUUAGCAGAUAGCAGUUCGAUUUUAUUCUCCACCUUCCGGGUGUCAGAAUGAUAUGAAACUUUAAAUCUGGCCUCAUAAAAAUAAUUCUGACAUACUCUCCAGUUUUCAUAAUUUUCCGACACUGUGCAUUUUCUGCUAAUUUAUCAGCCCCGCUUUUCACAGAAAAUUCUAAAUCUUUUGUUUUCGCUCCGAUUUCAGUAUAGGUCAUUUCCAACUUAUACCUUACACCCUUAAGUCCAAUAAAAAUAGUAUCUCACACUAUUUUUAUUUACACUUAAUUUUAUAUUAAAUUUCGGUAUACUACAUCCCACCGUAACUUCAUAAUUUCAGAAGUUCGAUACCUUACACAUCAUUUAUCAAAAACCCCCAUUUGGCUAGGGUUCACAUCUUGCAAUUUGCACUAUAGAACUCUAACUUCUAGCUCUAUUCCACCAUUAAUGGUGCUAGCGGUCCAUUUGACCUCAUCUCACAAGCCAAAAACCCAAAAUCCCUAAGUUCUAUCAUUAGGGUUCAAGAGCUUACCUCUAGGUUAGCUCCAAUGGAGAGGAGAGGAAGAGGAAGAUGCUCCAAGCCUUCUCUAGCUUGCUCUCUUCCUUCUUCUUCUUCUCUUUUCUUUCUUCUCUUCCUUGAGAGAGAGAGGAAGAGCUGAGGGAGAGAGAGAUGAGAGUGAGGGGUGUUAGGGAGUAGAUGAGAGAAAGAGAGGGAGUUUUUUUCUCUAAUACCCUCCAUCUAUUGUAACAAAUGCAGCUAAGCCCCUCAACUUCGCUCCUCUCAAGUUACUCUGCCUGGGUAGAUUUCGCACAGAGGGACCGGUCCUCCCGAUGAAGGACCGGUCCCUGAGGACCUUCCAAAAUUCGCGCAUACGGGAACCGGUCCCUGCCCGAGAGACCGGUCCCUGGGAGACUGGUCCUCCCGAUGAGGGACCGGUCCCCGAGAGCCUUUUGGUUGGUUGCGCUUACGGGAACCGGUCCCUCUGGCCAGGGGACCGGUUGCAUCGGCUGUCUUCCGCAACGUCAGCUACAGGGGCCGGUCUUUCCCUGCCAGGGACCAGUCCACGAGAGCAAAAUCUGCCAAAUGCAUAUUUUUGCAUCUUUUGCUCUCGCGGACUUGACUCCAAAGCACUUUUUGUGUUUUGGACAUCUCUAGCUUCUCCGAAGCCUACUCGCUCGACAAUUAGUCGAUCUUGGACGAAGUAUAACUCUCGGAUUUCGAGAAUUCACUUUCUUACACUCGAACCUUACAAUUUGCAAAAGUCCAGUGUGUUACAUUAACACACGUUCCAAGCCUUGCAUUUUCCUUGGUUAUUCACCUAAUCAAAGUGCUUACAGGUGCUUCGAUCCUAGUACAAAUAAGAUUUAUGUUUCUCGACAUGUCGUCUUUGAUGAGUCUAUAUUUCCUCAUGCCUCCUUAUCCUCCCAUGUGAGAUAUCGAAAUUCGACGAUAUUAGUUAACUUUGGCCAAAAGGGCCAAAGUGGGCGAUUGAAAGGUUUGGACAAGUUCCAUUCGGCAUUCCAACAAGUUUGGAAGAGCAAAACUGAGUACCAAAGUUGUUGGAAUGGUGUUGGCAUCGAUCGGCGCGAAGUAGAGCCAAAACGAAGCUAAAAACAGCAUUCUGCUGUUGGUGUACCGGUACAAGCAUGAUGGCUGUACCGGUACAGCCAUCGCAGCCAGGCUGCGUAGCUCUCGGGUUUGAGGGCUCCAGGUGCUGUACCGGUACAAGGGGCUUAUACCGGUACAAACCCGACGAAAUCGAGACCUGAGCUCUCGGGUUUGCUCUCGAUUUUGGCUGUCUGCCAGACCUUAUACCGGUACAAGAACCCGUGUACCGAUACAAGGAGCCCGAAACAGCAGGGUGACUUUGGAGAUAUUGGAAAAUUAGAGGGGGUUUUUGGGUUUUGUUACAAUUGAGGACUUAAACCCCUCUCUCUCAGCCACUCUCCCCCACUCUCUCACUCUCUCACUCCCUCUCAUUUAGCUCUCUCUCUCUCUCUAACCGUGAGAAGAAGAAAAGAAGGAGAAGAAGAAAGAAGGAGAGAAAGAAGGAGAAAGGAAGAAGGAAAAGGAGGAGAAGAUCAAGGAGAAGGAAACGAACCUCUCUCCCUCCACAUUUUCAAGCUAGGGCUUGCUUUGGAGCAAACCCUAGAGGUAAGCCUCAACCCUAACUUGGAAUUUUUAGAGUUUGGAUGAUUUUUGUUUGGUUAUAAUGGUUCAAAUGAAACCUAAUGAGCUUAGAGGAUAUGGAUUUAGCUCACAAUGAAGCUAGAAACCAUUGUUUCCCAUGGGUGCUAAACCUAGGGCUUGAUUUUGGAAUUUUUGAAAAUAUGAGGGAUUGAUCUAUUUUGAUGGGUCAAAAACCUAAUUGCUAUGCUCCUAAACGCGUAGGCGAAGACGGUUCGUCGAUCCGACGAGUGAGCGCGGAGAUAUUGCCGUUUUGAGUGCUCUAGGGUUUGGAUCGGCCCGAGGAUUUAAAGCGAUGAAAGAGAUCGCGAAAGAACACGUUUCUUAGCUCUACGGUACUNCAGGGAUUGGUUAUUUUCUACCUGCAAAGUUUGAAUCGUAGUCUAAGUCUCACUUUCAUUUCCUCAGAUAUGAAAGCAGAAUUGUUGAGCACAUUUAGAUAAUCAUAUCACUAUAGAGCCAAAUAUGUCCUUGCAAAGAAAAAGGGAAAAAAGGAUUAAUUGUUGAUCAAGACAAAAGGAUAAUGAUAGCAUCAUGAAUUUCCCGCACUAGAUGUGUAGCUUCCAAACUCGAGGCGAUUUUUCUCACACUCUAGAUCUUUAGUUAUGGGUUUGAUACGAGGCUUAUCUAGCAGGUAGCUGGAAAAUGAAAUGCAAAUCCCUAAAUUGUUUCAUGAGCAAGCCACAUUGCCUUACAGUGUGAAUUUCCUACAUCAAAUCUAUACAUUCUAAUAAUCCAACUCCCUCUAAGCUACCAUUGUAGGCAACUAGAUAGUACAUUUGCUUUUGUUUUGCAUUGUUAGGAAAUCAACAGAUCAAUCGUUCAGAAUUAAACUGAUUAUUAAUGAUAGCCUGUAGAGUACAACUAAAUUUGAUAACAAAAUACUACAGUUGGUAGAAACUAUGGAUCAGAAUCAGAAGGAAUUAAUCUGAAAAAUAUAAUCACAUACCAAAUUAAGUGCUCUUCCACUGUAAGAUCUUAAGAACAAAAACCCUAGAUUGGGAUUAGAAGUUGAUCGUGCGCACAAUCUGAGCACUUGAGCUUCUCCAAAGUUGAUGACGAGGAGAGGACAAAACUUGAGGACGGCGUUGCGGCGGUGGUGGUGAUAAUCGAGCUACGCGAAAAUCUCUUGCGGAAGGAGAAGGGAUCGACAUGAGAUUAGAGAAAUCGCCAUAAGAGACACAGUGAGGUAGCACCUAGAGCUCGCCAUGGGAGAUCGUGAGGGAGGUGAAAUGGAGGAGAUGAUGUGGGAAAGAGGGUUGGAGAGGAGCAAGGUGGGUUAAUGGGUUUCUUUUCUUUUUUUUUUCCAUUUUUUUGGGUGCUUUAGGUCAGGUAACGGAGGUUUUUUUUUUUUUUUUGAGUGGAGCACGGACCAAGCAAGGUGAGUUGGACCUUACAAAUCAGAUUUUUUUUGUAUUUGGGCUGGGCUUUCUAGUCGAAGAGAGCAGGGCCUUGCUAGGUUUUGUUAAUAACUUAUUCAACUUUGUUUUGGGUAAUUGGGCUGAGUGGGGUUGGGUGGGAUGGGACAAGCAAGGUGAACAUUUUUUUUGGGCUUUAGUAAUCAUUGCUUUUAAAAUAAAAACAUAACAUAAUGGACACAUUAAACUAAAGUGUCCAGAGAAGCGUGUCCUAUAACCUAGUUUGUUGUAGUGGCUUCCGGUACAUACUAGCACCCUUUCCGGAACCAAAACCGAAAGCAGUCUGUCCAGGGACAGAAGCUUCGCGAUCCAAAAAUUUCGUCAAGCUUGUAAUCUGGACCAGCAUUUCUUUGUUCCGGUACAACAAGGUGCUGAUUUUGGAAAGAAACUUUUCUAAAUGUUCCUAUUUUCCCUUUUGGAUUCUAAAAGUCUAAUAAAUAAGGCGAUAGGGUUUCUCUAACUGAUUAGCAUCAAUAAGAAUACACUGUGAGAAACCUAGAGCUUGGAUUUCAUUGCUAAACUAUUUUCUACAUAAUUAGCCUCUUUAUAUCAAAACUUUAGAUCCAAAUCGAGAUAUCGUUUUGCCAUUCUCCUAUAAUGUCGAUUUGAUAUCCGCUUCGCUUGAGUUCUAUUCCCUUUCCAGUUUUCUUCCUACGAUAUUCUAACAGCGAAGGAUCACAUAAUCAUGAUGCUCUUCAUAAACGGCGUCGUGGAUUCGGCGUGAACGAAGGCGGUCUGUGGAUAUUCGGACUCGUGGGCUCAGGUGAUUCGAGUGGCGUCCGUGGAUUCUCGGCGUGAUUGAGCUUUUGGUGGAUAUCGAAAGUGGAGCUCGUGGAUUUCGACGUGAGGUGUGGAAACCGGAGGGUAGCGCCGAAGAUUCAUAGAAGGUAAGAGAGGGUAGUCCUUGGAGUCAUCCAUUCACACUUGGUAAUCUUUCUCUUAGUGAAUUAUUUUUUUCGCGCAAGGGUUGGUCCCGUGGUACCGUUUUUCUCAGAGUUGGAGGUUUUCCACGAAAUCCGUGUGCUUUUAUUUUCCAGCAUUUAUUUAUAUUCAAUCGAGAUUUAUGUUUUUUGGCCGUUCAUCCCCUAUUCACCACCGUCGCUUCCUAGGUGAAUAGAUACAAUCUAGAAUUAGGUCCUUGGCAUCCUCAAAACUUUCAUUUUACUAACUGGCAUUAGUUUUCCACACGACUCCACCUGCUUUUAACAUUUUGAGAGUAGAUUGUUUCUAUAGGAUGAAUUUUCUGGAAGUAGCAUUAUGAGUAUUACUUUUGGGAAAAGAAUGCUAAGUUGUAUUAAACGGAUUAAAUUUAAUGAUAAUCGAAAGAGUUAACUUCUCAAAUAAGUUAAGUUUCUCUCUUUUGAUUACUUGUAUAACACGUUUAACGUUCUAUCGGCUUGCUCUUGUUUGAUAAUAGCUCUGUUUCGUUGCCUCCGAUUAUCGUUGUUUUGUAUUUGUGUAUCGAAUUUCAAGUUGUAUUCCUGGGGACUUGUUGUACACAAUCCGGUUGGUUAGCCUUGGGCGGACAGGGGAGACUCUGUCCGUUCGGCAUCACGCCCGCCGCCCUCGAAAUGGACCAAAUUGGUACCGUUUUUGGGCCGUGCGGUUGGGGCGUGACAUCCCAAGUUUAGUCUAACACUUCUAUGUGGUCUGUGCCUAAUCAAGAUAAUCUCGGUCCGUCUUACUUUCUUAUUUCUAAAUCCUCUACUGCAACGUCUAAAGUACAUCUGGUUGACUCUACUCCAUUGCAUGCACACUCAUCUCCUAGAACUCAAAUUCCAACCAAUAGAGGAUCCUCUCAUCAGUCUCCUGUGCACACUUUGCAUGACCAACACCCACAACAAGGUAGCUCAUGCUCGUCGCCUCAAAGCCCACGUGCAGACUCAUCAUCAAAUACAAUUUCACUGACACAACCCAGUCACCUCGUCUCUCAACGCACGCAUCCUAUGACCACUAGAUCUCAAAAUAAUAUUUUUAAGCCUAAACAGCUCUAUUCUAUUUCGACGCACCCCGUUCCCACCAUCAUGGAACCAACCUGUGUAUCUCAAGCUAUCCUAGAUCCAAACUGGCGAACUGCUAUGUCUGAAGAAUUUACUGCCCUUCUUUAGAAUGGCACUUGGGAGUUGGUUGCUUCUCAACCUCAUUACAAUGUUGUUGGUUGAAAAUGGGUAUUUCGUAUCAAAAGGCAUCCCGAUGGUAGUGUUGCACGCUAUAAAGCACGACUCGUCGCCAAAGGCUUCCAUCAGAGACUUGGCCUAAGCUAUCAUGAGACGUUUAGCCCGGUCGUUAAACCUACCACCAUACGAACUAUUCUUUGCCUUGCUUUAACUCAAGGAUGGUCUCUUCAUUAGCUGGAUGUGAACAAUGCCUUCUUACAUAGAUCUCUUACUGAAGUUGUUUAUAUGCAACAACCGCCGGGAUUUGUUGAUCACUCCUUACCUACUCAUAUCUGUCGACUUAAGAAAGCAAUUUAUGGUCUCAAACAAGCCCCUGAAGCUUUGGUAUCACACACUUAGCAGUUUCAUCACUGUAUAUGGGUUCACUCAAUCAAAAUCUGGUUGUUCACUUUUCAUCUAUCGACAUGAUGGGAUAGUGGCAUACUUUCUUGUAUAUGUUGAUGACCUAAUACUUACAGGAAAUGAUAAAUCAUUUCUACAUCGCUUUGUUCAAGCUCUUUCUGGCAGGUUUUCUCUUAAAGAUCUUGGUGAUCUUCAUUACUUUCUAGGGGUUGAAGUUAUACCAACAACGCAAGGCUUAUUUCUCACGCAACAUAAAUACAUAAGAGAUAUCCUUGAUAGAACUAAAAUGCUUGGUGCUAAAGAUGUUGCUACUCCAUUGUCGACUUGUAGCUCGCUAUCUCGUCAUGAUGGCUUUCCUCCAACAAAUGCUACUGAGUAUCAGAAAGUUGUUGGUGCUCUCCAAUAUCUGUCCAUCACAAGGCCCGACAUAGCUUUUACCGUAAACAAAUUAUCUCAAUUCAUGCAUCAACCGUCGGCACUUCAUUGGAUUGCAGUCAAAUGCAUUCUUCGAUAUCUCAAAGUCACUAUCUAUCAUGGACUGCACUUAAAGUGCCACUCUAAUUUACUACUACAUGCUUUCUCUGAUGCUGACUGGGUUGGUGAUAAAGAUGAUCGUACAUCCACCUCUGCGUACAUUGUAUUCCGUGGCACUAAUCCUAUUUCUUGGAGCUCACGAAAGUAGCGAUCUAUCGCCCGCUCUUCCAUUGAGCCUGAAUAGCGUGCCAUUGCGGACACGGCAUCUGAGUUGGCUUGGAUCCAAUUACUUCUGCAUGAGCUAGGUGUCUCCCUAUCCCGAAGUUCGACCAUUUACUGUGACAAUAUUGGUGCAACAUAUGUAUGUGCUAAUCCAGUCUUUCACUCCAAGAUGAAACAUAUAGCUAUAAGCUACCACUUCGUUCGCGAUAAAGUAAGCAAAGGACUGCUAAAGGUAUCUGAUGUAGGAGCAUUUAGGAAGCUUAAGAAGAUUAAUCAAGCACGUUGAAGAUUUAAUUUGGGUUUUAAUUUGAUUGCGUAUUAUAGUAUUUCCUUACUGUGUUUAUGAGUCUUGAUAGUUAUGUAUUACUUUAGUUGAGUCAUAUGAGUCAUUAAGGGUAUUAUCGUCUUUUUAUUCAUAUUAGGGCAGCCCAAGUGCCUUCUAUGUUUAAAAUCAAUCUUCUAAGAGUUGUAAGGAGGAGUCCCUGAAGAUAACCUUUUUUUUAGAUAAAUCAUAAAGCUCUAUUUGGGGUCACUAAACCCUAGAAGCUUGAAUCCCUCUUCUUCCUUGCUGUUUUUGCUUCACUUACUCACUCUGUUUUAAGCAUUGUGACUGUGCACUAGCUCUCCUACAUCAAUAGUGGUAUCAGAGCUUGAGUUAAUCCUCUUUUAGUUAGCUUGAGCUUAUUCCAUGGCAGCUCAUUGUAGGGGAGGCCGUGGUGGGAGAGGACAGCAGGCACAACUUGCUGAGAUUGUGGGGUUGAGGCGCACGAUUGAAGACCUGUCGCAGGUAGUUCGAACUCUCCAGCGACGAGAAAAUGCGGCCGGUCGAAGGGAAGCUCUCGACGGCGACCGUGACCCUUUUGGCACUCCGGAAGGUAGCCUUAAGGAUGAAGAACAUACUGAUUUUAGAGAAGACAUCAAUCCCUUUCAUGGACAUGGUUUUAGAGAAGAGCAAGACCUUGGAAUUGGAUUAGAAGACAGAUUAGUGCGUGCAUUAGACCUCAAUGGCGCAGGCAUUAAAAUUGAGGUGGCUGAUUUCUUUGGCCAAAUGCAUGCUGAAGACUACUUGGAUUGGGAAGCAAGUCUAGAGACCUAUUUCGAAUGGAAACCCAUGGUUGAAGAAAGGAAGGUCUUGUUCGUAAAGCUUAAGUUGAAAGGAGCUGCACUACAAUGGUGGAAAAGAAUUAAGGAGCAGCGGAGUCGUCAAGGUAAACAGAAAAUUAGUACUUGGGAGCAUAUGAAAACAAAACUGCACAAACAGUUUUUGCCUGCUGAUUAUGCAAUGGAGUUAUAUGAAAAGUUUCACUCUCUUAAGCAACGAAGUAUGUCAGUAGAUGAGUAUACAUCUGAGUUUAAUAAUCUCUCUAUUCGGGUUGGUUUAAGUGAGAGUAACGAGCAGUUAACUUCUCGUUACCUCUCAGGUUUGAACCAGGCCAUUAGGGAUGAGAUAGGGGUUGCUCGUUUAUUUAGUCUUGAAGAUGCUCGACAAUAUGCCUUAAUGGCUGAGAAGAGAGUUCUACGCUAUGGGGGGAGAAAACCUAUGGUUGGUCGCUCAGGGAUUACCCUACAAAGAGCUACAAAUGUCGUUCCUGCUGCUCAGAGUGAUCCAACCAGCCUACGAACUAAUCGAGGCGCUAUCAAUGCUAACCAAACACCACGAAAGGACACUAGUAGAGCGCUUAAAGAUGAAAAAGGAAAAGGAAUAGUCAGAUUUGGUACUCCAAACAGUCCUAAUAGAAGUCACAAGGGGGCUGAGAAUCAAAUGCGGGGUCGAUGCUAUGCUUGUGGUGAUUAUGGCCACGGAUCAUAUAAUUGUCCUAAACGGAGGGUUAACUUUACUGAGUUUGAUGAUGACGACGAAGAGGAUUUGGGGCCAAUAUAUGAUCACUAUGAAGACGCCGAGGAGCAUGUAGAUGUUUAUCCUAUUGAAGGGGAAUCUCUGGUUACGCAGCGUGUCAUGAUCACUCCCAGGGCUGAGGAAGAUGAUUGGCGGCGUCAUAACAUCUUUCACACACGAGUUCUUUGUGGUGGAAAGGUUUGUAACGUGAUCCUUGAUGGUGGAAGCAGCGAAAACAUCAUUUCUAAAGAAGCUGUGGAAAAAUUGAAGCUACCAACAGAGAAACACCCUCAUCCGUAUAAAGUUACAUGGUUUCACAAAGGAAAUGAGGUACCGAUUAAUACUCGUUGCCUUGUAAAUUUUACAAUGGGGCAUAAUAUUAGUGAUGAAGUAUGGUGUGAUGUCGUGCCUAUGGAUGCUUGCCAUAUCUUAUUAGGAAGACCUUGGUUGUAUGAUAAGGAUAUGACUCAUUACACUAGGCCUAAUACAUACUCAUACAAAGAAGGAACCAAAACUUUCACUUUACAUCCUCUGAGGGAAGAAAUCGAUGCUUCCCCUAAGAAGUGUAAAGUAGUUGGCCUUGUGGCUGGCCCAGAAUUCGAAGAGGAAUGUGUUAAGUCGGGUGUUGUUUAUGCUUUGAUUGGUAGAAAUGAGAAAAGAGACAUAGUUGUGAUGUUCGAAGACUAUCCUAUUGAAAUUCAGCAGCUAUUGGAGAAGUACAAAGAGCUGGUCGGGGAUGAUUUUCCACCUGGUUUACCUCCGCUGAGGAGUAUUCAGCAUGCGAUUGACUUAAUACCUGGUGCUAGUCUGCCAAAUCUACCUGCUUACCGAAUGCCACCUGCACAACGAGCUGAAAUGAAAAGACAGGUUGAAAGCCUCAUAGCCAAAGGAAUAAUCCGAGAGAGCAAGAGUCCUUGCGCUGUUCCGGCUCUCCUUACACCCAAAAAGGAUGGUUCGUGGAGAAUGUGUAUUGAUAGCCGUGCAAUUAAUAGGAUUACGAUAAAAUAUAGGUUCCCAAUACCUCGACUUGAUGAAAUGUUAGAUAUGUUAGUUGGUUCAACGGUGUUUUCAAAGAUAGAUUUGAGGAGUGGGUACCAUCAAAUUCGAAUGCGAGGUGGGGACGAGUGGAAGACUGCUUUCAAGACUCCUGAUGGACUAUACGAAUGGCUUGUAAUGCCAUUUGGGCUCUCUAAUGCACCUAGCACUUUUAUGCGAGUUAUGACCGAGGUACUUAAACCUUUUUUGGGGUUAUUCGUGGUUGUUUAUUUUGAUGAUAUCUUAAUAUAUAGUCAGACCAAAAGGGAGCAUUUGGAGCAUUUACAACAGGUUAUGNNNNNNNNNNNNNNNNNNNNNNNNNNNNNNNNNNNNNNNNNNNNNNNNNNNNNNNNNNNNNNNNNNNNNNNNNNNNNNNNNNNNNNNNNNNNNNNNNNNNNNNNNNNNNNNNNNNNNNNNNNNNNNNNNNNNNNNNNNNNNNNNNNNNNNNNNNNNNNNNNNNNNNNNNNNNNNNNNNNNNNNNNNNNNNNNNNNNNNNNNNNNNNNNNNNNNNNNNNNNNNNNNNNNNNNNNNNNNNNNNNNNNNNNNNNNNNNNNNNNNNNNNNNNNNNNNNNNNNNNNNNNNNNNNNNNNNNNNNNNNNNNNNNNNNNNNNNNNNNNNNNNNNNNNNNNNNNNNNNNNNNNNNNNNNNNNNNNNNNNNNNNNNNNNNNNNNNNNNNNNNNNNNNNNNNNNNNNNNNNNNNNNNNNNNNNNNNNNNNNNNNNNNNNNNNNNNNNNNNNNNNNNNNNNNNNNNNNNNNNNNNNNNNNNNNNNNNNNNNNNNNNNNNNNNNNNNNNNNNNNNNNNNNNNNNNNNNNNNNNNNNNNNNNNNNNNNNNNNNNNNNNNNNNNNNNNNNNNNNNNNNNNNNNNNNNNNNNNNNNNNNNNNNNNNNNNNNNNNNNNNNNNNNNNNNNNNNNNNNNNNNNNNNNNNNNNNNNNNNNNNNNNNNNNNNNNNNNNNNNNNNNNNNNNNNNNNNNNNNNNNNNNNNNNNNNNNNNNNNNNNNNNNNNNNNNNNNNNNNNNNNNNNNNNNNNNNNNNNNNNNNNNNNNNNNNNNNNNNNNNNNNNNNNNNNNNNNNNNNNNNNNNNNNNNNNNNNNNNNNNNNNNNNNNNNNNNNNNNNNNNNNNNNNNNNNNNNNNNNNNNNNNNNNNNNNNNNNNNNNNNNNNNNNNNNNNNNNNNNNNNNNNNNNNNNNNNNNNNNNNNNNNNNNNNNNNNNNNNNNNNNNNNNNNNNNNNNNNNNNNNNNNNNNNNNNNNNNNNNNNNNNNNNNNNNNNNNNNNNNNNNNNNNNNNNNNNNNNNNNNNNNNNNNNNNNNNNNNNNNNNNNNNNNNNNNNNNNNNNNNNNNNNNNNNNNNNNNNNNNNNNNNNNNNNNNNNNNNNNNNNNNNNNNNNNNNNNNNNNNNNNNNNNNNNNNNNNNNNNNNNNNNNNNNNNNNNNNNNNNNNNNNNNNNNNNNNNNNNNNNNNNNNNNNNNNNNNNNNNNNNNNNNNNNNNNNNNNNNNNNNNNNNNNNNNNNNNNNNNNNNNNNNNNNNNNNNNNNNNNNNNNNNNNNNNNNNNNNNNNNNNNNNNNNNNNNNNNNNNNNNNNNNNNNNNNNNNNNUACCAGGUUUGACUUUUCAAUUCUAUAUAAAAAUGAGUCAUCCAAUUUAGCUCGGGCUGACGGUUUAAACUCGCAUUUGCUUCCGAGGCCGCUAUCCAAAGUCUAAGACUCAACCUUUGUCUAAACAUUUUUCCCAUUAAAGUCGUUAUCUUCCCCAAAUAAACGUUAAUCCGACUAGAAUAGAUAGACUCAACACGAUGGGUAUGUGGGGUAAAUCUCAACAUCUAGGAUGUUGAGGAACUAGGUUGCCGACUAUAUUUGAACCAAAUUUUUUUUUUUUUUUGGUCACAAUUGGAAUGAGGGUGUAAAAUAGGGGAUUGCAAAAGGGAGAAAACGGGAUUUAAAACCGCGGUUGCACGAUUUCUCUCUCUCUCCGCUCGCGCGAUCGCACUCUCUCUCUCCACUCGCUCGCUCCGUCGCUCGAUUUCUCUCUCUCCACUCGCUCGCUCGCUGGCUCUCUCUCUCCUCUCGAGCUCGCCCUCGCCCUCGUCCCACGCUCUCUCUCACUCCCGUACCGCGCUCUCCCUCGCUCUCCUCAACACGAGACGAUCUUUAUCCCUCUUGCUCUCCUUCUCUUUCUUCGCGCUUCCACCUAAGACGCUAUUUUAACCUGCGUCGUUCAUGCCUCCGCUGUUAGCUCGUACGCCGUUUUAACUUGCUGUACCAAAUGGGGCUCGUGUUGCUAAGCAUGUGACGGUGUAUAUAUUGGUCCAUACUCUACAAAUUAAAAAAAUCAUUUAAAUUUAAAAAAUUAACACUACUUAAUAAACUAAUUAAAGUAGUAACUAAACUACAUACUAGAUAUACAAUUAUCUAUUAUAUAAAAAUCCCGCAUCAUCUUAGAAAUCUACAGAUUUAAAACUGUUUAUCAAAGGGACGAGUGAUAAUAAGAUUAAAUCAUAAGGUUGAGAUAUAUUACAGAAUGUCCACUCAUUAAAUAAAUUUAAACAAAGCAACUCACUAAUAAACCUAAAUUAUAAAAACUCUACCUACUUCUUUCUUUGUCACUCCAGUCCCUACAUUUAUAUAGCCGUGGUCUUUAACCUUACUGAAAAUAGUUAAAACUACGGCAAAACUUAAAGAUAUUCGUAAUACGUGUUCUUUAUCCUAAACGUCAACAUUUCUCCAGUUGUUUUUACUGGCUACCGUUCCGAUGUAUACAUUAUUAGCGUACGAGAGCAGUACAUUUGGUCACCGAAAGCUCUACCGAACUGUAAUCUUUAGCAGAUAGCAGUCGGAUUUUAUUUUCCACCUUCCGGGUGUCAGAAUGACAUGAAACUUUAAAUCUAGUCUUACAAAAAUAAUUCUGACAUAUUCUCCAGUUUUCAUAAUUUUCUGACUCUGUGCAUUUUCUGUUAAAAUAUCAGCCCCGUUCUUUACAGAAAAUUCUAAAUUUUCUGUUUUCACUCUAAUUUCCGCACAAGUCAUUUUUGACUUAUAUUUUACUCCUCGGAAUCCAAUAAAAAUUUUAUUUUACACUAUUUUUAUUUACAUCUAUUUUUAUAUUAAAAUUCCGGUAUAUUACAUUGUGACUGUGCACCAGCUCUCCUACAUCAGUAUCUCAUGUAUCGACUCAUGAUCAACUUGCUGAUGUGCUAACAAAACCUCUCUCACAGCAGCAAUUUUCUCUUCUUCGUUCCAAGAUAGGUGUUCACAACGGUACACCUAUCUUGCGGGGGCGUAUAGGUGACAAUCACUCUCCAGGAUCAAUUAACUCCAAGGAUCGCUUUCCUUCAUUAGACAAGCCAGCAUAGAUGUCUAUAAUUAGAGCUAUAACAUAAAGGAAGCUAUUAGCAUAUUUCCUUAUAACUGUGCUACAGAAUAGGAAACUAAAUUAUUAUUGUAUUUCUUGAUUAUUUCCUUUGUAGACUAAUUGAGCCUGUAUUAUAUUGUGAAUAGAAACAAUUCUGCUGUGUGAGCUUCUUCCACAGUAUUCUCCUUAUAGAGUAGAUUCACCUUCAAAAUGCGUUGAAAGAAUAAUUUUAAAAGAUCGCGGAUCAAAGUGAAACUUAAUUAAAAUUUUAAGGACCAGCGAUGGUGCACUUUAGGCCUAUUUUGGAAUUGAGUCGCCCAAAUUGCCAGCUCGUGCUUCGGAGGGCAACAAAAUCCGAGAGCCCCACCAAUUUUCUUUCUUCUAAUUCUAUUAAUUAAUUAAUGUUGGCAAUAAUCUGGUGAUUUUAGGUAUUGCAAUCCCAAACUAGGAUUUUUAGCUUAAUUAGAUGUGAAUGCAGGGAGCGUAUCGAGAAAGAUUUGAAUGAGCAGCAAUAUUAAUUUGGUGCAUGAGAACUUCUGUACGCAUAAAAUUCCCAACUCCGAACUACUAACUAAUAACCAGUUCGGCCGGUGUUCGUAAUUGUGGGUAUCGUCCCGCAGAUCGCAUGUGCCCCGAACAGAAAUCAAAUCACGAUUUUGAGACAUCGCUGAGGUGGAUUCGAAAAUAUCAGGGAUCUUCUAAAAUUAUAUACGCACUACUUUUUACAGUACACAUAUAUAGUAAUUUUUCUCGUUUCUAAUAUGCAAAACAGCAGGUGAAAGAUUGCGAAUGCUAAUGUUCAGAGGGAACCAGUGAGUAAUCAAGGGUUAAAAGAGAGGGAGCUAGCUAGGAAGUCUAGCUACUAUAUAUGUAACACAAAGAGGAGUCAAGCAAUUAGGUUCUCUUUUGAUUUGAUGAAUUGUACUAUAUAUUGUCUCAAUAAUUGGAAUUUGCUUAUAAACGCACGACAUCUUCUAUCCCGUUAUUUUCAACUCGGAGGCUCGGCCCCAGCAGUCUCAGCUAAUAAGUGUCAUUAAUAAUUUUGAACUAUAUAUCAGCCAACAUAAUUAAAUUGUGGACCAAAAUAACGUUCAAAAAGAAAAAAAAAAUGAAAAAAAAAUGAAAAAAAAAUGAAGCAAUUAAUUAAGUCGAACAAAUUAAUCCUUUCGGAUUAGAGAGCUAGUGAAGUUUUGUCUUUCAUGAAUGUUUCUUCCAACUACAAGAGCAGCUACAAAUUAAAUGCUAGGGUCAAAAUUUUACUCUCUUUUCCAUUUUGUUCGCUUUAAUUUUCAAGAGAGCGGUACGCGCAUAGAUGGGUGGAUGGUUUUUCAUAAAGAUUAACCGUGCGAUCCAUAGGGAGGCGCAUGGGAGUUAGCUACUCAACUUUAAUCUUUCUACCCCACUCAUUUAUGGAUUUCACAUGUAUGGUUUGGAGCUUUUUCAUGGGCUUCGAAUCGCCUCCGACACCAUCAUAAAUGGCAACAGUGGUUAGUGUGGCGUCGUCAAUUUUUUAAGUGUUGGGUGAAUUUAAUUUCUUUCAAGUUAAUUAUGGAGCUGAACUGGAUUCUCCACCUUACUUUCUCAAACUAUAUAUAUAAACUUGUGCACCACCGAUGUCUGCGCAGGAGUGGAUUCUGCGUACCCGCGCGCAAGGUUAAUUAAGACGCAAGGUUAAUUAACUGAGAAAUAUUGCGAAAGAGAGGAAUAGAUAUUUGUAUAUAUAUGGCAGUAGCAGCUUCUAAACUUUGAUAAUCUAAGGUGCAUGGUGAAAUUCAGAGGCCGCCUAUAUAUGGGAGAUCUUUGACAGGGGUCUCGCAGUAAUUUCGGUGACUAAAUAAAGUGGCAUUGCCAUGAUAUUGAACGAUUACUGCUUUUAUUAGAAAGUUACGGUGGCAUAUUUUGCAGUUGUUGAAGUGAUUUUAACUGCACGCGUGUGUGUGUGUGUGUAUAUAGUGAGGCUACUAUUUUUCCGGAAGCACGGAGCCUUUCGUGCUUUCAGGUUGUUUUUGAUGUUGCGACUUUCGAAUCGUCGAUUUGCUCCGUUAAACUUGAUCUAUAGUAUUUGAAGUACCUAGAAAAUAAAUUUUGCAAUUUUUUGAUAUCAUUUGCCUAGUGAACUACGGGGCUCAAAAUCAACGGCUGAAAAUAAAAAUCUUACAAAACGUGAUAAUAUGAUAUUAAAAUUUUAGAUCAAAGUUAUUAAUCUUAUUUUAUAUAGUAUAAAAAAUUUUCUAUCAAANAUAUAGAGAUAUAUAUAUAUAUAUAUAUAUAUCUCUCUCUCUCUCUCUCUCACUCCCAUCAUACGAUAGCCCUCGUCCCUCGCAAGGCACGAAAGUCGAGCAAAAGCUACAACGCUCAAAGCUCAGCAGCUAGUCGAGGCAAUCUCUACUAGAUCUCAUAAACUACAUCGAUCUCUCAUCUAAAACGCUAAAAAGCUAUAGUAAACGCAUCACUAGCUCUCCCUCACUCUCACUCACUAAAACUACCAGCACCACUCGGCAAAUCUUCAAAUUGCCACAUCUCUCUCUCUCUCUCUCUCUCUCUCUCUCUCUCUCUCUCUCUCUCUCUCUCUCUCUCUCUCUCUCUCUCUCUCUCUCUCUCUCUCUCUCUCUCUCUCUCUCUCUCUCUCUCUCUCUCUCUCUCUCUCUCUCUCUCUCUCUCUCUCUCUCUCUCUCUCUCUCUCUCUCUCUCUCUCCGAUGAUACGAAGACCUUCGUGCCUUCCGAGGCACGAAGGUCCAAUAAAAGCUACAACGCUGAAAGCUUAGCAGUUAGCCGAGGCAAUUUGAACUAGAUCUCAUAAACUUCAUGGAUCUUUUAUUUAAAACAUUAAAAAGCUAUAGUAAACGGAUUACUAGAGAGAGAGAGAGAGAGAGAGAGAGAGAGAGAGAGAGAGAGAGAGAGAGAGAGGGGGGAAGCUUGACCUUUUCUAGCUAGCUACUUAUUCAUGUACGUACACCAUAUCGAAAAAUGAGAACCGAAAAGCUAGAAGAGAUAUAUAACAAAAUCAAUCACUCCGCUAAAAUUUGUAAAGUAGCCAAGGCAUUACACACGAUUCGUUCAUCCUUGCUUGCAUGGAAAGAAGAGUGCCAAUAAAGUGAGUUGGCUGGUCGGGGCUAGCUCCGUAUAAUUAAUUUUUAUUUACAGCUACUCCUUCUUAAUUUAGUUGCGCUAUAUAUGUUCUAAUAGAAUGUGAAACAGCGACCUUGGACAGCUCAUAACUGCCAUUUUAAUUCCAUCAAGGUAGAACGUUAUUGCGCAUUAUCCAUCAGCAAAACUUUUGUUGGGGCGUGUUUGGGUAAAAUCGAGAUUAUCGUUAAACAUAAUUUAACAUAUUUGAACUUUUUAAAAAAUAAAUUUUGUGAAUUUGAAAAGUUAUUUUCUAGGAAAUUAACUCGUCAAAAAAGAACUAUUAAAAUUGAACAGUCUUCUCAAAAUAGGGGAUAGGAAUUACAAAUUUACGAUAGGAAUUAUAGAUUAAUUUGUUCUACAAAACUACAAGAACUUUUUAUAAAAAUUCAACAAUAGAAUUAUUUACACCGUUAAACUAGAGAACACCCCACUGUUUGAAUUAUCACUUCUUAAGGCCGCUUGAUCACCAGUUAAAUAAGAUCAAAAAAAAAAAAGUACUGGAAAGUUCAAAUGCCCUAAUAAUAUUUAAUAAUGUCGACUGUCGAAUCGGAUCGAUGCUCACUUAUUAAGAGAUUCAAAUGCUAGAUCUAGAUCAUUUUAGUGGUGUCCAACGUACGUUCAAUCGAAUGCUUAAGCCGUAAAAAUAACUCUAUAGCACUAAGAACUUAGUGCUAUUAGUAGCAUCUAAAAUGGUUUUAUAGUACUGAGAACUUAGUGUUGUUAACGACAGUACAAUCUAAUUAGCUCCACCUAAAGGUGUGAAGUAUGGAGUAUAGUUAGGUACGAAAAGCACCUAAUUCACAAAAAUAUAUCGUCGAGCAGUCAAAGUCUGAAUUUAAUUUUUCGAAUAUGUUUUAUUACGAUAUUAGAAAAUCCUGCAUACCAACCGAUGUAAAUAUCAAUCAAUGCAUUUUAUUAUACUAUUGUUUCUUUAGAACUAUUAGGUAUUAGAAUUUCAGAAAUUACAAAUCUGUUAUAACAUGUUGCAAGUCACGUGCAUGUAAUUAAAAUAAUUUUUAUUAAUCAUGAAGAAUUUGAAACAAUGCAUGAGCUGUAUAUAUGGAUAUGCACCUCAAGCAUGAGUCCGCUAUAAUUAUGCUGUUCCUUAAUACUAAAGUACACGAAUUUAAGGGCACCUUACUUAGUGCAUAGGCUCUGUGAUAGCGAAAGAAAGCUAGCAACUACCUCGAAGGUGCAUCCCACUGGAAAAUUAGCACUCCUUGAGGAGGCAAACGACUAACAAACUAGCUAACUCAUCUGCGUGUGGAGUUAUUUCUGUGGUCCUCGAUCGCCCCUUCCAAACCACCACCCACACACACACACACACACCCUCUUAAAUUGAGCCCAGCAGAGUGCUAUAUAAAUCCACCACCUCCUCUGGCCCUUCAUGUGAAUAUAUACAGAGCCGGCUCUUCUACUAGCUAGUAUAUAUUACGAUCCCUCUUCUACUUCCAUUUGAUUGAUUGCGCAUUUUCACAUUGACGAUGCACCCCUCUCUCCUCCUCCUCCUCCUCCUCUGCUCUCUUGUUUGUUUCUUAGCUUUAGGGACCCUCUGCGCAGUCUCCGAUGCGCGCGCCUUCUUUAUCUUCGGCGAUUCCCUCGUCGACAACGGCAACAACAACUACUUGGCUACCACGGCGCGCGCCGAUGCCCCGCCUUAUGGGAUUGACUACCCUACCCACCGGCCGACGGGCCGAUUCUCCAAUGGGCUUAACAUCCCUGACAUUAUCAGUUAACCGCAUGCAUAAAGAGCCACGAUGAGAUUAAUUUUGUACAUAUUUAGUUCCUAUCUUUUUUUCUUUUUUUUUUUUUCACUCACAUUGCGGUGCAAUUAUAUAUCUCAGGCGAGUAUCUGGGAGCCGAAUCCACAUUGCCUUACUUGAGCCCUGAGCUUCAAGGCGAAAAACUACUCGUCGGUGCGAAUUUCGCUUCGGCAGGGAUCGGAAUCCUCAACGACACCGGAAUUCAAUUUGUACGGACGCUACAAAUUUAUUCCAUUCCAUUUUAGAUGUACUUAAAAUUCUUUUCAUAAAUCGACGACGCGUUCUAAUCUGGAUAUAUGUCGUGUGCGUGUGCGCAUACAUAUGCAGGUAAACAUAAUUAGGAUUAGCAGGCAACUGCUAUACUUCGAGGAGUACCAGGAGCGGGUGAGUGCUCUCCUAGGUGAGGACCAGGCGAAGAAGCUAGUGAACCAGGCUCUCGUUCUCAUCACUCUCGGGGGUAAUGACUUUGUUAACAACUACUACUUGGUCCCCUACUCCGUGAGAUCUCGUGAAUUUGCGCUCCCGGACUAUGUCCAGUUUAUAAUAUUCGAGUACAAAAAAAUUCUCACGGUACGUUCACUUACUGGUACAAGUAUAAUUUUCCAGCAUUUGAAGUCGGUCGGUCGUACGUGUUACCCUCCCUGUCUAGUUUCAAGUUUGAUCGAUCUUACUUAGUAGAUUCAAUCAACUCAUCUGAAAAGAAGAAUUAAAUUAAAUUAUAUAUAUAUAAAUGACUAGAUUUGGCAUAACUAAUUGGCCCAUCUACAUACAUUAAUUACUACUACAAUAUUGGUCAAACACAGUGCAAAUCCAUCCCCCUGGAGUGUGCUGUGCUGUGCUGGUCCAAUUUUGCGUGAAUUAUACACGUAUAGCUAGUUACUAUGCCAUUCGGAGUAAUAGAACACUUAGAAGAGCCACAUUCUCACUUUUAAUGCAGAAGAUUUUACAAUUAAAUUUUCUCGACAAAACAAUAAACCUUAAUGUGCAAACUUAAGAAAUCAUGCACAGCGUCAUGGGGUCUUUAUAUAAUUUUCCGCUAAUUGAAGCAGCUUGAUUUUAAAUAAAGUAGUAAUUAACUUAUUACUAUCCAAAAUACAACGUAAAGAACAAAUUCUCAAAGUUCCAUCCGAGGAAGAAUUUAUACGGCGUUGCUCAAGAAUUGAUGUGACUCCUCCAUCUGCGAAACAUAAUCCCGAUAAGUUAGCAGAGUAGCGUAUGCGCCGCAGGUGAAAUUAGUCCUUUAAUUAAUUAAUUAAAUCACCUUCCCUGCAUGCACGCUUAUGAUCUCCCCUCAAUACUCCGGGCCAAUAACAGUGCCGAGAAUAUAUAAAGGCGCAAAGCCGGUCUGCUGCAAUCGACGUAUACUUUGUUAGUUGGACGCGGUCAGCUAAACCGUCCUUUCCAUUCUCUGGCACAAAAAUUUAUUGGCUAGGCGGUGAAAUUUGCCCUCUUGCAAAAUAUACGGUAAUAACUCACAUGCCCACAAGAGGUCCAUGACAUUGACAUUGUAUACUACUGCUUCCAUGCACGCACUUUAUUGCUGCUAUUCUUCUGACCGAAAAUAACAGCUGCACACAAGUUUAUCCGGAAGAUUGCUGUGAAUGAGUUAGUUAUAGCAACAGUGCUAAUGCCAUGGAACUGCCUAGUCAUUAAUUAUUGACUAUCAAAAUUAUUUUAUUAGACAAUCAAGUAAAUAUGAUUUAGGAUAUUUGAGUUCUAUAGAAAAUAAAUUGAGUGAGUUUUCUACUUCAUAUAUAUAUAUAUAUAUAUAUAUAUUAAUUGAAACAUUUUAGAAUUAACAAAGACUUUUUUGCUUUAACAAUGUAGAAGAGUCUAGUUUAAUUGGAUUUUCGCUACGAAAUUCUUCCAACUAUUUUGAUCAAGAUCAACAUGCUCGGCCUCAAUAAACUUGAACAAUUCUAUCCUCUUUUUCACAAGAUUAUUCGGUUUGAGCCUUUAAUUUUGUGCCCGCUUGAUGUGUUAGAAAAUAAUAUUCAAAAAUCACAAAAUUUGGUUCGAGAAGACCUAAAUUAUGUUUAACGGUCUCCGUUGUUGAUUCCGAAUCCCUACAAUAAAAAAAGAGUUCAUAUCAAAAUGCUCCCAUGCAAUUAAAAUGUUAGGGCUAGUUUGGAUUUGUGUCACCCAACGUAUCCGCUUUUAUACUCCGUACGGUCUAACAAAUUUAAAGGUAAAAUUGAGGUGAGAAUUGCAGCCGGGAAGAUUGAAAGGUCUUUAAUUGAGUUGUACCGGGAAACACAAUCCUAAACCAGGCAUUGAGCUGUUCGAGCAACUGCCAUAGACACAAUAAAAAUAAAAAUAAAAAGAAAAAAUAAAAAUAAAAAAAAGUUUUACAGCCCUUGCUAGUACGUAGUAAUCUUGACAAUAAAUAAGAAGUUUCUUUCCCUUCCCCUGCAGUUGUCCUUCAAAAGAAGGGUAUCGCAUGUAGUAAUUACUAAAUUUGGUUGCUGGAAAUUUACUGUAGAGUUUGAUGGCAACCACCACUGAUCAGGCAUGCAAUAAAUAUAUAUAAAUAUAUAUAUAUAUAUAGGAGGGCAAACAGUAAAUACAAAUGGGUAGAUUUGGUUAUUAAUCUCCCCUGGGUGCAGAGUGGUCCAGAGCAACAUUAUGAAGAAUUAAAUUAGCAGAACUAAUAACGGAAAAGAAACAGCUAGACAUUACCGAGCAGUACAGUGUAUCUUUGGCCUAAGGACACUCUUAUUAUAGCAACAUCUCUUCACAUGCAUAUAUGGGCCACCCAAUUUCAAAGAGUAUAGUGCUUGAACAGUUUCUGCACAUUUGCAAUAUGCAUGCUCUCCCGUCCUAUAUACAUACGAAUGUGAAAUGGCAGCGCGCCCUUCUAUUAAUCUAAUUACGUGCCCCAGGAAAAGGAGAAGGUCAUUUUAUAGGAAAAGACGGAGCAGUAAAAUAUAUAUAUAUAUAUAGAGAGAGAGAGAGAGAGAGAGAGAGAGAGGUUAGUUUAGGGACUUGAAUGCUCAAGUGAGAAUAUAAUGGAGUUUGGUAAUUGGUUUUACGUAUAAAAGAGGCUUAAAAUGCAUUUAGAUUUUAGGCUGAAAAUUAAGGAGCUGUCCAAAUAUUUGGCAUGAUUUAAAAUAAAAUAUAUUACCAGAGAAAACAGCAAUUUGGGGAGAAAAAAGUGUUCUUUUUUUAAUUUUUUAGAAUUUCGUUAAGUGAAAAGCCAAGAGCCAAGAUUGAAAUCAUGUGCUUCUUUGCAAAUAUAUUAGACAAGGUUGACUCUUAAAGGGGCCUUUUAAUUAGUUAGUUUGGCAAAUUAAACCGAGUACCGAUUGACUUAAAUUCCUUUUUAUUUUUAUUUUUUCUUUUUUUCUGUCUAAAAUAUCUGUUUUCCCACUUCCUUCUUUUUGUUUCUUUUUUUUCUUUUCUCCCCAAAAACUGUUAUUAAUUGAAAGUACGACGUUUCUUCUAUCUAUUCGCUCAAAUACGAGAGACUCCACCUUUGCAUGCCUCGGAAUUUUCAGAGGCUCUACGAUUUGGGCGCGCGGCGAGUCAUCGUCACCGGGACAGGGCCGCUCGGGUGCGUGCCGGCGGAGCUGGCGCUUAGAAGCCGGGACGGCAGCUGCGCUGCGGAGCUGAUGAAAGCUGCAGAUCUGUUCAAUCCCCAGCUGGUGCACAUCGUAAGGGACCUCAACAGCCAGAUCGGAUCUGACGUCUUCACCGUCGCCAAUGCCCAGCGGAUGCACUUUGACUACAUUUCCAAUCCACAGGCCUACGGUAACUGCAUUAAACUACUUCUUCAGCAAAUUUUUAUCGCCUUAAAUGAUGGAGAACCCCCCGGCAGACAUUACCGAUUUCACAUCGUCCCAGCUGACUGACUAUACAUAUAUAUAACAUAAUAGUUCUCCAAUCCAUAUAGAAACAAACUCCUUAGCAUAUUAAGUGUGUUGCACUAUAUAUGUACAAAAAUAUCGCUCAUUAGCAGCAUAAUACAUCCACGUCAAAUGAUUCGAUGGUAUUCUGUUGCUAACGACUAGCGACAAAUAUUACGUUCGUGCCUCUGUAAAAUCAUUUAUUUUCUUUCUCUCUAAAAGAAAGAAAAAGAAAAAGAAAAAAAAGUCAUCUAUUUGCAUACUUUAUAUAACUCAUACUUUAUAACAAUCUGAAUUUUUAUACAUCGGCCCUGUCACAACAAAUUAAACCUUUUAAAAAAGUUUCCACCGAUCUGACCCUUGUGAUAAUAACUUGUAGUUUAGGAGAUAUAUAUAUUGCCGAGAAAAUUUUAUGUAUGUGCAUCCGUAAAUUAUAUAUUUGCUUUCUCUCUCUCUCACAACAAAUUAAACCUUUUAAAAAAGUUUCCACCGAUCUGACCCUUGUGAUAAUAACUUGUAGUUUAGGAGAUAUAAGAAUUGCCGAGAAAAUUUUAUGUAUGUGCAUCCGUAAAUUAUAUAUUUGCUUUCUCUCUCUCUCAAAAAAAAAAAAAGGGUUAAAAUACAUAAAAAUUAUCUGAACUAUUGAUCAUUUUUAGUUGUCUACCCGAUCUUGCAAAAGUUUGAUUUUUACUGAUUUAGUUAGAAUAUGAAAUUUCAUGCAAUUCUCAAAACUAUAAACUCAUUAUAAUAAGUAAUAAUUAGCUUAAAUUUUGAAGUCAAAAUAUCAUUGACUGAUUUAAAUUAAAUAAAUUAAAAUGUCGCAUGGUAAAAUCAAAAUUUUAAAAGGUCGGAUAGCCAACUCAAAAUGAUGCAUAGUUAAGAACUUUAGAUAAAUUUUGUACGUUUUUACCAAAACAUAUAGAUCAUCUAUUUGCACCGGUACCUUUUUGAACAAAAAUCUGAACUUUUCGGCGCGAAAUUUAACCUAUAAAAAAGUUUCCACCUUUGUAAACUUAGCUCGAAAUGUGAAGCAAUUAAAUUUCAAAUUUAAAAUUUCGGAUGCCAACUAUCAAGUCUUUUUCGACUUGCGCUAGAGAUGGUCGGCACCUUUCAAAAUUCUUGUACUCUAAAAAUCAACAUUUUGCUAAUUGGAGGACUCCACAACUUAAAGCUGAGGAGAGUUUCUUAUAAGAAACUACGCUUCGAAGAGAUAAAAAAAUGAAAAUUCAAAUUUAAAUUUAAAGGGUAAGAAAUGGAAAUAGAUGACUCUGCAGCGGCUCUAUGUGAAAACCCACUCAUAACAAUUAGGUGAUGAGCAUUUUUUUUUAUUUUUUUUAUUUUUAUUUUUUUUCCUGCAGGUUUUGUCACUGCAAAGGUUGCAUGUUGUGGUCAGGGGCCUUACAACGGUCUCGGGCUCUGCACUCCAGCGUCAAACCUCUGCCCCAACCGUGAUAUUUACGCAUUCUGGGAUCCGUUUCAUCCAACCGAGCGAGCGAACCGGAUCAUCGUGGGCCAGAUCAUGAACGGCUCGCCCGAUUACAUGCACCCGAUGAACCUGAGCACUAUUUUAGCAAUGGAUAACGCAAAGGCUUAGCCAUUUUGAGGCAGUAGUUUUUUUCUCUGUGCGCACAAACUAGGUGGUGUCCUUAUUGUUUCCUGAGACUAGUGUUAUAGUGUGCUGCUAAGGUAUCCCACAAGUGAACACUUUUGAGGAACUGUUGCUUCAUAGUACCAAAUGAUGGUCAUAAGACACACUUGUUUUUUAUGAAAUCAAUCUGAAGACAACUAAUUCGUUCGGUGUUAGUGUCAGAACUUGGAAAGUUACAGCUAACGGAACACUUGCUGACCUUGCAUAUGGUUGGCCGGUUUGGAUUCUGCCUUUGGUAGCUGCUAAUGAAAGCACCCGUGUAUUUUUUUUUUUUGAGAGAUAGGUAGCACCCGUAUAUUAUACGCGGCAUGGUGGUUCUAUAGAAGUAAAUAAUAAUGAGUAUUCCGAAUAGUUUUGGAAAAUAAAAAAAAAUAGAAAGAAAAGAAAGACUAGUAAAGAAAGAAAAAGAAGAAGAAGAAGAGUACUAAAUAGAAACCCAAUAAGAGUAGGAAUAAUUAGAGAUAAACUGAUCAACUAAGAGAAGUAGAACGAGUUUCAAAAUACAAGGCAAAAUUUUAUGACAAUAUAUUUUGAAAACAAAAUUAAAUGAUCGAUUGACUUUUAAUUAAAAUUAUACUUAGCGAAAAGUUCAAUAGAUUGAACAGCAGAGCCAGCAACAGUAGAAACGAAAGUAGAAUAAAUGAAAUUGAAGAAGGAACUAAUGCAUAAGAAGAAAUAGGUGCAACGGCGGCAGAACAGUAAAUAAAAAUAAAAUACCAAAUAGUAUCAAAGGUAGUUUUUACUAGUAAAUUAGUUUAGAUACGAAGCAUUGCCCUAGUUGCUAACUUUGAAGGAAUAAUAAACUGCAAGAGCUGCUAAUUGGGCAUCAGAUUUGCACUACUAUUUAAGCUGUUGUGCGCUUUUUCAUUUAGACAGCAAAUUUAUUGUACACCAUAAGAAAUAGAUCUCUUAGCUAGUGUCGAUUUGAUGCUGUUGCGUGCCGAAUGUCCCGACCCUUGACUCGAUCAAUAAUUCUCCUCGGGAAGAGCGUCGGGAUGCGAGAUGGCUGCGGAUUAUGACUCUUGAAGUAUGCGUCCACAGAGGAUCAAGCGAUUAGGCCGAUGAGGAAUCGAAUCAGCCGAGUUCGAAAACCUCUGCAGUAAAUUCGCUUCGGCAGGAUGAGCCGAAUGGAGAGGGGAAGCCCAGAAUUCGACUAAGAAACGAGCCAAAUGGCUAAACAACUUAUGAUCUGAUCGGCAGGAAGAGCCGAAGAUGACUUUCUAUUGAAUAGCAAAAGGAAAAAUACAUAAACAGGAGAAUGAUGCCCGUAGGGCAGACAGACUCUAAGUAUGGGAACAGGGGAGUGAUGCCCAUGGGGCAGAUAAACUCCAAAUAUAUUCUAUAAGGGAGUGAUGCCUAUGGGGCAGACAGACUCCAAGUAUAUUCUAUAAGGGAGUGAUGCCCAUUGGGCAGACAGACUCCAAAGAUCUAAGUUACAGGAACUACUCAUAGGGAAAGCAGUAAAUGCGGCAAAGAAAAAGAUUACAUUUAGACUACUCCUAGAAAAAGCGAUAAAAUGCAGAAGAAAUAAGGGUGGUCUUUUGUGUGCAGGGGCGAAGACCCCUAUUGCAGGCUUCAAAGUUACUAUUUAUAGCCCACAUUAUUAGUUGGUUGAAAGUAGUUGGGGGAAGUGGUUGUAACCAUGAUCGUGGAAGUUAUACUAACUCCUCAUGGAAGUUACGCGAACUCCUCAUGGAAGUUACGCCCCAGUUUUCAACCGUUCCCGCCUUCUUGUCCUUCAGGCGCCUUAUUGCCGACUCCUGGCGUACCACGUGUCCUUACUGGCUCAUACGUGGGUUAGGCCGGCUCAAUUUUGGUAUCAACAAUGCCCCCCAAUAGUCUUUCGAAUGAACAUUCGGAUGACUAUUGAUGCCAAAUCAACUGUUCAAAAGCACAGCCGAGAACCAAGCUUUAGUUUCGCUGGUCUUGAUCGGCUUUAGGAAAAUGACGCUGUAUCAUUCCAAUCACAUAUAUCUCGGCUUCAUCAACCGAUUCUUUACUUUUAUUUGAUUAGUUCGGCUCUUCUUGAAUCGAAUGUUUUUCUAUCAAGAAAUUCUUCUUAAAGAAAUUGGCUAUAUCUCGGCUUCAUCAGCCGAUUCUUCACUUUCACUCGAUUGGCUCGGCUCUUCUUGAACCGACUGUUCUUCUAGCAAGGAUUUCUCCUUGCCUUUCCUUUGAUUUUUAUAUCGGCUCCAUUGCAGCCGAUCGUCCUCACUUUUCUUCUGAAAUUGCUCGUAUUGGGCAACUCGAACACCUAAAUCAAAUAGGUUAGAAAAAUACUUAUCUUCAAAAUGGUCUUUUAUCUUAAAAUGCAGACCGCCAUUUUGGCGAACUCUGAUUCCGGCAUUCUCAUAAAGCACCGAGUUUUGGCUAUUUUGAAACGGUCCAAAUACUCUUCGAUCGUUUCACCUGACAUUUGUCGAUACAAAGCCAAGUCGGCGACCGAUAAUUGUGGCUCCGAUCUAUAGAAUCGCUCAUGAAAUUUUCUUUCCAAUUCGUCCCAAUCUUGGACGGAAUUGGCUGAUAAACUUGUAUACCAAGUAAACGCCGUUUUAGUUAACGACGUGUUAAAUAAUCGAAGUUUCAAAAAUGAGUCAGCGGCCGCUUCUCUACAUUGGGCCGUGAACCGAGCUAUAUGCUCGACUGUAUUCUCGGUCUCAUCGCCCGAGAACUUGUCGAACUUCGGCACUUUCCAGUUUGCCGGAUACGGAUGCUCUAUAUCUGUCACGCCCCGGGGUCCCUUUUAGAUUAAAACACAGCGGAAAUUUUUUUUUUUUUUGAAAACCUGACCCCAGGGUAUGCCAAACCGCCCACAAAUACAGGGAGUCCACUGUUUCACACGGACAGCAGUCUCCACCUAGAUUUGACCGGCGUCGCACAAGUACAAGAUUUCAACAGAAUAUAACAGGAUAUCACCACACUACAUGAUAUGUACAAUACACACAUUCAUUCAUCCUUCUACCAGAUAUUAUUAUUUAGUUGUCUUAAAACUAAAAACCAUAAGAAAACUCUUAUUGAAAGCUGUUCUCCACACGGGAACCUUGUUCUUUUUAAAACGACCGUCUACACGAGGGGUAGAAACCAUUUUCUUCACAAAUUCACAAAUCCCUUCUAUUACAUUCAUGAAAAAUCCACAUUGUUCAAAUGUAAAAAAUACUUAAACCAUAUGAACUACCUGAGCUAAUCAACAUAAUAGUAAGGGUAAAACUAAACGAUAUACUGUGCGUCGGAGCUCUUCGAGCGCUACGAAGUGUCUCACAUGUUCGUCUCGACUCUCACGCCCGCAAUACUGAAAAAUGCGUGGGAGCAGUUGGAAUCAUGUAACAUGUCUCCUUCUCCACGUGGAUUACCGCAAGCGAUGAAGCGAGGGAGUAACUCACCGAUCAGAAGAGCUAAACACAGUACGGAGUCAUAGAUAGAAUACAAUAGCAUAAUAAUGCAAUAAGAGAAUAUAUAGUGAAGAAGUACAACUUACGCACUGAAUGGACAGACUGAUGUUACAUGUAACAAGACAUUAGUAGCAAGACAAUGUAAUGAACGAACCUGAAAGGUAUCACAGCAACAACGCUACUAUGUUAUAUGCGUCAACCAGACAAGAAGUCCAAUAUUACCCAAUCUGGUACCUGCUAUAUUGUGUUGCGGACUUCAAGCGCUUGCCUGUCACUAACUGCACCGACCUGAUUCACCAGCCCCACAGGACGACCCAUCCGAUAAGUACACUCCGAUGUGUGGCAAACUGACCGGUCGAGGUUCGUGAAUACCCCAAAGUGCUGUGACUAAGUCAUGCUGGUUGUCAUACAACCCGGCUAACACCGGUGCCUAGGCCGAGCAGAAACAAGGCGCGUACAACGCCGUAACCUCAUCAACCAGAUCGAAACACAUGCGAGAACGUCAAUGUAUUGCUGGACCUGAAGGUCCCACAGGGUCACGACCAGCAGGUCACUGAUACGAAGUACGAAACGCGACAAUCAGGCGUACGAUACGGAAUGCACAACCAACCAACUGUCAACAGAUACGCGAAUUAACAUCGCGCAAUGGUCAACAGGACGGAAUGCAACAACCAACCAACUAGGUCAACAGAUCUGAAUGCACAACAGGCCAACAUAGGUCAACAGAUACGCAUGUAGUAGACUACUCACUCCUACUCAGGUACUAAGCAUUAAACAACGAUAGGUUAUAACGAAUAAACAAGGGUGCAAGGCUCAAUAUACUAUGCGAUAGUAACAACAGAAGAGUAAGGGUAAGAAACCAACACCAAGCGUGCACCACUGUACCGACGUCGGACCGAAGUACCCACCUGUAAGGAUGUCGCGUCUGUCUCCUGUCUGCAAAAGAAUGUCGACAGGACCUAUAGAGGGUCCACCGGGUUAGUAUCUAACCCACCACUAAGAACCACAGCAUCCACAACCCCAUAAAUAAUUUCACGAAGAUCGGUUUCCCAAUACCGAUUACCGUAACUCGCCGGAAGUCCCGAAAACCACACCGGGACGCCGUCGGGACCCACUAAGUGUCCCGAAACUCACCGACUCGUGUCACGAGUCACCUGCUUCCCCAAAACACUCCAAUUUGGAUGUUUUGGCAGCAAACACAAGAUAACACCACUACACAAUUAUCCCCGAAAAAUUGUACGAAUCCGGGUUCCCAAAAGUGUCUAUUUCGACACCGGAACCCACCGUCGCUCACCCAUCAUCACCGAACCCACAAAAUGAUGAUGGUGACCAGCCAACAAGGCUCAGCGAUAAUUUACAGGAUAACCAAACCACGUCGGAAGAAAUCCGAACCGAAACCGCGUUCUUUCGGCGAAUUUUGCCGAAAAACGCGCCGGAAUCGACUUUUCGAUUUUCGCAAAAGCUACAGGAUCAUGGACAAUCAGUCCAGAGGUCAAACACACUCAUACACACUGCCCACAGUAGCCACAAGGUGUACGAUUGCACAAAAGCCCCUGUAUUUACAUAAAAUCCCAACAUUUUAUGUAAAUCGGGCGAUAAAAUAGCUCGUUCACGCAAACCGAGGACUUCUAAGUUCCACCGAGACAUGUACUGACAGGUCUCGAUGUGCCGGAGGCCGUGCUCAUGGUCCGGAGCACAUCGGCUCACUGUGGGAGGCGCGGGAGCAACCCGAAGUUCUGUGAACAGUGCACAGUCGGGGAAGAUCGCACCAAACAGGGCUAACCGGACACUGUUGAUCCAAAGUGAGGUGAGCACUAUGAUCAGCACUGACCAUCGAUCACCGUGCUCACCUCCGGAGGCAUUGGAAUAGCCUCGGAUCGCCGAAAAAAUGCGCGCAAGUACGGAACAGCAGCCGAAAAGGCUCAACCCGGUCGACACCGCCGAAACAGUAGAACGGAGUCUCCCCGACAGAAUCUAAGGUGAGCACGAUGAUUAGCAAUUUGCUACGAUCAUCGUGCUCCCUUCCGCAGAGAUCAGGGAGGCUCAGGAAGCUCAGAACAAUAAACCCACUCAAAUAAGCCCUAUUUCGGGCUUGACCGGAGCAAGCCUGCUCUGGCCGGCUUCCGGCGGCAUGGCGGCGUGCGUGUGGGUCAGGGAUGGAUGCGGGGGAGGUGAGGAACACGAUGCUCACUUCAGUUGGCGGCGAGAAGCGGCGGCGGCGACGGCGGAGAGACUUGAGCCCGCACAAGCUAAAGCUCGGGUUCCGCGGGCACAGGAGGCCACGGCGGCAGCCGGGGGCUCAGGGACGGCGGAGGAGGAUCACCCGAGGUCGGCAGCAGGCGGAACGGGUGGUCCCAGGCGGCGGCGGCGCGAAGAGGAAGCCGCACACAAGCCUCAGCCCAAGCUCGGGCUGGGGCGGCAGCAAACUGCAGAGCCAGCAGCGGCGGCGCAGGCGACGGCGGCAAGCGGCAGCGACCGGUCGGGGGAAGCUCCGAUAGGGUCAGGGCAACGCCGACAGGGAAUAGGGAGGCAAUGCAGCCUCGACUAGGGCUCCAACCAGAGAAGAAAAGAGAGAGAGAUGGAGAGAGAGAUGGAGAGGGAGAUGGAACCUCCUUCUCCGGCGACCGGCAGCGUGCGCCGGCGGCUGGGGAGCGCGCCAUGCACUCAGGGGAGGGAGUAGAAGAUGGCAAGGUGUGGCUAGGGUCUAGGGGUUAGGAUUUCAAGGUAGAAAACCCUAGAUACACUCUAUAUAUAUAAGGUGCAAAUUACGGAAAAGCCCCUCAAACUUUAGUAUUUGAUCCUGAGUCCCUCACAGCGCGUGUAAAACGCGAGAAUACCCCUCCACGUGCGAUCUCACACAAAACGGUACAUAAAAUGUCACACUUUUUACGAAAAUACCGUUUUGCCAUCACCGACCUCUCCUCGAUCAACGCGCAAGCUCCGCAGAUCCGUCCGUCAGAUUUGCGAACGGACCGCACCAGUGCAAUCAGCACAACAGAGACAACAAAGCUACAAUUUCGUUUCGCCUCGAUCCAUCGCGGAUUCGCGACGAAAUCCGAUCCAUCUCUCCAACAGAAGAACUACGCACAAAUACAUAUAAAACACGUAUUUUCAGAUUUUCUCGAAAUCCGUGCGUCAAACUCAAAAUCCGUCAGCGUCAUCAGUUCCAGAACAGCUGAACCGGUCGAAAUGAGCUAUUGGACUGCUAUGAACGGAGUCCGAUACGCGCUAGAAGUCAACUUCGCACUGUGGCUUCUCCGAAAAAUUGAGUUACUAUUCACUUUAAGUGAAACUUGGAAAUCGCGUAGAAUCUCCGUUUUAACUCGUUUUCUCCCGAAACUUGACGAGUGCUUUUGUAAUUAAAUUACACACAAAAACAUCAUCAACUGAGAGUUUAACUACACUGCAAAAAUCUCGAUCCUUACAGUAUCUAUGUUUGCUGGAUACGGGGAUCGAAAAACAGGCCGCAUAGCCGGCCUGGCCCCUACUCCGAAGGUAUUCCGAAUGACUUCCUCAAUCUGAGCAUACAGCGGAGCUUGUGCUUGAGCCGAAUUUGGCUCUUGAGGAACUCCAGAAUUCUGUAUUGCAAGGUUCGCUCCUUGCAUAUCAUUAGGGGCCUGCCCCCCUGCCCUAAGCCCUACAUUUUGGGGCUGAUAAGCUGGUAAAGGAGGUAAACCCGAUGCAAUCUCCGACUGAGGGCCGGCGCUUAUAUUCGCCGGCCUGUAAGCAACCUGGAAAGGUGCCAUUUGCGGUUGCGCCUGUGAGACCGCCGGUGUGAUGGGAUUUUGUUGCAUUGGCACAUUUAGGGGCCCCUGUUGCCCCCUAAAAGGUUGCUCGUUUCGGGUAAAUAAUUGUCUGAUUCGAAUAAUAUUUUUAUUUUGGUUGUAUGAAAUCAAAUGACAUGUGUGGAUGAAUGUUUAGUACUAGUGCUUUCACUAUUUGUUGUUGCUUGCCCUCGAGUAAGCCAUAUAUACUCGCAUUCUCAUUGUAUGAAUUGAUGUUGUUAUACAUGUGUUGGUGGAGCCUUGGGCGGACAGGGGAGGUUCUGUCCAUUCGGCGUCUGUUGGCGUGCCCGAACCGACCAAAUUGGCGGUCGCGGGGCGUGACACAUCUCAAAUUUCCAGUUCACCUAAGAGCAUUGUCCCCAAACCUCACGUGGCUUUCCAUUAUCUCAUUGUGUCACGCCCCGCCUCGAAACCACUACCGAUUUGGCGCGAUUCGGCCGCGGCAACGGACCGCCGAACGGACAGCACCUUCCCUGUCUGCCCAAGGCUCAACAACAGGAAUGUGUACAAGAAUUUACCCAGGACUUUAAAUUCUAAACAUACACAUUCAGCAAGGGCACAAACAGUGCCAACAACAAGAAGAGCAAGUAAUCCACGAGAUAUACAAGUGAAAUAAAGAGAGUACUUUACUAACUAUUACAUUAGUUACAUUCAUUACAUCAUUUUUCAUCCAAAAUACAUAGCUCUCCAACCUCACCUACAAGAAUCUCUCUCAAUACAUAGGUGACUAAUGCAAAAAGGAAAGCUACUAUACUACCACGGUCUCACUGGUCGGGCGCGACGCCCUUGCCGCGGUCCUCUCUCUGCAGCCCUGAACCUACCACUGGAAAUAGAGUGGGGUGAGAACUAUCUUCCAUAGUUCCCAGUGGGCUCGGCCGCCGACUCUGCCGAUCUCCCCACUAGGUCCAAGUGGGCACAAGUAACAACAGAUAGAUAGAUAGAUAUGUAUCUGAAAGCUGUAAAUGCAGUAGUAGGAAAACUAUGCUACUAUGCCCAUAAUCAUGAAUAUGAAUGCAUGCAUCAUAUAAUAAAGGUUUGCUACCAUGCUAACAAAUUCGAUCCAUGUUCGAAUAGUAAUGUUCAAUGACAUUUAUAAACCUUUAACCUUUUUCAUUUACCCAAUCUGUGGCGAGGCCCUAGGGCUCGCCCAUGACUCACCUUCAAAUCCCAAAGUGGGGAGGGAGCUCCAAGUGCACCCAAGCCCGGGACCGUCUGCGGACCUCCAUGUGGUCCGGACCUCCAAGUGGUCCUAGUCGCGCGACACUCCGGAGUACUCGACGACAAUCCCCUCCAUGUGGGGAUUGGAUGGCUAUGCCACCCUAAACGCAGACUGUGAGCUAGAUCUAUCCUCUCCAUGUGAGGAUACACUGUAACUAGGGUCAACACCCAAUCCAAUCCUCUCCAAGUGAGGAGGCUCUACAACUAGAGUCAAUAACCCAAUCGAAUCCUCUCCAAGUGAGGACGCCCUACACUAGGGUCAACGACUAUCGCGGAAUCAUCGGUUCCCGACAUUCAUGCAAUGCUAUUUAGUUUUCUAAAUUCAUUGUUCACAAGGCAUUUUCUAAGGGAUCCACCUAUCCCUAGGUCCAUCGACCUCUAGUGUUAUUUACACUACAUUAAUGCCACUCGUUAUCAUUCAAUGUUUGGAUGCCACUCGUUUGUUCUUUAACAAUAACACUACUUUCUAUGUCAUCAAUACCCCCAUCGGGUUCAUCUCUUUUCUUUCGCACCAUAGGAUUCACGUCUCGACCCAAUCCUCACCUAUCUAAGUUACCAAGCGUUCCAAGUACACUAGGUUAUCAAUUAGAAAGCAUAAGGAAUGGAGCUACUAUGCAAUCCUACAAUGCAACAUGAAGAGAUGAGAUUAAAUGCAAUCUAAGACAUAGAAAGGAGUUCGAAAGUUUCGGAUGACACCCCCCACCUUUAAUCGAUGUAGAGGUUUCGGAAAUCUCUCUCGGCGAGCUUUACGAAAAGGCUUUAGCCUUCCUCGCCCGAAUCAACACUAGCCCGGCCCGAUUUUGCCGAGAACUUCACGUCGGUUCGCCGAAUGCCAAAAUCGACUUCGCCCCCGCGUUUUGGGACCUAUCAAUAGGGUUUCCAAGGCUUCAAAUGAGAUCAAUCUCAUACUUUUACAAAAACCCCAUUUUGGAACCCUAGAUUUGCACCUAUAGCAAACCACCCCAUAAAUCCCUAGAUUCUUGGGAUUGAUCUAUUUAGAAGCUUGCUUAGGGUCCAUUUGACCCAUUCCAAGGCAUAAAACCCAAAAACCCUAAGUUCUAGAAGCUAGGGUUUAGUAGCUUACCUCAAGAGCUACUCCAAUGGGAAGAGGAGAGGGAGAUGGAGGUGCUCAAAGCCUUCCUCUUGAUCUCCUUCUUCUUCUCCUUCCUUAUCUUCCUCUUCUUUUCCUUCCUCUCCUUCUUGUUCUUCUUCUCCUUCUUUCCUUUCUAGAGAGAGAGAGAGCAAGAGAGAAAUGAGAGUGAGAGAGAGUGAAAUGAGAGAGUGUGAGGGAGAGAGAGGGCUCAGCCCACUCAAAUAAAGGCCAUUUUGCAUAAAAGCCCCUCAACUUUCACUCCUGUGCACUGCCCUCACUGGGCAGUUCUCGCGCGGAGGGACCGGUCUCCCCGACCUGGGACCGGUCCCCGAGAGCUUCCCUCGGGCGCACGCGUUCGGGAACCGGUCUCUCCCCGGGAGACCGGUCCUCGGGAGACCGGUCUUCGCCUGAGAGACCGGUCCCCAAGAGCUCGAUUUUCAGGACUUAGCCAAUUUUCGGCAAAUCUCGCUGGGACCACGUUCGGGAACCGGUCCCUCCCUGCCCGGGACCGGUUGCAUCACGCAACCCCGCUACACCCAGCCAGGGGAACCGGUCUCUCACCUGCAGAGACCGGUCCCCGAGAGCAACAUCAGCCCAAUGAUGCAAUUUGCCUCAUUUGCUCUCGCGGACUCAACUCUAAGGCACUUUUUGUUCUUUGGACAUUCUCAACUCACACAAAGGGUAUACUUUCGACAAUUAGUCGAUCCUGGAUGAAGUACAAUCCUCGUAUUUCGAGAAUUCACUUCCUUACACAUUAUCUCACAAAGAGCACUUACCUUAUCUGCCACGGCCAAUAUCAAAUCGUUCUCGCAACGAGUCCACAUGAACACCCCAUUCGUGAAUCCAAUUAUCACGGGUGGUCCAUAGGCCGCCAAUCCCACAAAGGCCUACCACCUAACCUGUCUCAAUACGCGUAAUGUCUCUCGCUCGCAAGCGCAGACCCAAUCAUCACUGGGCGGAGUCCUCAUUGGAAGCUUCACACACACUCCAACAGGGAGCAACCAAGACCACAACCCACAUCAUGUUCUAGGGUUGGGUCACAACCACACUCUCGGUGUAUUAUUGAUCACACAAUCCAACACGUGGCAUUCCACGUUCCCGGGUCCAAGCUCGGACUACCGUCCCGACCGAAACCUCUGCCCUACCCGUAGGUACCUGGCCGCUGUCCCACACAGCUGACUGCGCCUGUCCCAAUGGCCCCAGGCUCCACAGUCCACAAAUGGUCCUGGCACGGAUCGUCCCCAAGCAAUACCCGCCAUCGUUGUCACAUACGAUAUGCUCUACCGAGCCACGUACCUCGAUCGGCUCCUAAGCACGCAGUGCGAGCUACCAACCCUACGAGUGAUCCAUGGUCCGCUUCACACUUAGCAUUGCUCAAGCGCUACAACAAACCCUCUCAGCUGAACCAAAUCCACACUCCAUGAGUACCUACACUCGAGCGUCGUACGCUUUUAUACCUUUCCAUACUAAGUCCAACAUUAGGCAAUCUUGCCUAUGCGCACUAACUACACAAGCACCAUUUCCUACCUCAAGUCGAGGUACCACUCGGCCCACACACCAGAACAUGGUGACUGAUCAACUAUUCCCACAACAGUGACUACCCCGUCACUAUUCGGUCCGUUGGAUCGACAUCCGAAACUCCUGGACUACUAGGACAUUCUCAAGCGUCAUGACUCGACUCUCGCAAUCAAUUGCUUACAUUACCUUGAGAGUCGGUCCACCAUUUCCAUCCCUACCAUGAGCCCUAAGCUUGGCUCACUACCAGCAACAUGCCAACACCGUCUAAUCACCUAUUCACUUUGAGAGGCGAUGCACCAACACAACUCAUGCAUGCUAGGAUAGCUACACUAAUCCAUAUCUUGGUCUCUACUUUACUUAUGCAUAAAUAGUAGUAAAUGACCACAUGAUCAAUGCAUGCAAUGUUCCAAAUUUACAUUCUUCAACUAAAUCAUACCUGCCACGCCGUUGCCGAUAGCAGCAGAUUCCUCAACCUGGGUCGCGUAUCCAUGGCCACUUGCCGCCCGUCGCGAACCCCCCGGUUGCCUUAUCCUCACUUGUUCUCCAGACCGUGCCGUAGGUGGCACACCCCUCGGCUGUCCCGGAGAGGAAAAGGUCAUCGCCAGUGUUAGGGCCUAGCUAUAUGUAACAUACCACAUCCCUCGUAAAUCGUGCUGGGUUCCGUCGAAAUGAGCGGGACGCGGAGUGGAAUGAGUUGGUGUAGGCCCCGAGUGCAUUGGAGCCUAUAUAUAGUGCAAAGGGACCCGAGAUAGAGAAGUUUCAAAAUCUGGCUAAGUCUCAGAUUUUGUGCUCUCGGGGACCGGUCCCUGAAGGAGAGACCGUUUCCGUACGCAUAGCCUGUCAGGAAAAUCCUGAGGCAUCCGGUCCCUGGUGAUGAGACCGGUCCUCGGGAGACCGGUCCCUGAAGAGCAGACCGGCCCCUCGUUGCGCAGCCAGCCAAAAGUCCGAAAAUUUGGCUAAGUCCUGGAAACCCCGCGUUCGGGAACCGGUCCCUGGUCGGGGAGACCGGUCCCCGAAAGUGAAAAAUGCCCAGUUUGGGCAGAUCAAUGGGAAACAAGUGGAGGGGCUUAAGUGCAAUUGUUACAACACUAUAUAUGGCCCAUCCUCUCUCUCCCACAGCCAUUUCUCUCCUCCUCUCUCAUUUUCUCUCUUUCUCUCUCUAGAACCCCUCUAGAGCUUGGAGAAGAAGAAGAAGAACUUGGAGAAGAAGGUGGAUUUGGUGCUUUAGUGGUUCUAGGAGCUCUCCAACAAGAAAGACCUUGAUGGAGCUUGGACUAGAGGUAUGUUUUGUAAGGUUUUCCUCUAGGGUUUGGAUUUUGGGUUAGGGAUAUGGAGCUUUGUGCUCCUUAGUGGCUUUAGAGUCUCUUUUGAGCCAUGAACACCAUGAAACCCAUGAGAGCUCAAGGUGCUCUCAUGGUGAAUCCUUGGAAGUUGCGUUAGGAGCCCUAGGGUUGGUUCCAAAGGUCUAAAAACAUUACUAGGAUGCUUCUUAGAUGAUCCUAAGCUAUUGUUUGCUUAGGGUUGGGAUCGAUUCAUGGGGGAACCCUAAAUGACAUUGUCAGGGCUUGAAAAUUGGGGCUUUUGCCCUAGGAUUUUUCGGGGACAAAUUGACCCUGUAGAAACCUAAUUGGGAGUGUCCUAAACACGUGGGACAACCUCGUUUAAUUUUACGAGGAUAUUAAAGAGUGGUUCAUAUAUAAAGGGCCUAAUUUGGCACCAUUUUGGGUUGUAGGGCGCGGAUCAUCGUUCAUAGAGUUCGGGAGAUUGUCGCGUUCAUUUUCUACCACCUCACAAGGUGGGGGGUGCACGCCGGAAUCGUUGGAUUCUCUUCUAUGUCUAUUUCUCUAUUUUGAACAUAUGGUUUUAUAGUCACUCAUGCAUAUUAGGGUUAAUUUACAUGUGAACUUUGGAUGUAUCAUUUUGUUUGCUCUAAUGAAUUGGAAAGUAGAAAGAUACGGGACCAUGAUGGACAUGUGUUGUUGAACCCUAGAGAUUGCAUGAUUGUGAGACUUGGUCUGGACAAUGGUAAAUACCUAUGACAUUGACAAUAGAGAGAUAGAUUAGCAUUGACAAGUAAGUGUUAAACAUAGGUUUAACCAUAGUGACAUUAGGACAAAAAUGAUUAGCAAGUGACAUAAACAAAUGAGUAGAGAACCUAGCAUAAAGGUGGCAUUGUAACAAGUGGCAAAGCAUCCUCAAGUUGGGGAUUCGAUCGAUACUCAUGAUAAGUCUUGGCUUGAGGGUGGUAGCUCCCCCUCAAGCGGUGAGUUUCCGGAAAUAGUCACCUCGGGGAGCGAGGUCCCCUACGACAGUCCCUAGGGGUGGUUCGAGGCCCCCUGUUAUGACGGGAUUUGGGUUAUGAGUUAUUGGGGUUAACAAAGUUAACCGGCAAGAUUGGGUAAGAGCCAAAGCUUAUUUACGAUUGAAGCAUGCAUGCAUUUCCAUUAUCGCAUUGAAUUAUAUAUCUGUUGACCUCUUUCUUGCAGGCAUAGUAUUAGUUGCAUUAGUAGUGGUUACUUUCCUUCCUUUGAAAUACUUAUGCCUGGAUAGACCUAGUGGGUAAGUCGGCGAGAUCGGAUGCCGAGCCCACUGGGAACUUUGUUUAGUUCUCACACCACUAACCUUACAGGUCCUAGCACGAGCGAGGCGACGGAGGACCGAGGCAAGGGUUUAGCGCCGUAGAUAGCGGCCACCAGGACUAUUUUAUAUUUUGUAGUCAUUCCCCUUUUGUAUACAUGUAUCAACUUCUUUUGUUGUUCUAGAAAGUUGUAAAGUUGAAAACAAUAUGUAUUUUGGUAAAUGGCUAAAUGUAAAGAAUUAUGGAUGAAAGCAAGAAAUGUAAUAGUUCAGUUUACUUUUAUUUGGUGCAAAAGCAAUCAAGUAUUAUGUAUGGAUAAAUGUUUUAGCUUAGAGCUUUCGCUUCCGUUGUUGCUUGCCCUCGUGCAAGCCUUGUAUUAUAUAUACAAAUCCCUUGUUGAUUGCUUAUUUAUACAUGGUUGUUGGAGCCUUAGGCGGACAGGGGAGGCUCUGUCCGUUCGGCGUCUGUUGACGUGACCCGAACCCGACCAAAUUGGCGGGGAUUGGGACGUGACACUAUCCCCUAGCGGGCACUCGUCCCGCGCAUGGCCCAAUUGCCCACACUUGUAGCACUUGCCCUCUUGCUGCUCACACUAUUGUGGGUGAUGAGGGCCCUCACAAAUAACACAUCUUGCCGAGGAUCGAGUGCGGUAGGUCCUCGGGGCUCGGGAUCGCGAGCGCGAACACAUUGAAGUUCGUUCAGAACUUGUCUGACCACUGUAUUCACUCAUUGGCUGUCAUUUUCCCUUUUCCUUGUAAUAAGACUCGCGUUCCUCCCGCACAAAUGCGCCACCUUGUUCAACCCACAGUGCCCGGUCCAACACCUCAGCAAAGGUCUGCAAUUUGAGAGGAUGCAUAGCCUCAAAAAUUUUCGGCCGAAGUCCCCACUCAAAGCAAUCGGCCUUAUCCUUGUCAUCCUGCACCACAUUCGGGACACAAUUCAUGAUACAGGAGAAUUUUCGCUUAUUUUUCCUAACCGAGCGGUCUCCUUGCCGCAGCUUCCUGAACCUAUCCUGAAGCUUUCUCUUUUCACUGUCGGAGAAAUAAGUAGAAAAUAUCAAUCCCCGAAACUCUUCCCAAGUCACAGAAGGGAGACUAGGCGAUCGGUUCCGCUUAACGCCUUUCCACAAUACCUUUGUCGACUGCCCCAAGCAAUGCACGGCUAGAUGUAUCUUGUCCCGCUCCAAGGCGUACAAGUCCUCAAAGAGAGUUUUCAUAGAGUCGAUCCACAUUUCCACGAUCUACGGAUUAACAUUCUCUCCAUCAAAGGUAGGCGGAUUAAAUUUCUUGAAGGUCAUGAGGUGUAACACACUGGACCUUUGCAAAUUGCGAGGUUCGAGUGUUUGAGCUGUGUUCUGAGUUUUUUCAGAUUUUCUGGAGGGUCGUGGACAGUGGUCCGACCCAUGGCUCGCAUCCCGAGGAAUACGGUAUUUUAUGUAGCACUAAGGUCACUAAAGAGUUGGACUUAGGCUACCCUCAGAUUGCAUUCUGCCUAUGGUGAAACCGGUGACAGGUCGAUGGCUGUACUGAUACACAUUUUGUACCGGUACACUUUGAUGGUUGUACCGGUACACUUGCGCCGAAUUUCAAACCCGAGCCUCGGGUUUGCAUUUUCGCUGAAUUUGUACCUGUAUACUUUUUCGUGUACCGGUACACUUUAGCAGAUUUUGAGCAGUUUGAACUGCAGGGGUGUUUUUGCAUGUGUGGCCUCCUAUAUGUGUCCCCACGCCCCCUAGGGCUUCUCCUGAGCUGAGAACCAGAGGAAAGCAAGGUAGGGAGCUCUCCUCUCACCCUCUUUGGAUUUCUUUGAUUUUGUUGGGGUUUUAUGAGAUUAAAUGUCUCUUUUUGCUUCUUUUUGAUUGUUGAAGGCUUUUCCCACUAUUGGAGCUUGGGUUUGAUGCUUGGUUGAGGGAAGAUCCUUGAAGUUUGAGGACUUUGAGCUUGGAUUGAAGCCUCUAAAAGGUUCGUAGCAAGAUCUUUUCCUCUAAAUUCGGUUUUUGAAGGUUUCUUUGAGAUGAAACCCUAAAAUGGAAACUUAGGGCUUGAUUUUGGGCAUUUUGGAUUUAGGGCUUUUGGAGCUCAAUUUCUUGGAUUAGAAUCUUCCAUUAGAUCGGAUUGGAAGGGAUCUAGCUCUCUUUUGGAGCUUGAGAGAAAUUUUUUACUCUUUAGGUGAGUUUUUGCCCCAUUGCUUGUGGUGGUUAAUGUUUGAGCCUAGAGUUGUUCGUAACGUUUAUUUAUCUCUUUUUUCCUUACCUUUAGGGUACUUAGAGACUUGUGGACAACUUCGUUUGAGCUUACGAAGGAUUCCGAGACGGUUCGGUGGGUUUGACCUAGCCACACAAUGAGAAAAUCUCAUUUGUGAUGAAUUGAGUAUCGUUAAAUGAAAAAGCAUGCAUAAUCAUGUUACAUGUAUUAUUUAUGAAUUUUAGAAUGCUUAAAAUGCCUAUGUUACAUACAUUGUAUUUUCGGACCUCUAUGAAGUAGAGAACUUGCAUGUGAGGCGUAUGUGUGCAUUAGCAUUCUUAUGAGAGACUUGGGUUCAUGUUUACAUAGUAGAAAUGACAUAUGUAAAGUGCCUAUGGACUUAGACCUCAAUUGGAUAUUGAAACUAUUAUAAUGUCAUAAAGCGGCAUUGGACUAAUUUGACUUGUGAAUUAGUAAGCUAAUAUCAUAAAGGGGCAUUGAGCUCGGGUUAGAUGAGAACCUAGUACUAAUGUCACGAAUGAAACAUAGAAUAUAAAAUGUGCUUAACUUAUAACAAGCUUAAGUGUCAUAAAGAGGCACUAAGCAUAGUGAGUGUUGCAACAUCACCUUGUGACAUUGAACUAGAUCUUUGGGAUACUAGUAGCUUUGAUCAUGUUAGAGACAUGAUGAUUGGACACUUGGGACAUUGACUACGCUUGUUUGCCAUUUGUGCUCAUUCGCAUAUGCUUGUGAGGGUUGCUCCCUACAAGCAAGCACUCCGGAGUUGACCUACGUGACUUAUGUUCGCUCGUGCGAUAUCGAGAAACCUACAGGGUCGGGAGGGAUAGAGUCAUUCCUAGAGUGGGAAUGCUGGAGCUACCACCGACACUUAGGUGGCACAAGCUGGACUACACUAUGUAGGUCCUAGAAUAUAUUGAAAACAAUGACAUUUAAUCAGGGGAUAACAAUCACUACUAGAUAAGAUUAGUAGUUGGAUUACUAUGACAUGCUUAUAGCAUAGUGUUGAGACAUGUAGUAUACUUGAUAGUUUACUUAUUGCAUCAUUAUAUACUUGGUUGCCAUGAUAGAGCAUAAUCACCAUAUAUUGAUAGAACGGGUCAUGAUACUUACUUGUUGCCAUGUUGGGACAUAGUACUUAUGCAUUGGACAUUCUUCAUUAUGAAAGAGUAAAUGUACAACACAUUGAUAUCAUAAUGCUUAUGGUAUAGUAAACAUGCAUACUUUCAUAUCGCAGUUAUUAUUAUUAUUACUGUUGCUUACCGUACUUACCCUUUUCUUUUGGGGCCUAGUGGUGCAUUGAGCUGAGGUCAGUAAUUGCCCACUGGGAACUAUAAAUUAUAGUUCUCACGCCCUCUGUUUUAUGUUUUAUUUCAGAGCCUUCCACGCCGGGAGAGGCUAGGGACCGCGGAAAGGGUAUCGCCUCGAGCUAGCUUGGCUUCGAGGGACGCGUUGAUAGGUGGUCUACCUCUCGUUGUUUUCUUUUGGAGAGGUUGAGAGCUGUACCAGUGUAAUAGAGACCACCCAUUUUGUGUACUUUUGAGAUGGUUAUUGUAUAACUUUAUGAUUCCUCUUUAUUAUUUAGUUUGUUCCAACUUCUCUUAUCAUAGAUUAUAGAUGUGUACUUGCUCUGAUAUCUCUAGUUGUAAAUCAUCUCUUGCUUUAUUUCCGCUGUUAUUGUAGACGCCUUAUAUGUGUAGACAUAUGGCGGGUCUGGGCGCGCUACCGGGAGGGCCUCUGCCGGUCUCGGGGCGUGACAUGAGGGCAGCUAAAGCUCGUUCCCUCUCCACAUCCAUCGCUGUAUAACCAGGGACCGGAUUGCCCGACCCCAACAGAAUGGUCUCCGCCGCGACUCCCGACUUGACACGACGGGCCACAGCUGUUGCGGUUACCAAUUGCUCCACAGUUUCUUGGAGUCUCCUGACCCGCUCCUCCUGGUGCACGGCAGCCUCCUGCUGACGCUGCACUACGCCCACUAGUACUCCCAACUGUUCAUGGAGCUCCAAGUCUCCACUCGCUUCGGAUUGCUCAAGAACAUCACUUGUCCCAUCCCGCGCCGAUCUAGCUGAAGAUCGCCUACGCAGUGCCAUCGUUUCCUGAAACACGACAACUCAUUCAAUUCUCGACCCUUUCAGGUUAAGCACGAAACAAUUUACAUCGACCCAAACUCAAAUCAGGCAAAAGUCAUGUAACGGAGCCUAUUCUCAUCUCUCGGCUUCAUGUUGUCGCGCACCAACAUGAACACACUCAGCUGAGAAUAAACCAUACCAUGAGUCUACCUCUAACAUCCUUUUUAGAGGCGUUCACACUUGACCCAAUCAAUCCAUCUUUCGCCACAAGUCACAAGUUCUCGUCUCUCACGAGCCUAAGCCCUUAUGGUUUACUAUUGUAACGUAUCAAAUCCCCAACGAGUUAUACCGAACUUCCGUCAAAUUGACCGAAAUGUAGUGGUGGACGUGUUAGAAUGGUCCGUUAGCCAUUCCGAAUGUUUCGGAGUGUAUAAAAUGGGUGUUUGGACAUGGGAGAGCAAGCUGAAAAAUUUUCAGCUCGUAUUAUACUAAAAAUGCUCUCAGGGUCCGGACCCUAAGUGCAAGGUUCGGACCCCGAACACGAAAAUUGCCAGGGAUGGUUGGCCCUGUUGUAUGAGGGGACUAAGUGCUAUUGUGCGUGUGUGUGUGUGUGUUUUUUAGUAGAGACUUGGUGGUUUAGCUCUCAGUCCCUCACACCAACACCAAAGAGAAGUUUCUCUUUCUCUCUCUAAAAGUCUUCACUCUCUUUCCCUUUCUCUCCUUCUCUCACUAGGGUUUGCCCAAGAGAAGGGUUUGGUGGAGAAGAAGCUUGCUUAGGGUUGAAGCUAGCUUGAGCAAGAGGGUUUUGAAGAAAGUUGGAACUCAAGGUGAGUUUUGGUGGCUUUAAGCUAGGUUUUGGUGAUAUUCUCUUCUAGUUGUUGUAUCUAGAGGUUGUAAUGGUGGAUUGGUUCAUGAAUAUUCAUGAUUUGUGGGUAUUUGGUGAUAAUGGAAACCCUAGAGUAGAAAUUAGGGUUUCUCAAACUACGAGAUCUAACUAGGUUUUGAUCUGUUGUAGCCCAAAUUGGUGGGUAAUCUGACGCAUUGGGAGACUCAGAUUGGAAUUCCGAUGAGUCUACGUGAAGAUAGUGGAGAAAAACCUCUUUUUGGCUUCAUUGGCCAACGGUCGCGGGAAAUCGGCGACCAUAAAUCGCAAGACGUGAAUUGUAGGCUUACGGCAUCCCUACGAGGUGGGUAGUGCUAUCCGAAAUCAUCGAAUUUCUCAUUAUGUCUAUGUCGCCUUUUUGUGCAUAUAUGUGUUUUGUGAUAUUCAUGCAUUUAGGGUUAUGUGACAUGUAGUUAUGGAUGGGAAUCUCUUGUAUGCUUUUAGGUAAGUGAACAUAUGAUUUGAUAUUGGACCAUACAUAUAGAACCCUAAAAAUAUGUGAAUGAAUGUGGACUCUGACAUUAGUAAACAAAGGUGACAAUGGCAUUAGCGGACAUGAUUGGCACCAAGGAUAUGAUAUGCUAGAUAAGGUAAAACCUUAAGAGCAUUGUGGUAAGUGGCAAGAAUGGCAUGAAUGGUUAUACAUUCUCAAAAUUGAGGAUUGAAUCAUACUCACAUUGGGUCUUGGCUUGAGGGCGGUAGCUUCCCCUCAAGCGGUGUGCUCCGGAGUUGUCACCACUGGGUGUAGCGGUAUUCGCCCCAGCAGACGGUCCGAUCGGGUGUAGCGGUAUUCCCCCCGAAAGAAAGGAAUUUUGGUUGUGAGUUUUGGGGUUAACCAUGAGUAAACUGAGACGAUUGGGUAAAAGCCAAGGUAAUUGUGAAAGACAUGCAUGCAUCAUUAUGAGCAUAUUACUCUUGAUUCAGUUUUCUUUGCAGGCAUUGUAGUAGCAUUAGUAUGGUUUGCUAUCUAUCUCUUCUUUUCUUACAUAUGCUUGAGUAGACCUAGUGGUGAGUCGGCGGGGUCGGAGGCCGAACCCAUUGAAAACUUUCUUUAGUUCUCACACCACUAACCUUGCAGAUCCUAGCGCGAGCGGGGCGGUCGAGGAUCGUAGCAAGGGCAUCGCGCCCUCGAUAGCGGCUAUCCGAGUAUAGUCAUAUCAUGUAUAUUCAUCUUUUGUAUAUGAUGAACCAUGAUGUAUAAAUAUUGUAAAUUCAUAUGUUUUGGUUGAGGAUCAUGUGUUGUAUAUUAAAAGAAAAGAAUGUAAUAUGUGGAUGACUUUUAUUUGGUUAAAUGUAACCAAAUGACAUAUAUGGUUGUAUGAAGUAGCAUUAGUGCUUUUACUUACUUGUUGUUGCUUGCCCUCAUGUAAGCCAUGUAUAACUUGCAUUAUCUUCGUAUGAAUUGCUAUACAUGUUCGGUGGAGCCUUGGGCGAACACGGUAGGUUCUGUCCGUUCGACGUCUGUGGACGUACCCGAACAAACCAAAUUGACGGUAGCGGGGCGUGACAACUAUCCUAGAGUCUCCUAGGUCCAUCUAAACCAUUUUUACGCUUUGAUACCAUUUUAUCUGUCACGCCCCAAAGGCCCGCUACUUUGGUCAGAUUCGGGCACGCCGACAGACCGCCGAACAGACAGAGCCUCCCCUGUAUGUCCUAGGAGUCACAAUCCAUACAAUUCGCGAGGUUCCAACCAGGAACAGAAUUCAUGCAUGAUUGCAUAAGGAAGGUAUCAAUAACAUAAAACAACUACUAUGCUAUUACAAGCAUUCACAUUACAUGUAUUUUACAUAUUACAUUUUUUCGUUUAGCUUCCAAAUACAAUCCAUUUAUUAUUACAAGUUCUUUCCACACCCUAAGUUAAACUGACUCGGGGUACUUCUAUCUUUGGUCUCAAGUGGUAGGGCGCUAUUUACUGAGCUACGCCAUUUCCUCACGCCGCUCACAUGUGGACCUGAAAAAUAUGGGAUGAGAACUAUAAAAAUAGUUCCCAGUCCGUACGACACGACCCACCAGGUCUAAAGGAGGCAACAAAGCAAGUUAGUCCAGUUUGGUCGGUUCGGGUACGCCAACAGACGCCGAAUGGAUAGCACCUCCCCUGUCCGCUCAAGGCUCCAUCAACAUGUAUAACAAUAGCGAUUCAAACAAAGAGAAUGCGAGUAUACAUGGCUUGCACAAGGGCAAGCAACAACCACCAAACAAGUGAAAGCUCUAAAGCUACUUCAUAUAACCAUACAACCAUACAUGUCAUUUGAUUACAUUUAAACCAAAUACAAGUUAACCACUUAUUUUACAUUCAUUUCCUUUCACUCAUAUACAUCAUUUAAUACAUCCACCCAAAACAUAUGGAUUACAUCAUUUAUACAUCAAUGUUCAGCAUAACAAAAGUUGAACCUAUACAUGGUAUGACUAUACUUUGGUAGCCGCUAUCUACGGCGCAAUAUCCUUGCCUAGAUCCUCAACCGCCCCGCUCGCGCUAGGAUCUGCAGGGUUAGUGGUGUGAGAAUUAAAAGAAGUUCCCAGUGGGUUCGACCGCCGACCCCUCCGACUCGCCCAUUAGAUCUAUUCAGGUAUAUGUAAGAAAAAGAUAGAUAGAUAGCAAACCAAACUAAUGCUAUUACAAUGCCUGCAAGAAAACUGGGUCAACAAGUAUAUGAUCACAAGUAUAAUAAUUGUAACAUACCGAAACGUCAGUGGAAAAAAAAAAUAUUAGACUUUAGCCAAAUUGGUCGGAGUGCUCGAAAGAAACAGUUGGACAAGUUCUAUUUUACAUUCCAAUAAGGUUGGAAGGGUUAAAAGUGAGUUUAGAAGGAGUUGGAAAGGUUUUAGCGUGGAGAUAUGGAUUGAUCCAUGGAAACACUCUUUGAGGAUUUGUACACGGUGAAGUGGGACAAGGUAAACCUAGCCCGUGCACUACUUGAAACAGUCGACGAAGGUGUGGUGGAAGGGCGUUAAGCGAGAUCGAUCGCCUAGUCUCCCUCCUAUAGCUUGGGAAGAGUUUCGGAGAAUGCUAUUCUCUGCUUAUUUCCCCGACAGCGAGAAAAUGAAGCUUCAGGAAAGGUUCUGGAAGCUCCGGCAAGAAGAGCGCUCGGUCAGGCAAUACGAGCGGGAAUUCUCCCGUAUUGUGCAUUGUAUUCCGAAUAUGAUAAAAGAUGACAAGGAUAAGGCCGACUGCUUUGUGAGUGGACUUUGGCCAGACCUUUAUAAGGCUGAGCUCAUACUUAAGUCACAGACUUUUGCUGAAGUCCUGGAUCGGGCCCUGUGUAUAGAACAAGGCAACGCAUUUAUACAGGAGGAGCGCAAGUCUUAUUACAAGAAAAAAAGAAAAAGGAUGACCAACGAGUGGAUCCAGUGGUCAGUCAAGUUCCCAGCGGACUUCGGUGAGUUCACGCUCACGAUCCCGAGCUCCCGAGGCCCUCCUCAGUGCACUUUAUACAUUUCUGACGCCUUCGGCCAUUCCGAAGCGUUCCAAACUCAUCUUCGAUCAAUUUUGAUCGAAGUUCGGAUUACGUUUCGAGUUUUCAUUUCCUUACAUCUAGCAUACUACUAUGCCUUGCCAAUAUGAUACAAUAAAUGGGUAUAAUAAAUAUAUACUAGCAACUACUAUGCUCAUGAUGUAUGCCAUUCAUAAUUCAUAACCCAAUCAUGCCGGCAAACCCGAAGGUUGAGCCCGACUCACAACCGAAUCCUGCAAAUGAGUACCGUGCUACCCAUUGGGGACCGUCUGCGGGGUAGCUACGUUAACCUCUACCAUGAGUACUCCGGAAACCACUGCUUGGGUGGAGCGACCACCGCCAAGCUGACAACCAAGCUGACAGACGUACUGUGAGUAUAAUCCAAUCCUCUAUCCCAAGGAUACCCUACCAACUAGUGGUAACCAUGCCAGGGAAGAUACCAAUCCCUAUCUUCAUGUCAUGAGUGUUCUCAAUUUACUAUCCAAAUACCACCUUUUUAUGUCACAAUGUUUCUAAGUUCUCAUUAUCAUAGCACUAUAGAGUUCUUGUUCCCAACCCAAUCCUCAUGCACAUAAUCCACUAUGUUCCAUCUCAUAUUUCUACAAGUACCAUGAGAGCAUGCAAGGAAUGGAAGAACCAACACAACAACUCUACAAUGCAUGAUUUCUAUACAUAUAUAAACAUGGUCAAUAUGAUAACACAGACAUAAAAAGAAAUCCGAUUGUUUCAGAUAGCACCCCCCACCUCUUGAUGAUGCCGAGGUGCGAGAACCCAAGCCUCACGAUUUAUGGUCAUCGCUUCGGCUCGACCCAACGCAAACGAACCGAAAACCCUACUUUUCCUCAACGACUCGCCACACGCCCGUAAGAACUCCGAUUUGAGUUGCCCACUGUGUUGGUUUUACCUUCAAUUGGGUUUACACAGGCUCAAUUUAGAUCAAAACCUAUUAUGAUCAAAAGCCCUCCCUAGAAACCCUAAAAAACCCUCAUAUAGCAUAAAGCUCAAAUCUCAUGGUGAUUCAUACAACAAUUAUCACCUAGGGUUUCCACUAAUCUCCUUUCUAAGGAAUCACACCAAAACCCUAACUCAAAACCCUCAAAACUCAUGAGGCUUACCUCAAGCUCAACUCCUUCUCAUGCCAAUGAUGAAGAAGAUGGUAGCUUCACCUCCAAGCAAGGUCUCCUCCACCAACUCCACAUCUUGGAGCAAAACCUUAGGAGAGAGAGAGGGACAGAGAGAGAAAGAGAAGCUUUUCUCUUAUGUUGGUGAAGUGAGGGAAAAUGAGAGGGAUGGGUUAGAGACCCAUCUAUAUACACUCCCACUUGCCACAAUUGCACCUAGCCACACACACAAUACACUCCCAACUCAACCUGAGCCUUUUCGUGUACGAGGUCUGGACCCUAUAGCUAGGGUCUGGACCCCGAGAGUAUUUCCAGCAUAAAAUUUUCUAAAAACUCUCCAGCUUGCUCUCCAGGGUCUCUUACACCCUUAUAAGUCACUCCUAACCUUUGGAACGCUCAACGGGCCUUUCCGAAGCGCCCAACACCACACUUUAGUCAAUUUCGACUAAAGUUCGGUUUACGCGUCGAGGACUCAGUACAUUACAUGAUCAUUGUCAAACAAUGAUCAUGAAUAGACUGCCCUUCGUGUAUCUUGGCUUUGAAAAGUCUUUUGGACACUUUAAAGCGAGCAGAUCGGCUUUACUCACCAUACAGCUCCUUGAGAUCAGUUAGCAUUUCUAAGCUAUCUUCAUAUCCUCAUGUUGGCGUUGAAGUUCAUUUGACAUUGAUGCCAAAAUGUAAUACCUUACUUUGUUAUCGUCAUCCAUCCAUUUUUUCUGAGUCGCUCUUUGGUCAGGUAUAGGACGGUUUGGUAACAUGGGGGAGGUCCUGGUUGCAAACAUAACUGAGCUUUUCGGAACUCAAAACUAUUUUUAAGUUCCUUAGCCAAUUUUUAUAAUUAGUUCCAAUUAAACAAUUUGUUUCAAGAAUACGAGAGAGAGAUUGGAAAUGGACAUUUUAUUCUACAGAGACUAAAGAUUCAAAUUAUAUAUUUGUAUUUGUUUUGAAAAUUUUGUUUUAGGAAUUUUAAAAACAAAUUUAGCUUCCCACUAUUUUCUUGAGUCUCUUAUACUCCUCGGGUAGAGAAACGAAAACCCAACGCUACAAAAGGCUUCAAGUGGGUAUUGUGGUCUCACCAGUUUAACAUACCACCUCACCUAACAGUUAUUGGUGAUAUGCAAACUGAUGAGUGGACAACCCUUGUCCAAUGCUUCUCAAGCAAAUUGCAGCGAUCGAUCUCUAAGUCCUGUAGGCCUCACUUGACAGUUAUUAGCCCCAUUCCUUAGUUAAGUCAGACCUAUCAUUCAAAUGCGUAAGUAAAGCCAUCAUUGGGUCCCUCACCUGACAGUUAUUGGGCCCAACCCUAUCUUUACUCUGCAGCAUCUCAUGCUAAUAGACUGGUUAUGCCUUCCUGAUGCAACUGACCAUUGUAACCAGCCGUGCCAAUCAACACCAGAAAAAUGCCCGCACUUCUACAACAGCGGAAGACCGCUCGACUUAAAAUUUAUGAGGAGAUUAAAAUUUAGGUCUCAAAAUUUAUUUUAUUUAUUUACAUCUAAUGCAAAUAAAAUAAUCCGCGCAUCAAUCAUAAUUUAACUGAUGAUGAUCAUGGAUUUAAAAAGUGGAUUCGGUCUCGAGCCACUGAGCCGGAAUCGGGGUCUUGGGGUCAUAAAUUACAAAUACACACACGUCAUUGGUUUGAUCGUCUUCAACUACUUGAUCCGAUCCGGAGCUACAACUUGAUCCGAUCCUAUCAACAUCUUGAGCUGACCACCAUCAACUGCUCAUCUCGAUCUAGCUUUUGCGUACUUCUCGGCUUGCAACCGAUCAACCAAUGACGUGCAACUGGAAACUCGAAACCGGUAUGCAAUAGGAAACCUGAGAAUCUAACGUUGGGAUUUUGAGGAACUGGAUUCUGAGUACCUGUCACGCCUCGGGACCCAGCGGAAGCCCACCCGGCACGUGCCCGACCCGCCAUACGUCUAAAACAUAUAAGACAUCUGAAAAUAACGAUAAUAAAAGCAAUAAUAAUAGAUAUCUAAGAGUAUCAGAGCAUGAUUAAAGUCUAAAUUCUACAUCAAGGUAAGAAGAGUAAAGCUGAAAUUCACUAAUAAAAGCAUAAAGUAGUACAAAGAAAAUUCCAAAUACAAGUGCUAAAAGUAGAUACAUAGGUGGUCUCUACACAUGGAUACAAAAUCUCUCACUCUCUCGACUAGUGAAAGAAAGAGUAAACCACCUAGGCAAAAAAUCGCUCCUCGCUAGCUAGCUAUGCGAUCCUCUUGCCACGAUCCCGUGCCUCCGCUGGUGCAGAAGGCUCUGAAAGAAAACCAGAAAACAGGGGCGUGAGAACUAUUAAAAAUAGUUCCCAGUGGGCAAUUACUGACUUCAGUGAACUGCGCCACAAGGCCCAAAAGCUACAAAAAGAGGUCAGUGACUAACAGUGUAGUAAAGCGAAAGGUAAGUAAAUUGUAACUUACUAUAACAUAAAGUCUCUACUUAGCAUGAUUUGCAUAAGUAAUAAAGCAACUAUAUCAUGAAUGUACAUGGAUGUGUAUGACAUGCAUAAGCAUAGAAAUGCAACCACUCCGAUGUCCUCAAUGCAAAAAUAGUAAAGAUGUCAUUGUUUACUAUUCUAGUCCAAGUCCACUUUAAUAGUUUUAAAGUUCACAUAGCAUGUUCUGUCACUAAGUCCCAAUCAUGUAAGACCCACCCGAAGGCUGUCUGGCCUGCGCCGUGUCUAGUGGCCCCAUGGUAGUCAACAUCCCCACUUUAGGAAUGAGCCUCCCCCACGGCAAUCCAUUUCGGCGCCCAAUCCCAAACGGGCGAGCAUAUGUCGCGAUGGCUAUCUCCGGAGUGCUGGCUUGUAGGGAGCGACCCUCACAAGCAUGUGCGAAUGAGCACAAUAGCAAGCAAGCAAUGAUCUGUCUCAAGUACCAAGUCCUCAUGUCUAAAAACAUGGAAUAUAUCAAGUAUCUCAAUGGCCUAUCCCUAUGUCGUCAUGUCUCUAAUAUAGAAUAUAGCAGAUAUUCAAUGGCCUAUCACUAUGUCUCUAUGUUACAGUUUCAUAGUUUUCUAGUUUCAAGUACCCCUUGAUGACACUUUGUUCUUUAUGUCAAAGCAUGAUAGAUAUGUUCCCAAGUACAUAUUCCUAACCAUUAUUCUCAAAGGAGGCAUGUUCUCAACUUGCAAAAAUAAGCAAUUUUUCGUAUGCAUGCAUUCUACUCAUGUAGCUCUACUAUGUAGUAAAAUUUUUAUAACACACAAGGCAUGCAUUUUAAGUGUUCUAAAAUUCAUAUAAAUUUUAUUUAGCAUAGAAAUGCAUGUAAAACUAUUUUACAACAAGUGUAAAGAGAAUAGGGGCCAUUUUGCCCCAUUUCCACGAAGCCAAACCCACCAAUUUUCGAACUCUUCGUUCGCCGAACGAAGGUGUCCACUAGCCUCCUAGUACCCUAAGGAUGUAGGAACAAGUGUUACCCAAACGAAACGAGCAACGGAUUGCUCAAACAAUAAUCAUUUCGGGUUAGGGUUGAAGAAAACUCACCGAUUGCGAAGGAAGCUCUCUCGAUCUCCAAAUGGGAGUUAGAGUCCUUCCAAUCUAACCUAAACAAAGGUUCUAAACCUAUCAAAUAGGUUUCAAAGCCCUCAAAUCAAAAAUCUCCAUUUUUGACCCUAAUAUGCCAAAUCUAGGAUUUCAUCAAGCAUAAUCCAACAAAACAUGUACCAAAAGGGAAAUACAUGUUACUAACCUCUCUAGAAGCUCCAAACCAAGCUCCAAGUGCUCUAGGGUUGGAGUUCCUUCCUCUAUCAAGCUCCUAGUCCAAGCUCCAAUGGUGGAAAAGCCUCCAAUCAAGCAAAAGGAACAAAAGAGAGGUUUAAUCCACCAAAACCUAAGCUAAAAGAGGAUCAAAACCAAAUGGAGUGGUGGAGAGGGCAACCCUACCUCUUCCUCUGCUGUUCCAAGCUCAAGGAGAGGUCCAAGGGGCGUGGGUGCUAUAUAGAGUAGCCACAAUUGUAAAACACCCCUGCAGUUCGAACUGCAAGAAAAAUGCCCCCUUGUACCGGUACACGGGCUCUUGUACCGGUACAAGCCCCACGAAAAUCACAACCCGAGGCUCGGGUUGGCUGGUUCAGCCGCUCUGUACCGGUACAACCAUCAAUCCUGUACCGGUACAGCCAUCAAGCCUGUACCGGUACACAGCCCUCUAAGGGCUACCCGAGAGCUAACCAAAAUUCGACUUUUUGAAUUUUGGUGCAAGGUUUUAAUCCACAAUUCUCGGGACUCAAACCAUGGGUCGGAACACUGUCAACGACCUCCCAUAAAAUGUGGAAAAUCUCGGAACACAAACCAAACACUCGACCUCGCUAUUUGCAAAGGUCCAGUGUGUUACAGUACCGGAACUGGAUGCCCAAGUACUGGUACACGAACCCGGGUACUGGUACGCACUGUUGCAGAAUAUAGUUUUUGAACGAUAAAUUGGUAAUUUCUGUGCGGGGUCUAUAUAAGGGGAGCCCUCUCCCCUUUUCUCUGUUGGCCCACACCCCGCACGCACAAGGAGAGAGGGAAAGAGAGAAGCUUCUCUCUCUCACUUAUUCUUCAUCUUCUUCUUCUCCCAACCCAAGGAGCUUGAAGGAUCAAGUUUGGAGGGAGGAUUUGGAGCUAGAGGGCCAUCUUCUUGAGGAAGAAGAAGAGGAAAGCUUCGGGGCAAAGGUGAGUUUUGGGAUUUGAGGUUAGGGCUUUGAGUUUAAUUCUUGAUUUUAAGAUUUUGGUAAAUUUUAGAUAAAUCUAGACUAUAAAUAGUAGAAUAUACCAUGAGAUUUUGGAUUUUCUCUAGUUUGGAGCAACCCUAGGUUGAAAGAGGGAUUUCCUUAUGGAGGGUCGGAGAGGUCGGCGCGGAGGACGCAGAGCAUGGAGACGAGCGCCGCAACGCCACCGGCUCGCCAUGCACUUGGCGUACUUGAGCGCGGAUUUGAGGGAGGAUACGGAGGCAAGCCUUGCUUCCGCCGUGGCAAGGAAGCGGAGCGCCUUCGCCGCCGCGAGGUCUCGAUCAGCCGGACUCCGCCGCCUCCCCCGGCGACUGCGUCGCCUCUACCGGCGGCGGAGGAGGGGGAUUGGAGUUGCUGCGCAUGGAGGAGGAGGAGGAGGGUUUUGUGGAGUUAUAUUUGUAAAUAAAUAAAUAAUAAAUAAUAAAUAAUAAUAAAGUGUAGAUUGGUAGGUGUUAAAAUCGGAACGACGAAAAAUAGAUCCAGAAAAUAAUUUAAUGCAAGAAAAGAAAAGAUAAGUGGAAAGAACACACCGAUAUUUACGUGGUUCGGCCAACGGCCUACGUCCACGGGCGAAGACGGAGCAAAUACUUUAUUAAUGUCGAAAAGACGGAGUACAAGAAAAUCUCUCAAAAGACCUCAAGAUCAAAAUAAAUAUAAUCGACGCGCUACCGCAUAUAGUGCCUCCUCUAAAGCACGUCCAUAAAAUAGAUCUCGGCUCGGCUCGGCUCACCACACGCAAUAUACGGCACUUUGGUUGACUUAAUUAAUUAGGGCACCCUGGAGUUCUUUCAGCCGAGCAACAGUAACUUGGCUAAUUAAUUAAUGCAUGGCUUCACCAAAAUUAGCCCCGUACGGACCACCCAGCAACAUAGAUUUAAUUGAUGGAUGGCUUCUUAAUUUCGUCGCGGCGGCUUCUUGAUCGUCCGGAACCAACAUGCAUUGCUUGGCUUAAUUAGAACGUGGCAUCUUAAUUUGGUCGCGGCGUCAUUAACUUGGCCGUAGCAUGUAUAUAUAAUACAUGUCUCCUAAUUAGAGUCUAAUUCUAAUUAGAUUAGAAUUACACUCCUAAUUAUAAUCCAUAUAUGCCAAAUUAAAUCUAAAUAAUAUCUAAUCCCAAGUAGAUUAGGAUUUAUCCUCAAUUUAGAUAACUACAAAUCUAAACCAAAUAUAACAAUCUCCACCUUGGUUUAGUUUGUAGUUUAGCCGCUGUGUUGAGAUCGCCAUAAAACUCCACCUUGAAUUUAAUUCGCCUUAAUGCUCCUUAACGCUCCGUGUUCCGUCUUCUCCAAACGCCCCAUAGGGCCUCAAAUGCUGCUAACUGCCACCAAGUCCAAACAAUGUUUGAACUUGGCAAUAAUAAGGGACUUUGUAAGCAUAUUCGCCGGAUUGUCUUCAGUACUAAUUUUCUUAACAGUCACUGUGUGCUUCCUAAUCACAUCCCGAACAAAGUGAAACUUUACAUCGAUGUGCUUUGUCCUCUCAUGAAACAUUUGAUCUUUAGAUAAAUGAAUAGCACUUUGACUGUCCGAAUAAACAACCGUCGGAUCCCAAUAAGAAGUAAGCUCUCCAAAUAAGCCUCUUAGCCACAUAGCUUCCUUCACACCCUCUGUCAUAGCAAUAUAUUCCGCCAAUAGAGAAUACAUAACCUGAAAGUGAUCUCCUCCUAUCCAAAUCACCUGCAAAAUCCGAAUCAACAUAUCCAACCACACCAUCCUUACACCUCCCAAACUCUAAACAAGUGUUAGUGGUACCUCGUAAGUAUCUCAAAAUCCACUUAACAGCCUGCCAAUGAGCCUUACCAGGAUUGGUCAUAUAUCUGCUAACUAUGCUCACUACGUAGGAGAUAUCCGGCCGUGUGCAAACCAUGGCGUACAUGAUGCUCCCGACAGCACUAGAAUAGGGAACAUGUGACAUGUACUCCCGCUCAUCAUUGAACUGCGGUGAUAACUCGGCGGAAAGUUUGAAAUGCGCCGCAAAAGGAGUGCUCACUGGUUUUGCGUCUGUCAUCUCGAAACGCUUUAAAAUCUUCUCUAUAUAUUUCUCUUGUGUCAAAUGCAGUAGUCCUGACUUGUUGUCCCUCUUAAUUUCCAUACCAAGGAUUUUCUUAGCAGCACCUAGAUCUUUCAUCUCAAACUCACCCUUAAGUAAAGUCUUCAAUUUAUUUAUCUCAACUAUGUCGCUGGAAGCAAUUAACAUAUCAUCGACAUAGAGCAACAAAUAUAUGAAAGAUCUCUUAUCAAGCUUUCUGAAAUACACGCAACUGUCACGCUUGCUUCUGGAAUAUCCGUAACCUGUCAUGAAGGAGUCGAACCGCUUAUACCAUUGUCGAGGAGACUGCUUUAAGCCAUAAAAUGAUUUCUUUAACAGGCAAACAUGGUCCUCCUUCCCUUCAACAAUGAAUCCCUCCGGCUGUUUCAUAUAAAUUUGCUCCUCAAGUUCUCCAUGCAGAAAAGCUGUCUUAACAUCAAGCUGCUCAAGAUACAGGUCAUUCAUAGUUACCAAUGAUAAAAGAACACGAAUAGAAGUAUGCUUUACGACGGGUGAGAAAAUAUCAUUAAAGUACACACCUUCUACCUGACUGUAGCCCUUAGCAACUAAACGAGCUUUAUACCUUGUAUCUUCCACGCCGGGGAUUCCGUCCUUUUUCUUGAAGACCUACUUACAGCCGACAAUUUUCUUGCCUGUAGGCGGUUUUACCAACUCCCAUGUGCGAUUCUUAUGAAGAGACUCCAUCUCCUCAUUCAUCGCCACAAACCACUCUGCAGAACUGGCACCGGAAAUAGCUUGAUUAUAUGUCGAAGGUUCACCUUCUUCUUCUAUAUCUUGUGCCACUGAAAGAGCGUAAGCAACCAUAUCUUCAUAACCGUAUCUCUGCGGUGGUUUAAUCUGUCUCCUCGAUCUGCCUGUAGCAAUGCUCUGCCUCUCAACUUGUGGGGUUUUAAUUACUGAGGUGUCUGUCAACUGAAUUUGUUCUGAUUGAGAAGAAUUCUGCGACUGAACUAUACCAUCGGUCUCACCUCCACCUGCUUGCUAGCACUCGGGGUCUCAUCAGAAAAAUUACGGUUAGGAUAUAACAUAACAGAUUCAUCAAAUGUGACAUCCCUACUAAUAAUUAAUUUAGACGAUUCAAGACACCACAAUCUAUAUCCCUUAAUCCCCAAUGCAUAACCAAUAAAAAUGCACUUUUUAGCCCUAGGUUCUAACUUGCCUUCAUUAACAUGAACAUAAGCAGGACAACCAAAUAUUCGCAAAUUAGAAUAAUCAGAAGGGCUACCAGACCAUACCUCCUCCGGUGUUUUGCAAUCAAGUGCUGAAUGUGGAGAUCGAUUCACCAAAUAGCAUGCCGUAGAGAUCGCCUCUGCCCAGAAACUCUUAGCUAAGCCAGCAUUAGAAAGCAUACAACGGGCCCUCUCCAAAAGAGUUCUAUUCAUCUGUUCGGCCACCCCAUUUUGCUGUGGAGUAUGCCUAACGGUCUUAUGUCGAACGAUCCCUUCCUUCUUGCAGAAUUCUUCAAACUCUGACGAGCAGAAUUCCAAACCAUUGUCGGUCCUUAAUCUCUUAAUCUUCUUUUCAGUUUGUUUCUCAAUCAUAACCUUCCACUGCUUGCAAUAAUUAAACACCCCAUCCUUACUUUUCAGAAAGAACACCCACACUUUACGAGAAUAAUCGUCAAUAAAAGUCAACAUAUAUCUAGCACCACCAUGAGUAAGAGUACGAGAGGGUCUCCAAAGAUCAGAAUGGAUGUAGUCCAGAGUGCCUUUUGUUUGGUGAACUGCGGCCUUAAAGCUGACUCUCUUUUGUUUGCCAAGAACACAAUGCUCGCAGAAGUCCAACUUUUCUAAACUCUGACUACCAAGUAAACCUCUCUCGCCCAACUUCAUCAUGCCAUAUUCACUCAUAUGGCCCAGUCGCAUAUGCCAUAAUUUGGUGCUAUCCGAAUCUGACAUAGAAGAAGAAGUCACCGCUGCUGAACCUGUCACAGUGGAACCCUGUAGAACAUAUAACAUGUCGGACAAGUUGGCCUUCAUCACUACAAGAUUCCCUUUAACGACCUUCAUUAAUCCAUCAGCUGAAGAAUAUUUAAAGCCUUUAAUAUCAAGUGUACCAGAUGAGAUCAGAUUUUUUCUCAUAUUCGGAACAUGCCGAACCUCAGAUAUAGUCCUCACUACUCCAUCGAACAUUCGUACCCGAACAGUGCCAAUUCCAAUAACUGUGCACUUAGAGUGAUUUCCCAUCAAUACAUCUCCACCUUCAAUAGGCAUGUACGUCGAGAACCAUUCUCUGUGUGUACAGAUAUGAAAAGAACAUGCGGAGUCCAUAAGCCACUCAUCCUGUCUGCGUGUCUUAUCCGUAACUGUAAAGACGAUAUCAUUUUUAUCUGAUUCUCCUGCUGCAACACUUGCUUCUGCUUCAGUAUUGGCGUUUUUCUGACUUUAAUUUUUAUCACCGUUAUUCUUCCGCUGUUCUUUAUUUUUCAACUUGAAACAAUCAGCUUUUAUAUGACAUUUCUUCUUACAAUAACCACAAAUCAGAUUCCUGUGCUUUGACUUUGAUCUAGAUGUACCUCUAUUACUGGAACCCUUCUCCCGAGACCUGCCUCUAGCGACCAAAUCUUGUCCUGAAGCUCCACCUGUCUCGUUACCUAUCUGCAUGUCAAUUCUCUCUUUUGAAAGUAAAGAGAAUUUAACAUCAUCGAGACAUAGAGUAUCUCAUCCAAACAAGAAAGUCUCACGAAAAUUCUUAUAAGAGGGUAGUAGAGAACAUAAUACUAAAAGGGCUUCAUCUUCCUCCUCGAUUUUAACAUCUAUCGAGCGGAGAUCCAUAAUAAUAGAAUUAAAUUCAUCUAAAUGCGACUUAAUAGAGGUACCUUCCGCCAUGCGCAACAUGAAGAGACGUUGCUUCAAAUAUAACUUGUUGGUGAGAGACUUCGUCAUAUAGAGAGACUCCAAUUUAAGCCAAAGCCCUGCAGCGGUUUUUUCAUCCAAGACCUCGCGCAAUACCUUAUGGGAUAAACAUAAUUGUAUUACCGUAAGAGCUUUGUCAUCAAUCUCCUCCUUCUGCCCCGCCGUCAAUGAAUCGGGCAUCUUUUCUUUUCCCAACAGUGCCUUCUGCAAUCCUUGCUGCGUCAAUAUAACACGCAUCUUGACUUGCCAUAAUGCAAAACUGUUGGUCCUGUCAAAUUUCUGAAUCUCGAACUUCGUCGUCAUCUUAAUCCUCAAAGGGAAUAGAAAGGCUCUGAUACCAGUUUGUUAAAAUUGGAACGACGAAAAAUAGAUCCAGAAAAUAAUUUAAUGCAAGAAAAGAAAAGAUAAGCGGAAAGAACACACCGAUAUUUACGUGGUUCGGCCAACGGCCUACGUCCACCGGCGAAGACGGAGCAAAUACUUUAUUAAUGUCGAAAAGACGGAGUACAAGAAAAUCUCUCAAAAGACCUCAAGAUCAAAAUAAAUAUAAUCGACGCGCUACCGCAUAUAGUGCCUCCUCUAAAGCACGUCCAUAAAAUAGAUCUCGGCUCGGCUCGGCUCACCACACGCAAUAUACGGCACUUUGGUUGACUUAAUUAAUUAGAGCACCCUGGAGUUCUUUCAGCCGAGCAACAGUAACUUGGCUAAUUAAUUAAUGCAUGGCUUCACCAAAAUUAGCCCCGUACGGACCACCCAGCAACAUAGAUUUAAUUAAUGGAUGGCUUCUUAAUUUCGUCGCGGCGGCUUCUUGAUCGUCCGGAACCAACAUGCAUUGCUUGGCUUAAUUAGAACGUGGCAUCUUAAUUUGGUCGCGGCGUCAUUAACUUGGCCGUAGCAUGUAUAUAUAAUACAUGUCUCCUAAUUAGAGUAUAAUUCUAAUUAGAUUAGAAUCACACUCCUAAUUAUAAUCCAUAUAUGUCAAAUUAAAUCUAAAUAAUAUCUAAUCCCAAUUAGAUUAGGAUUUAUCCUCAAUUUAGAUAACUACAAAUCUAAACCAAAUAUAACAGUAGGGGUGCAGGGAGUGGGGGUUAAGGAUGUAAAUGGAUCCGGGUUGGUGGAGCUCUGGACCCGUUCGCCCAAAUAGAACGGUAAGUAAAAAAAAAAAAUAUAUAUAUAUAUAUAUAUAUAUAUAUAUAUAUAUUAAAUAAUACUCCGAUCCGUUAAGUAGAUAAAGCGAAAGACGGAGACAUCUUUUUUUCUCUGAUCCAUCCUAAUUCGCCAUAAAUUUUUUCUCAUUGCAAUCCGUCCCAACGAAUCGAUAAAUAAGAGUUAAAAAUAAUAUUAAAAUUUAUCCACUUCAAAUUCAUCUAUAAUAAGAUAAGAAAUGGUCUGGGAAGACCCCUCCUGCCCUGGAUCCGCCCCGUUUGGACCCCAGUGGAGGGGAGGAAGCAGAAACGUGUAGCUUUCGUCGUAAACACGUAUACGCAUGGAGUAUGAGUAUUUGCUCCCUGCACUGGGUGUACAAGUGCAUCCUAUGCACCGCAUCCAUUGUAUUUUACAAUGCUAAUUAUAUAUGUACUUUACACUCUAUACAAGUUUUUUCACUUUCUACCAUAGUAGUUAAUUCGCGAAUUAUUCGCGAAUUUUUGGAAAUCCGAAUUAAACGGCCAUUUUCAAAUUUUUGGAAAAAAUUCGGAAAAAAACGGAAUUUUUUGACGAAAAAUACGUGUUCGCGUAUUAUACGGCGGGCCGAAUUAUUCGGCCCAAAAAAAGGGACCAAGCCCGCAGCCUGCAACCCGCGCGCCUGCUAGCGCCGCACGCGCCUGCCCGGGCUCCCGCAUGGGCUCUUGGGCCGGUUGGCCCAAAACAGUAAAAUACAAAGAAAAAAAAUAAAAAUCUUUCCAAAUACCUCGCCUAGAUAAAAAAAAAAAAAAUCUUUUCGAAUUUUUACUUAAUUAGCUUAAUUUUGUAGCUAUUUAUUCUUAUAUUUUUAAAAGAUAUGAAUAUUUAUGCUAAUAGCAUAAAUCUUGAGAGAAAAAAAUUUAAUUUAAUAGCCGAAUUUUUUAUCCCGAAUUUUUAAUUAGUAAACGUAUAAUAUCCGUAUAAAUCACGUAUCCGAAUAAUUGAUAAAUCCAUUUUUUAGCCGUAUUUUUUAACGAAUUUAAAAAUUUGAAGACGAAUUUUAUCCGAAUUAUACCCGUACUGAAUUUUUGCCGAAUCCGAAUUAACUAACUAUGCUUUCUACACUGUAUUAUUAUUUUUUCAAAACCACCACUUAAUUAUUCUUUUUUUUUAAUUUCUAUACUAUAAGCAAUAAAAAUAUAUUUUAUAUAAAUUUUUUAAAAAAUACUGAUUAAAAUUGACAAAGCAAAUAUUCAACUCAUCUUUUGACAUAAAAGAUAAUAAUAUGUAUAAAAAUAAUUAAUUAUCUAAAUAAAAUUUGCAAUAAAUUUAUCAUGAAAAUUUAUUUUUCUAUAUUAUUUUUCUAAUAUUUUAAUCAGUGUCUUUUAAUAAAUUAUUAAUUUUUUUUAUAAAUUAAUAUAUUUAUUAACAGUAUGAUAGAGAUCGAUGACAAAAGUUAUUUUAGAGAUAUUUAUGAGAAAAAAUUAAACAGUAAAAAAUUUAAAAACUAAAAUAUAAUGUCAAGAUUAAUAAAAUAUAAUAAUAUAAUAAUAUUUUUUUUAAAAAAAUUAGUAUAAUACUAGUUACUAUAAUGUAACAAAUAGAAAUAAUACUAAAGUACUGUAUAUUAGAUUGUAAGUAUGUUAUUUUAUGAUUAAAGAAAAGACAAACUUCAAAAACCACUCCUGUAACUUCGCACUUUCUUAUUUUAGUGUCCUAUAGUUUAAAGUGUAUCAAUUUAGUACUCUACGGUUUUAUUUUUCUCUUUUCGUCAGUCCCUCUGUUAACUUUUCGUUAAAUCAUAUACAAAAAACUUCAGAUACCACAUCUGUAGUUUAUCGAAUAUUUACUUUAGUACCCUUUAAUUUUAACUUUAUCACCGAUUUAAUGAAAAAAUUACUAAAGGGGAUAACAAAAAGAAAAAAAAAUCAUAGAGUAUAAAAAUAAUAUAUUUUAAAUAACAGAAUAUUAAAGUAAAAAAUAUUUGAAGGUUUUUCUUAAGAAAUGGUUUGAGAAAAUACUGUAAUUAAUUCUAAAGAUUAAGGAUCUAAUUGUAAAAAAAAAAGAGAGUUGGGAAACAAAAUGAAAAAUCGUGGGGCAUCAACGACGAAUCGUGUUUCGCCAUUCAACCCCACAAAACCCACACUUUUGCUUCUCCAGCGUAAAAUUACCAUUUUGCCCUCAUCGUCCUCCUCUCCCCUCCGCCGCGAAUUCGCCCAAAUCCACCUCUUCGAUCGGAUCUCCUCGCCCUCGCCUCCGAUCUCCGCCGCCUCCACCGCCUCCACCGCGGAUCUACGUCUCCAAUCGGUACGCGUCGAUCUCCCUCUCUCCCGACCUCGAUUCCGAUCGGUUUUGGUGUCGAAGAUGCCAUGAUCACGAUUUCGAGGGUUUUCGUGAGAUUUAGGGUUUCGAGUUGAGAUCCCAAGGCGAGGCUAUCAGUUUUGGGCGUAAUUUGGGUUUUACUUACUGUGGAGUAUGGAGUGAUCGCUUAGGGUUCCUGAAACGACCACACCGCGGGGUGAAUCAUGGGAAGCGGCGAAGCUGAUGCUCUGCCCAAGGCGCCGAAGGUAUCGGCGGCGCAGGUGGUCGAUCUGAUCCUUUUGAUUCAGCUUAAGCGUGAUUGAGCUGUUGAUCUCCUCAUUAGAGUAGUAAAAGGAGAAAUUGUUUAUGCAAAUUUUGGUUGUUCUUGUUCAGGAACAGCUGCUGCCGACUACUUCGGCACCGGCCACGCCAGUGUACCCUGAUUGGUCCGGAUUUCAGGUGGGUAAGCUUUGUCUUUAGCUGGUGAAGUGUGUAGUUCUUGAAUUUCCUCUUCUCAACUUGUAUAGGGUGAUUACAUAUUUAAGUGAGGUUAUGACCUUUCUAGCUUUUUGCUUUCGAUAGGCGUAUUCGCCGAUUCCUCCGCCUGGGUUCUUUCACGCAUCAAGUCCCCAGGCGCAUCCUUACAUGUGGGGAGCUCAGGUACUGUUUAAUUUUUCGAUUUCUGUCUUGAAUUGUUAUGUAAUUUGGAUUUUUCUGGUAUGUCAACUUAAGUCUGGGUAAGGCCAGGUGUAUUCUAGGGCGAGUGGCCUUUCCGCCGAUUUUGAGUACAUGGUCCGUUGGGCUUCUUUACUUCGCAUGUCUAUUUGAGAAGUAGAAGCCAGACAUUUGGCAGAGCUUUUGGGUCCUGUGGAAGACCCAAAUAAGCUUAGUGGACCAAAAGGCAGAAGCUUCGAUUUAAAGUUUUCUAAAUUUAGCUGCAUUAGGAUGUUUGGAGUACUUCAGUGAAAAAGAUAGUACUUGUCCGAGCGACUUUACUCAACUGACACUUUUUUUGAUAAAAAGAAGUUGGGCCAAACAAGCACCAACUUGUCAUAGAGACUAAAUCUUAAUAGUUAGGCAUACAAUAAUUGUCUCCUAAAUUAGAUUAAUUAAUAACAUUGUACAAGGGGGGCAUUUUCUUGUAACUUUAUUUUGGUGGGAUGUGAUCGCACUAUAAUAGUAGAUGUCUUGGCGGCUUGUUUUCACUUUACUACCCCUUUGUUGGGACUUGCAAAGUGAAGAGUUCUUUUUUUGUUUGUUUGUUUUUCGAUUCUUAGAAUUUUAAUGCGAUAGCGCACUUGAAGGUUAGAUGACGGUAUGAAAUUGUCAAAUUAGAAAUAAAAGUUUCAAACUUUUUUUGUUUUUUUAAACUAGAGCUAGUUAAUAUUGUGAUGAAAUCUGAAAGAAGGAAAUGGAACUUAAUGUCUCUUACUACCUGAUACAUGUGUUAUUUAUGUGGUUGCAACCCUUUGCUAUAUACUAGACUGUCUUUCCCUCUUAAGCAUUCGGAUUAAACUAGGUGUUCGAGUAUGGGAAUAUAGGGAUGAACACUAAGUCAAUAGGUCAUUAGCAGAGGGUGUGGACCACCUGAAAUUCUCCAUUAGUUCUUUUAUUGCAGAUGUUAUAUUUUCCUUUUUAUGUUUCAGCCCAUUAUGCCUUAUGGGACUCCGCCAACACCAUAUGUCAUGUAUCCACCAGGAGGGUUAUAUGCUCAUGCUUCCAUGCCUCCGGUAUAUUCUUUUUGCAAAGGCUGAAACAGGCAGAUCUUACUUUACCGUUAUUGCAUUUUAAAAUGGGUGGCUGAACUUUAAAAUUUUGAUUUGUCUUCCAGUCUUCCUAAACUAUCGAUUAUUUUUAUUUAAGUAUCUCUUUCCCAAAAUAUACUGAUUCUUUUGUUUGAUGGAAUAUUCUGUUAUCUGAUAAAAUAUUUGACAACUUUUUGGAUGGAAAUUGGUAAAUGCUCACAUAACUCUGCAGGAAUUUUUGGAAAUGAAAAUAACUAUUUAAGUUAGGUAGAGAAAUCACAGAAAUUUUCGUAGUUCAGGUAGAUUAUGAAGGAAAGUCUGCAAGUUUUACCUGUUCUUCUUAAUUAUGUUUAUCCGAGUCCUUCAUUUUGUACAUAUUUUCAUGUCUUUGUUAUUCAAAGUUUGAGCAUCCUAAUUUGUUUUUUCUCUAUUGCAAUCAAAUGGUCAGGGUUCAAUUCCAUUCAGCCCUUAUGCUAUGCCUUCUCCAAAUGGAAAUGCUGAUUGUGUUGUAAGUUACACAUUCUUUACCUCAACUAUUACUGCAUUUAGCAUCAAGAAUACUGAUUCCAAUAUAUUGCAUCUGUCAGGGAGCCACUGCUGGUGGGUCAGAAGUGGAUGAUAAGUCAUCUGAAGGUAAGGAAAGAAGUCCCCUCAAAAGCUCCAAAGGAAGUUUAGGUAGCUUGAGUAUGAUUACGGGAAAGAACAACAAUGAGAUGGGUAAAACAUCAGGGGCAUCAGCAAAUGGAGCCUUUUCUCAAAGGUUUGUAACAAGUAGGUAGUUUUUCAUAACAUUGGAUUAUUCAUUUGGCCUCCUAAAGAAUGCUGUUUUUGGCAUUUUGCAGUGGUGAAAGUGAAACUGAAAGUUCAAGUGAAGGAAGUGAUGCAAACUCUCAGAAUGUGAGCUCCAGUAGUAGUCCACUUUGCAUUAGUUAGACAAAUGCCAGAAAGGCCUACGCUAAUUUACCUUCAUCAUAUUGUUUUCUGAACGAGCGUCUUUUGAUGGUCUUGUGUUCUCUUUCCAUCCAUUUAUACUACUUUUUUAAUUCAAAGUGGUAAAUUUGAGUCUUAGAGAGAGCGUCAAAGAAUAAGGAAAGUAUUUUUUUUAUCUAGCUUUUGAAACAACUUGUCUACUCCCAGAGCAGCUAUCUAAAGAUAAAAUAGUUAUCACAAUGCUUCACUCGAAUCUGAUACGAUGUUUUAUAUCAUCUUUACUUCUUCAGGAUUCACAGGCAAAGACUAGUGGUGGACAAGAAUCUUUGGGAGGUAGUCAUGCUAGAACUCUCUAAUUGGUCAUGAAUAAAUAUCUAAGAUAAAAUAAAUGUAGCAAAUCUCCCUGAACUGUUGUGCUUUUACAGAUUGUCUUCCAAGAUUUAGCAGUUCAAUGAAAAAAAAAGAAAAGAAAAGAAAAGAAAAGAAAAGAAAACUGCUUAAGCAAUCUUCUCAUUUGGUCAACCACUUAACCCUUUUUCUGUCUAUUUUUCUUAACCGCCAUCAAUUAUGAGAAAUAAUUGACUUAUGCCACUAACCCAUAUAUGCAGUCAAAAGAAGAGAAUUAAGGCCAAAACAAGUGAAAGUUACAUCACAGUUAUGUGUUUGUGGUCGUUACAGAAAAUUGAGAUUAGUAGGGGUAGGUCGUUUAAGUAGCUAUAUAUAUAUAUAGAGAGAGAGAGAGAGAGAGAGAGAGAGAGAGAGAGAGAGAGUAGGGCUACUAUACUCUUAUGAGUGUAGAGCUCUUCGUACUCAUAAGUUGUUUUCGAUGAUGGAGCUUCCGAAUCGAUGAUCCACUCCAUUAAAUGUGAUCUAGAGUAUUUGAAACUUCUAGAAAAUAAAUUUCUUAAUUUUUCGAAAUCAUAAUAAAGUCCAUCAAGCAGGCAUAAAAUGAACGGUCAAAAUCGAACAACAUCCUAAAAAUGGAUGAUCGGAUCCUACAAUUUAAAAUUGGAGUUAUUAAUCUUUACCUAGGUAGUGAAUAGAAUUUUCUAUCAAAAAUUCAACCGAUUCUGAUUCUUUUACACCGUUAAACUAGCAAGUGUCCCAUACCGGCCGUUAAAAUUGUCAAUUUUGCGAAAUUUCGAUCGUAAGGUAAAUGAUGUCAAAAAAUUAUAAAAUUUGAUUUCUAGAAGUUUUAAAUGCUCUAAAUAACGUUUAACGGUAUGGAUCGUCGAUUCGGAAGUUCUAUCAUCGAAAACAACUUAUGAGUACGAGGGCGAUCGUACUCAUAAGAGUAUAGUAGCUGGACUCUCUCUCUCUCUCUCUCUCUUUCUAUAUAUAUAUAUAUAUAAAACUAGGCUAGAAUACUAUUAAUAGCAUCAAGCUAUUGGUGCUAUUAGUAUUUUAGCCCUUGGAUUGAAAAAGGUGUGGUUAGGAUGAUGUGGGCCCCCUAGGGUUGAGUGAGUGGCGGGUUGAAUAAUAUAAUCUAACGGGUAAAAAUAAUCACAGAAUUAAAUCUAACGGUAGAAAACUAGAUAGCACCAAAUCCUUGGUGCUAUCGAUAGUAUCCAGCCAGACUCUCUCUCUCUCGCUAUAUAUAUAUAUAUAUAGAGUGCGGCUAGGAUGCUUAUGGAAGCAUGGGAGGACUCCGUGUUUCCACUUUGUUUUCAAUGUUCGGACUUUCGAAUUGACGAUCGGCUCCGUUAGACUUGAUCUAGAGUAUUUGAAGUAUCUAGAAAAUAAAUUUUGCGAUUUUUCGAUAUCUUUUGCCUAGUGAUCGAAGUGACUCAAAAUCAACGGCUGAAAAUAAAAAUCUUACAAAAUAUGAUGAUAUGACAUUGAAAUUUUAGAUCAAAGUUAUUGAUCUUGUUUUAUAUGGUAUAAAGAAUAUUCUAUCAAAAUUUCAUGUGAUUUGGAUAUUUCUACACCGUUAAACUUGCAACCGGCUCACCACAGCCGUUAAAAUUAUUGAUUUUGAGCCCCUUCGAUCACUAGGCAAAUGAUAUCGAAAAAUCGCAAAAUUUAUUUUCUAGGUACUUCAAAUACUCUAGAUCAACUCUAACGGAGCCGAUCGUCGAUUCGAAAGUCCGAACAUCGAAAACGACUUGGAAGCACGGAGGCCUCCGUGCUUCCAUAAGCAUACCAGCACAACUCUAUAUAUAUAUAUAUAUAUAUAUAUAUAUAUAGCUAGACUGGUAUACUAUCGGUAGCACGGAGGCCUCCGUGCUACUAAGUUGUUUUCGAUGAUGCGGCUUCCAAAUCGACGAUCGGCUCCGUUAGACUUGAUCUACACUAUUAAAAGUAUUUGAAAACUAAAUUUCAUAAUUUUUCGACAUCAUUUGGCUAGUGAUCAAAAGGUCUCAAAAUUAACAAUUUUAAUGGUAGUUGUGAUGCAUUUGUGAAUUUAACGCGUAAAACAAUUCAAAUCUGAUAAAAUUUUUAUAGAAAAUUCUUUUCACUAUUUAGAGUAAGAUCAACACUUCUGAUCUUAAAUUCAAGUCUUUUAUCAUCAUUUUUUAUGAGAUUUUUAUUUUCAACCGUUCAUUUUUAGACUACUUGUUUGAUAUGUAAAUGAUGCCGAACAAUUAUGAAAUUUAGUUUCCAUACUUUCAAUAGUGUAUAUCAAGUCUAAUGGAGCCGAUCGUCGAUUUGGAAGCCGCAUCAUUGCAAACAACUUGGUAGCAUGGAGGCCUACGUGCUAUCGAUAGUAUACCAGCCUAGCUCUCUCUCUCUCUCUCUCUCUCUAUAUAUAUAUAUAUAUAUAUAUAUUGUAACUUCUGAAAAAUCAGGUAACCAUUUGUCAUAAGUAUAAUAGUUUAGGGUGGUCCAAGUUGUUGAAUAUCUUUCCUAAGCUUGUCUUUUAUGCACACAGUAGCGGAGGCCUCUCAGAGUGGCAAUGUCGCACAUGGUUCUCACAAUGGUAUAAGUCGCACGGCGUCACAAUCAAAGUUGAAUCCAGCGAUACCUGUCAUCCCUAUGCCAGCAAGCGGUGCAAUUGGAGGGGUUGUUGGCCCCACCACAAAUUUAAAUAUAGGAAUGGACUAUUGGAGCACUCCAAGCUCAUCAGCUAUUCCUGCAAUUCAUGGCAAGGUACCUUCCACAGCAAUCCCUGGAGCUUUGCUUCCAGCAGAGCAAUGGGUAUGGCUUCCUUCUUAGCCCCCAUUCUGGAAUUGCUUCUUCUUCUUCUUCUUCUUCUUCUUCUCUCUCGCUAUCUCUCUCUUUCUCACCGAACCAUUAUGGUGGCAUAGUUUUACCUGGAAUUAGUUUUGGCUUGCUUCUAUGCAAUUUUGUUGGUUUUUGUUCAAACUUUGGUGCAAAGCGGUAAUUGCCUAAUUGAUCUACUUUAUAUUUUUAGUUCUGGUUUGACUCUGUAGUAGAAACACUAUGGAACAGACUAAGAACAUUGUCUGGAAUAUCUGGACAAUAUAUUCUUGAUAUAAAGUGAAAAAUACUGAUCAUACUAGAUCUGGUUUCAUGUAAGUGAGAAAAUUAGAGGGAAAUAUAGAAGAGGAAAAGGGAAAAAAGAAGAGGAUGAGCAUACUAGUUAUUGCAGGGAGAUUUUUUGGCUGGACACUUCAAUAUGUUCCGGAGCAUCCAAGUCUAUCUAAUUUUGAUGUCGAAAAUCAGAAUGCAUGGCUUAUACUUUUGGUAUGUGCAUUACUAGACAAAGCUUCUAAGGUCCUAAACAGUUUUACCAGCAAUUUUUAUGUAAAUCAGGAUGAAAGAGAAUUAAAAAAGCAGAGACGCAAGCAGUCUAACAGGGAAUCUGCACGGAGAUCUAGGUUGCGCAAGCAGGUGAUAACUCGCAAUUAGUUUCUGAGUUCUCUUUGCCCACUGGUGAUUUUGCAGAAUUUCUGCUUGAUUAGGCUCUUUGAAGCAGCACCAGUAGUUUUUUCAUUAAAGCCUCUUCAGCAGCUUCUGCUGCAGCAUGAAUAGAAGCUUCAAAAUUAAGCUCCUGCUUUCGAGACCCAAAAGCUCGUAACUUUCCACACCAGAAAAAACUCUAGGCUUUUUGGAAGCCAAGCUUCUGGGUCUCUAAGCUGUUUCUUCCUAGUAUAGAAAAGUUGCUCUAGAGGCAAGGCCUGAUCGGCGCUUAGGUACUUCUAGUUAAUUUCCAACUGUUAAGGACUUGAACUAAUUACUGGUUGUUUUAUUUUCUUCAGGCUGAAUGUGAAGAGCUUGGUCAACGAGCCGAGUCUUUAAAGGAGGAAAAUGCUUCACUUAGAGCAGAAGUAAACCGGCUCAGGAAGGAGUACGAGGAUCUUCUUUCCCAGAACGCCUCUCUUAAGGUGGUGAACAUUAAUUUAGAGCUGUGUUGUUAGAACCAAACUGAACAUCAAAUCAUGGAGAUGAAUAUCUAAGGAUCAACCAUUGUAACCAUUGAUUCAAUGGUUGAAUCAACUGUUUUUAUAUAAAUCAAAAUAUGGUUCUCAUGUCUUAGAUCGUGUAGGUAAAUGUUUUACUAUUAGGGAAAGGAAGAUAUAAAUAUAUGAUUGAUUGUACAUUUAGGCCUUGUUUGGAAUGCAUUGAACAUCUGCUUUACUCCAAAAGCAUGUAGUAUUUGGUAGAUGAAGAAUGUGAUCAAAUGUCUUGAAUGGAUAUCAUAUUCGGCUUUCAAGUCAUUUUUUCGGAAUAACAUAAAUCACCUCCCAGGUGAAAUAUGCUAUCCUACCAAUCAUGGAUGUUAGGACAUUUGAAGGAGCAAAACUCAAACUCCUAGCUUCUAAUCACACAAGGAAAUCUUCAUACUGAAUAAAUUAUCUUUGAAUAUCUUAUUCUGACAUCCAAACAUGAUCUUAAAGUGGAUUGAAUAGUGAAGAACAAAUGAAUGAACUUUAGUUAUAACUCUACACUUUCAAUAUUUUAAAAGCAUAAAUAAAUAAUGAAAUAAUACAAAGUUUGUAAAGAAAACCAGUUCAACCAUGCUGGUUUUCACGGCUCACUUAGAAACUCUCUGUUCGAUAGUGGCUUGCGUAGUUUUUUUCCCCUAAUUUGUUUUUUUAUUCAACCAGACCAAGUUCACACAGGGAUUGCGGUUUGAAUGGUUCGACCAGCAGUUCGGUUCAGUUUGGUUCUGAUAACUUUUUUGGGUUUGUAGAUGAUGAUAUAUUUCAUGAAACAUAUAAUUGGUUUUCGACUUUGCAGGAAAAACUUGGUCAGUUGCAGCAAAAAGCUGAUGACCCAAGGCUUGACAAAAAGGAUCAAAAUUACAGCGAUGGAAAUGAGAAAAACCACACAGAUUUUAAUGCUAAACCGAACGAAGGGAAUCAAACAUAGUGUGCUCUCCCCAGUUGUAACAUGAUAAUUAGCAUUUUAUUUGUUGCAGUUGAUUGGUACCAGGUAGAUUUGAUGCCAGCACUGACCUUCCUAGGGCUGUUUCCUGCUAUAAUAUUUGUCUUGACUUAUCUUUUGACAGUCAAGAUUAAGCAGGAAAUGUAGAGUUGUGAGCGGAUACCCAGUCUUAACUUUCUUGUUUAGUUAUUACUAAUGAACAUCUUCGUCCCACUUUGUUUUUUUUUAACAGUUGGUGCUUUGUAUACUUGGACAGGCUUGUAAUUGGUAAUGUAAUAAUUGUGAUUUUCAGUAUUGAUGGUAGUGAUAUAUUGUGCUUGCUUUACUUGAUACAAAGAUAUAGUUGGUAUGACAACCUUUUUUGUUUUUGUUUAAAUCAUUGUAAGUGAACUUUGAAUAUACAGCUGAAAUACUUAAUGAAGAUCCUAAAUAUGCAUCAUCUAUCUUUAUAACUUGCUGCAAAUACCACUUUUUGUUCAUCUAUAUCUAGAUGUGCUUGAUAUUGAGUUUUCUUCCUAACUAAAAGAGUUUUUUGGGGAAAAUAACUUGCCUGUUUUCAAAUGAUAUAAAUGAUUGGCUUUAAUAAUUUGCUUUUCUCAAUGUUUAUCAACUGAUCUCUUAUUUCUUUAUUUACUAUGAAUUUGGUUGAGUCUCAGACAGGUGUUUACGGGGGGAGCAGUUUCCUUGGAGAUAUUGGCAUGUGUAGUUUCGUGGUAGACACUUCACUUCCCAGGUACAAGCAUUCUCAGACUUCUGUUUUAUAUGCAAAAAUAUAAUGCAUAGAUUUUUGAAAGCUCAUGCAUAUGUGGAAGAUUGACUCCAGAAAUUAUUGUGUUAGUUGUGCAAAGUUUAACUCACUCAGCUUAUAUGUAGAAAGAGAUGUGCAAGGCAAGAAUGCCUACCACGAAGUUUUUUGAAAGGAUCUGAGUCAGAAACUGUUUUAGUUAAUGAAGAUUUGAAUUCUUGAGAUUUAUUAUGCAUGAAUUGGAUGUACCUUGCUGCCAAAUUUUGUAAAUAAUGAUACUAUGCCUGAUUUAGACCUAGUGGGAAAGUCGGCGAGGUUGGCGGCCGAACCCACUGGAAACUUUGUUGUAGUUCUCACCCCACUAUUUCCACAGAGCCAGGACUGAGUGAGCCGGCUGACGAUCGCGGUAAAGGUAUCACGCCAUAGACAGACCACCCGAGCGGGUUCUAUUUUGUGUAGUUGCACACCCUUUUAUAUAUAUAUAUAUAUAUAUAUAUCAUCUUUUGUAUUUUGAUGAUUAGAGUUAUAUGAAUGAUGCAAAUAUAUUAAAGAUGUUAAAUGUAAAGGCCUAUUUUGGGGAAUAUGUGAUGUAAAAGAAAUGAUGAAAAGUAAAUGUAACAUGUGGUUGAAUGCAUGUAUGUGGUUAAAAGUUAAUCAUUGUACUUGUAUAUGGUUUAGUUUAGUACUUUCACUUUUGGUUAUUGCUUGCCCUCGUGCAAGCCAAGUAUAUUUAUGUUUCCGCUAGUGCAAAAAUAUCUACUUGAUUUGUACUUAUGUUGAGCCUUGGGCGAAUAGGGGAGGUGCUGUCCGUUCGGCGUUUGUUCGACGUGCCCAAACCAACCAAAUAAGACCGGUCUUGGGGCGUGACAGAUAUAAUGGUAUCAGAGCCUAAAAGUGAAAGUAUAGAAUGGAUCUAGAGACCCUAAGAAAUGGAAAACCUUAAGGAUCCAGGAAACGUGAGUGACGUGGGAUCAAAAUAUAGCGAAAGCUUGUGAUUGGGUUAAUGUUAGUAAGUCUCUAAUGUGGUUAGGGACUAAUUCAAGUUGAUAUUUGUUUUCUAUUCCUUAUGUUGUGAUCGUCGGCCGACGACAUAAUACUUUGGAAAGAAAAUAAAUACACUUGUUUGGUUUCGCUGGAUUGGGUAUGUUCGAGUAUGUUGGUUGAGUAACUAAUGUGAAUUGCUUUAUUUCAGGAAGCAAUGCCUCGUGGACAACCUUGAAUGAGGUCUACGCCUGAGGAAUCGAGUGUUGCUCCUACGCAACCCGGUCCUAUGCAAUCUGGAGCAAGUGGCGACGGGGAGCUUCGGGAGCAAAUGGCCGCGCUUAUUAGUGUAGUGCGACAGCAAGUGGAGUCCGUUCAGCGUCAAGGGGAGCAAAUCCAAAGGCUCCACGGCAGCAGGCGGCGGCGGCUCAAGUGGGGGCCGAGCAUCCUGCGCCCCCUGCAGUGGUGUCAAGUGCGGCCGAAGGAGUGGCGGUGGCGGCGGGGCCAGUCGCGGCUGUGCCAGUCACAGCGGUGCCGGCCGGAUCAGGAACCUCAAAUCCCGAUAGUGCUGCGGUAGAGGUGAAGCGGGAGUGUGCAUUUCCACCUUUCGUUAUGUUCAAGAAAUUCAACCCACCUACGUUUGACGGGGGAAAGGUGGAGCCGUCAAUAGUGGAGUCAUUGAUCGACUAGAUGGAGUCGCUCUUCCAGGACUUAUAUACCUUGGAGAAAGAUAAGGUGUACCUCGCUACUCAUUGUUUGGAGAAGGCGGCGAAGGUGUGGUGGAAGCGAGUAAAGCGGGAUCGGUCUUCCGAUCUUCCGCUUAUAUUGUGGGAGGAGUUCAAGAGGGCCAUGUUCGCGAACUACUUCCCCGACACGGUGAAGCGGAAGCUAUAAGAAAAAUUUCGCAAGCUAAGGCAAGGAGAUCGAUCGGUGGCGGAUUACGAGCAGGAGUUCUCCUAUAUCAUUGAUUGUGUCCCGGAGGUUGUUCGAGAUGAUCGGAAUCGGGCCGAUUGGUUCUUGCGAUGACUUAGGCCGUGGGUUUAUAGGGCCGUGCAACUGUUCAAGCUCACGACCUUUGCUGAGGUUUUUGAUCGAGCAUUGUGGACGGAGCAUGGCUAUACCCACUUGCGAGAGGAGCGCGAGUCCAUGGCCGAGUCGAGGGACAAAGGAAAGAAGCCGUCUGUAGGUGGUGGCGGGGGUCGGGCGAAUUCUAAGAAGCCCUCCCGUUAUUCACAGCAGCAGUCAAGGAGUUAGGGGCCGACUCGGUGUGUUGUUUGUGGCGGUGAUCAUCGACCACCGAGUUGCCCACAACGCGAAGGAAAGUGCUAUAAGUGUGGCCAAGCAGGGCAUGUUGCUCGAGAUUGCCAGAGAUGGGCACCAUCUGCACCGACGGCGGCAUUAGUUCUGUCUACCCCAAGACAACUUGUGGGGUUACCACCGGCUAUGUCGGCUAAACGUUCAUCAACACUGCGUCAGCUGGAGGGAUCUAGAGCACCGAGUGGACGAGUUUUCUCCACUCAGGUGGAGGAGCAACCUGUAGUUCUUGACGAUGUCGUGACAGAUAUUAUUUUGAUCAAUGGCAUUAGAGCUAGAGUUUUAUUCGACACAGGUACAUCGCAUUCAUUUAUUGGUGCAUCAUUUGCAAAAACUCAUGACAUAGAGAUCAUAUAUAAUUCGGAUUAUUGGUGGGUUAAUACACCAGAGCAUUCAUUUAGGGUGCAUGAGGAGUGCUUGGCUUGCCCAGUUAAGAUAGGCGAUUGGAUUAUGCCAAUAGAUUUGUUGGUGUUAAACCAAAUGUGGGAAUUUGAUGUAAUCCUAGGGAUCAAUUGGCUCUCCAAGUAUUAUGCGGUUAUCGAUUGUGAAAAUAAGGUGAUCACAUUUCGUGAGCCUAACCAAGAGGAGAUGGUAUACCGUGCAUGCAAAAGCUCGCGCUUCGCGGCGACUAUAUCGGCGGCGAGGGCGAGGAAAAUGAUCAAAGGUGGGUGUGUGGCCUAUUUGGCGACAAUGGUAGAAGCUCAAAGGGAGCACCCGGAAUUUGGUGAUAUUCGGGUAACGUGUGAGUUUCCGGACGUAUUUUCGACGGAGUUACCGGGAUUGCCACCGGACCGGGAGAUCGAAUUCGUUAUUGAUUUGAUUUCCGGGGCGGCGCCAAUUUCGAAAGCUACGUAUAGGAUGGCACCGGCGGAGCUAAAUAGCUAAAAGUACAGUUGCAAGACUUGCUCGAUAAAGGAUUUGUGAGGCCAAGCGUAUCGCCGUGGAGAGCUCCGGUGCUAUUUGUAAAGAAAAAGGAUGGCACAUUUCGGCUCUGCGUGGAUUAUCGUGAGUUAAACAAAGUGACAAUCAAGAAUAAGUAUCCAUUGUCGCGGAGUGAUGAUUUAUUCGAUCAGUUGCAAGGGUCACGGGUAUACUUAAAGAUAGAUCUUCAGUUGGGGUAUCAUCAGUUGAAGAUCCGACCAAAAGAUAUGCGCAAAACGGCAUACCGUACGCGGUAUGGCUAUUAUGAGUUCACGGUAAUGCCGUUUGGACUUACUAAUGCCCCGACAACAUUUUUAGACUUAAUGAAUCGAGUCUUUCGACUGUUGAUGGACCGAUGCGUCGUGGUGUUUAUUGACGACAUGUUUGUUUAUUCACGGAGCGAGGAGGAAUACAAGGAACAUUUGAGAGCCGUGUUACAAAUACUCCGAGAAGAGAAGCUAUAUGUAAAGUUAAAAAAGUGCGAAUUUUGACUUUCGGAGGUUACCUUCCUAGGCCACGUGAUAUCGGGUGAUGGCAUCUCGGUGGAUCCAAAGAAAGUGGAGGUAAUUAAAAAUUAGCCUCGCUCGACAAGUGUAGCGGAGCUCCGCAGUUUUCUUGGACUCGCGGGAUACUACCGGCGGUUCGUGGAGGGGUUUGCAAAAAUAAUUACUCCACUAACGCGCCUUACAUACAAAGGAGUGAAGUAUGUUUGGAGUGAUGAUUGCAAUCGGAGCUUCAAGGAAUUAAAGGGAAGGUUGACGUCGACCCCAGUGCUUGCUCUACCAACUCCUGAGGAGACCUUUGUUGUGUAUAGUGAUGCUUCAUAUAUUGGUCUCGGGUGUGUCUUAAUGCAAAAUGAGCGAGUCAUAGCUUAUGCUUCGUGCCAGUUGAAGAAUUAUGAAAAGAACUAUCCGAUACACAACUUUAAGCUAGCCGCGGUGAUAUUCGCGCUAAAGUUGUGGAGGUAUUACUUGUGCGGUGAGCAAUUUGAGAUUUUUACGGACCAUAAGAGUUUUAAAUACUUGUUCAGCGAAAAAGAAUUGAAUAUGCGACAGCGAUGGUGGUUAGAGUUGCUAAAGGAUUAUGAUGUUAUUAUUUUAUACUAUCCCGGGCAAGGUUUAAAGUGCCGUGGCACGGGGGCGUGCCGUUAUAUCCCUGGCACGGUACGGCAUAGGCACGCUUGCGUGCCGACACGUGGCAUGCUUGCUUGCUGAUAGAUACGCAUGAUCUCCUACUGGCACGCUUUGACACAAACUUACUUAAGUUUUUUUAGUUCCAAUAAACUCUUAUAAUGUUAUUUUGAAAGAUUUAAAUAAAUAAUUAUGAAUAUUUAUUAUGUAUACUUUACUAUACUCAUCAAUUAAUAUGCAUGUAAGCUUUUUGUAAGUAAAAUAUGACUAUACUUGAUGUAGAAUAGAAAUUAAAAUACAAUAAUAAAAUCCACAAGUAUAAUAAUUAUUUAAAUUUAUAUCUUUACACAGAGAUGACUGUUUAAUUCAAUAUAGAUCGUCGCGCUUGAUCAUAUGGCAUAUUAUCAUCUGCAGAUACAAAAUUUAUUUUGAAAAUGUUGAUAUAAGUAUUGCUGGUAUUUAUGAGAAAGUUAUAUAUUCCCGAUAUUACACCCAUAUUUUUUUAUUUUGUUAUUCUUUUUAAAAAUAUCUAAUCAAAAUUUGUUUAGGAGAUCGAUUUUUAUUAUCUUGAUUCACCGAAAACUUCGCGGUGUGACAAUUUUUGACAAAAUAUUUUGCGAAGAAAAAAUGGAUGUCCGUGGUGGGCUACGGGCUCGGGCCGCGCGGUAUGGAUCAGAUAUGUCAAUUAAAAAUUUGCUCAUAUAUUGAUAAAUAAAAAGUUAAAAAAAGGCAUCCGCGAAAAAGCAAAACAAAAGUUAAAAAAAAGAUAACAAAGUGAAAAAAAAAAAAUAAUAUAGAUGGCCCGGCCGGAGCUCGAUACUCCAGAAAACAAAAGAAAAAAGAAAAAACCAAAAAAAAGGCAAAAAAAAAAGAAGAAAAAAGCACGGCACGGCACGGCACAGUGCCGCGACACCCUUGCGCAUGCCGCUUUGUCUCGAGCGACACGCGAGGGGUGCCGCGGCACACAGGGGGGGUCCGAGACCCCCCCUAUACCGUGCCCCUUUCUUAGGGGCACGGUACGUGCCGCACUGGCACGGUGCGGCACGGACGAGAUUUGAAACCUUGGUCCCGGGAAAGCAAAUGUCGUGGCCGAUACUUUAAGUAGAAAAUCGGUGGAAAACUUGGCUUCGGCAAUCACACCCCAGCCGUUAUUGCAAAAAGAGAUGCAACAGCUUGGUCUUGAAGUAGUAGCUCCGGGAGUGCCGACUACUCUUGCCCAUUGGUGGUGUAACCGACCUUAUUGGAGAAGAUAAAAGAGCUGCAAGCUUUCAAUGAAUAUCUCCAAAAGGUGCGCGGUGAAGUUGAAAGCGGUAAUGCCGAUGAUUUUGGCAUUGGGACCGAUGACACACUUCGAUUUAGAAAUCGUUUGUGUGUGCCUAAGGACGAGAAAAUUCGAAAGGCGAUUAUGCAGGAAGCGCAUUAAUCUCCCUAUAGCAUACACCCGGGCGGCACCAAGAUGUAUCAAGACUUGAAAAUACACUAUUGUUGGCCGAGCAUGAAGAAAGACAUUGGAGAGUUUGUGGCGCAAUGUCUCAUGUGCCAACAAAUAAAGGCGGAGCGCCGGUUUUCGGCCGAAAAAUUACAAAGUUUAUCUAUACCCGUUUGGAAAUGAAAAGAUAUUGCAAUGGAUUUUGUGACCGGUUUGCCUCGAUCUCAAGGCGGACACGAUGCAAUUUGAGUAAUUGUGGACCGGUUGACGAAGUCGGCUCAUUUCUUGCCGAUUCAUACUACGUGGUCGGGAGACAAGUUAGCUCAAAUAUAUCUCGAUGAGAUUGUGAGACUUCAUGGGGUUCCAGUGUCAAUUGUAUCGGAUCGAGACCUUAGGUUCACAUCCUAUUUUUGGAAGAGCUUGCAAGAUGUUGUGGGCACACGGCUCGAAUUUAGCACGGCAUUUCAUUCUCAAAGUGAUGGUCAAUCGGAGAGGACAAUAUAAAUUCUUGAAAAUAUUCUUCGGGCGUGUGUACUCGACUAUAAGGGCGGAUGGCAUGAUCAUAUACCGAUGGCGGAGUUCGCGUACAAUAAUAGUUACCAAGAGAGUAUCGUGAUGGCGUCAUUUGAGACCUUUUAUAGAAAGAAAUGUCGUUCUCCUAUACAUUGGAGCGAUGUGGGCGAGAGAGUUGCUCUUGGCUCCGAUGUGGUGCUGGAGACGGAGGAGAAGGUUCGCCUUGCCCGCCAACGGCUUGCGACGGCGCAAUUUCGGUAAAAAAGUUAUGCCGAUAAGCGUAGAAAAUUAUAGAGUUUGCGGUUGGAGACCGCAUAUUUUUGAAAGUAUUGCCAAUGCGAUAAGUAAAACGGUUUGGAGUCCGUGGGAAGUUAAGUCCCCGAUAUGUUGGACCGUAUGAGAUAUUGGAACUUGUCGGUACGGUGGCUUACAAGCUAGCAUUACCACCGAGGCUUGCGGGAGUGCACAAUGUGUUUCAUGUGUCGAAUCUCCGCAAGUAUGUUUAUGACCCCGAGCAUAUUCUCUCGUAUAAACCGUUUGAGUUUCAAGAGGAUAUGACUUAUGAGGAGUUCUCGGUAUAUAUCGUUGCUCGAGAUGUGAGAACUACGGAACCACGAAAUUCCGUAUGUUAAAGUCUAUUGGAGCAACCACGUCGAUCGGGAAGAUAUUUGGAAACUUGAGGACGCGAUGAGAGAGCGUCAUCCUCAUCUCUUUGAAGAACUGAAUUGAGGUAUAGAAUUAGAUUUCGAUUAAGUUAAUUUUGCGGACGAAACUAAUAUUAAGGGGUGGAGAAUGUAACAUACCGAAACCUCGGUAGCCUAUAUCGAACUUUAGUCGAAUUGAUUAAAGUGUGCGAAAGAGAUAGUUGGACAAAUUCUAUUUAACAUUCCAACAAUGUUGGAAGGGUUAAAGUUGAGUUCUAAAGGAGUUAGAAAGGUUUUAGUAUUGCUCGGCGCGAAUUGGAAUGCGAGAUUGAAAAUCUGGAGCUUUUGUUACCGGUAAUGCAUUAACCUUGUACCGGCACCGGGCAUCAAACCGAGAGAAACAACUCUCGGAUUUGAGAAAAAAAGGCUGUUGAACUGGUGACAAAAUCGGCUUGUACCGAUACCAGACUGCUGGCCGAGAGAAGCAGCUCUUGGGAUAGCCUCUGCAUAAUCAUGUAACCGGUAACAAACCAAACCAUCUUGUACUAGUACCAAGUAUGCUUCGCAACAGAUUUUAGUCUGCUGCAAAUAUGAAGUUUUGGGGAGCCUAGCUGCUAUUGUAGCAACCUAUAUAUGACCCCACACCCCUCCCUUCUCUCUUCACAGCUGAGAACCCAUCUCCAUCUCAUUUCUUUCCCCCUCUCUCUCUAGAAACUCUCUCCAAGGCUAAGGAGGAGUUCAAGAGGUAGAUUUUGGGAGGAGAUUUGGAACUUUUGAAGGUUUAGAUCUCUCCUGCAAUGUGGAUAUUGGAGAGCUAGUGGGCUAAGGUGAGUUUUUAUGCAAGAAUGAUGUUAGGCUUUGGUUUUAUACCCUAAAUUUUUGAGUUUUGAUCUUCUUGCAAGACUAGAAACCUAGUAGAGGCCAUGAACACAUGAAAAUCCAUGGUUUCUUCAUGAGCUCUCAUGGUGGAUUUUUAGAGUUCAUGUUAGAUGCCCUAGAAUUUGAAUGGCCUAGAAAUGAUUUUAGAGAAGUUCUUAGAUGGUUUUAAGCUAGUUUUUGCUUAGCUCUAAAAUCAAUCUAAGGAAUAUUGCAAAAUGACAUUGUUAGGGCACCAAAAUUGGGGCUUUUGCGUUAGAGUGGUUUAAAGGCAAAUUGACUUUAUAGAAAUGAAAUUGGGAGUAUUGCUAAGUAGAAUAUGAAUUCGAUUCGGUGAUCCGACGAGUCUACGCAAAGUUAUGAGCAAAAAGCCUAAUUCGGUUUCGUUUUGCCGCAAGCGAGAGAAUAGGAGCCCAAAAAUUUCAAGAUUUGAACCGUAGCACCCUUACAACCAUACAAGGUGGGUGGUGCCUUCCGAAAUUAUUGAAUUUUCUUUUAUAUUUAAAGUGUUAUUUUUGAGCAUAUGUAUGUAUAAUUUGUUCAUGCAUUGUAGGGUGAGUAGAAUGUGUAUGAUUGCAUGCUUUGAGCAUAAAAUGCAUUUGAGAUAUUAUGAGCUAUUGAAUAUAUGUGAAACUCUAUGUAUGCAUGAAUAGUGACAAAGAUAUAGAUGAGAUAAAGAACUAAAUGACAUUAUGAUAUAUGAAUUGGGUGGCAUUAGUAAAUGACAAGAAUGCAUGAGAAUGAGUUAAAAAAUACUUAGUGUGUGUGGCAUUAAGGAAUGCAUGUGAAUGAGUAUAAAGAACAAGUAGUGUAAGUGACACUAACGAAAGUUAAAGAAUGCAGGUAAAAAUGAAAUAGUUAAUAGUAUGACAUAACAACUUUAAAGUUAAGGGUCAUAUGAGCAUAACAUCUUCAUAGUGAAGGAUUGAAUUGAAUUUGGUAUCCUUAAAGUUAAGAAUUGAUCAUACUCACUUAUAAGUCUUAGUUCGGAGGGUGGUAACUCUCCCUCGAGCGAUGAGCUCCGGAAUAUUCAUCAUUGGGUUGUAGCGAGUAUCUCCCCAGAGGACGGUCCCGUCGGGUUGUAGCGAGUAUCUCCCCGAUACUAAGGAUUUGGGUUGGUGAGUGGUUGGUUGAGACAAAACCUACGAGUUAGCCAAAAGUACCGAGAAUUGGAAUACUUGAUGGUUGAGGUGAAACCUACAGGUUAGCCAAAAGUAUCGAAAAUUAGAAAGUAAUCCUUGCAUUCAUCAUGAGCAUUCUAUUUGAGUAUAAUCAUUGAUUAUAGCUUGUUCAGGUAUAUUAACUGCACUUGUUUAGUUGGUUACUAUCUAUUCUUUUUUUUACUAUACCUGAUUUAGACCUAGUAGAAAAGUCGGCGAGGUCGGCGGCCGAACCCAUUAGGAAUUUUGUUGUAGUUCUCACACCCUCCUUUUUCCCACAGAGCCGAGACCGAGUGAGUCGGCCGACGAUCGCGGUAAAGGUAUCGCGCCAUAGAUAGAGACCACCGGAGCGGGUUCUAUUUUGUGUGGUUGCACACCCUUUUAUCUAUAUAUCAUCUUUUGUAUUUUGAUGAUUAGAGUUAUAUGAAUGAUGCAAAUGUAUUAAAGAUGUUAAAUGUAAAGGCCUAUUUUGGGGAAUAUGUGAUGUAAAAGAAAUAAUGAAAAGUAAAUGUAACUUUUGGUUGAAUGCAUGUAUGUGGUUAAAAGUUAAUCAUUGUACUUAUAUAUGGUUUAGUUUAGUACUUUCACUUUUGGCUAUUGCUUGCCCUCGUGCAAGCCAAGUAUAUUUAUGUUUCCGCUUGUGCAAAAAUAUCUACUUGAUUUGUACUUAUGUUGAGCCUUGGGCGGAUAGGGGAGGUGCUGUCCAUUCGGUGUUUGUUUGACGUGCCCGAACCGACCAAAUAAGACCGGUCUCGAGGCGUGACAGUCAACGACCCUCCAGAAAACCUCAAAAGGCUCAGAACACUAAUCAAACACUUGAACCUUGCAAUUUGCUAAAGUCCAGUGUGUUACAAGAAAGGCAUAUAUACAUAAUAAAAUAAGUUUUUGAAUGACUAAAGAAAAUUUCAGAGGGAUGUAUAUGUAAUAUACGAGUUCCUAGGGGCAUAUACGUGAAUAUCUCUAACAAACAUUUCAUUACCACCUGAAGCAAACGAAGCAACUUUCUCAUGAAAUUUGUGGAGUAAAAGUUUCCACCUCUGAUCAGGACUAUGACAUUCCUUCUUGUAAGAAAAUUUUUAAAAUAAUAUAUUUUGUUCUUUGAUUUUUAGUGGAUGGAUGCGAUCCUCUAUAAAUGGAUGCAACCCUUAGUGAGAGGAUGCAACUCUAAUCAAAGGGUGUGACUCUUAGAGUGAAUGUGAAAGAAUGUGACUUUUAGUGAAAGGAUAUGACAUGAAAAGACACAUCUUUAUAGUGUCUUUUCGAGCAUAUGUCCGUUAAAAUUAAUUCUUACAUUCAUUGAACUUGAUUCAUACAACUAUGGUCAAAUAAAAAGUCACAAUUGAAAGAUCACUUCACAAAACACCCGUUUAUGAAUAGUCACUUCAUGAAGCACCCGUUCGUUGUCUAUAUAAGUCCACAACGUUGGUUGCAGAAACAUGAAAUGAAACAGCUGAAGUGUUUAAGUCCCAUUCAUAAUAAUUCCAUUCUUGUUUCAUUAUUCUAUUUCUUUUGACAAUUUAAUCAAGUGAGUGCUCAAAGGCUCGACUUCGUGUGUGCAAACGUAGUUGAGAUUCAUGCUUCAUUGUAUCCUGGGAGGCUAUUUAUUGACCCUAUGCAUACUAAAUGUAUCCUGGGAGGCUAUUUAUUGACCCUAUGCAUACUAAAUUGAUUGAACGGUGGGGACGGAUUAAGGCUUAAGGAAAGUGGCAUUGCUACACACCUUGAAGCCUUUUCAUCUUUCCACUUCAUACCUUUUACACUAUCUGUUCCAACAAUCUUAAAGCUUAAAUCCGAAAAUGUCGACUGCUACUCUACGAGAGAUGGCAAAAAUUUUAUGAGACUAGAAAGAUUUGAUGGUAUGGGCUUUAGGCGCUGGCAGAAGAAAUUAUUUUUCCUUCUGUCAACUCUCAAUGUUGCUUAUGUCCUCACUACUCCAAGACCAGAAGAAAACAAUGAUGAACCUAUUGUACAAACUCGUACAAGACAAAAAUGGGAUGAAGAUGACAAUAUAUGCCGAGACAACAUUCUAGAUGCUAUUGCUAGAUGUCAUAAGUAAAAAGUUUUUUGUUAGCAAAUUUAAUAACUAUAAAAUUGUUGAUAGUAGAUUUGUUCUUGUGACGCGUCAACUUCCCAGGGGGUUACCCAUCCUAGAACUACUCUCGUCCUAGCACGCUUAACUCUCUUAACCUCUUGGGCCUAGCCACCACCCAAAAUGCUUAAGCCGGGUUAAGAGUUUAGCCCUAUUAUAUCUCAUAUAUAGCACUAUCUGGGGUCUCACAAUCUCCCCCCCUCUCCCCCUCCCCCCUCCCGCCUUAAGCCCUGACGUUCUCGUUAGGCUCAGACUCACAAGUAUCAGGCGAUGUGAGACUCGUCUCGCCAGCCUAAACCGACCUUGUAGUGAGCUGCAAUUCACCCACAACAGUCAACAACAUAAGAGUCUCGCUCUCCCCACUGUAUAAUCCUAGCUCAGCUGAAACUCACCUUAUACUUCUGGCUGGUAAUUGUCUCUGAUACCAACUGUGACGCCCCAACUUCCAAGGGGGUCACCCAUCCUCGGACUAUUCCCAUCCUAGUAUGCUUAACUCUCUUAACCUCUUGGGCCUAGCCACAACCCAAAAUACUUAAGUCAGGUUAAGAGUUUUAGUCCUAUUAUAUCUCAUAUAUAGGACUAUCUGGGGUCUCACAGUUCUUGAUCAAUUAUAUGAAAUUCAAUAUAUUCUCAAUCAAUUUACUUAACAUAAUAUGAAUAUGGAUGAAUCUAUAAUUGUGGCCUUUAUUAUAGAUAAACUUUCUCUAUCAUGGAAAGACUUUAAGAAAAGUCUUAAGCAUAAAAAGAAUACUCUUAAAGAUUUGGUUAACCAUCUUCGUAUAGAAGAAGAAUAUCGUUUGCAAUAUGGCAAAAAAGAGCAAGAUGCAUAGAGUGCCAAAAUGUAUGUGAUGGAAGAUGGGUAUAAUAAAACCUGUCAACCCACAAAAGAAAAUUGAAAGAGAGCCAAGCAUCCAAUCAACCACAAUACGACAAAUAAGAAAAAGACAGAUGCAUGCUUUCAUUGUGGUAAACCGGGUUACUACAAAAAAGAAAAAAAAAUUUGUUACAUUUAUUGAUGAUUUUUCUAGAUAUAGUUAUGUUUAUCUUUUGCAUUCUAAAAAUGAAGCGCUAGAUAAAUUUAGAAUUUAUAAAUCUGAAGUUGAGGAUAAAUAUGAAAUUGAGGUGAGAUGUGAGAAAAUGUUCAAAUGCCUAAGGCCAGACAGAGGAGGAGAAUAUUAUGAUCCUUUAUUUUUUGAGUCCAUUGGUAUUAUAUAUGAAACCUCUGCACCUUAUAUUCCACAACAAAACGGAGUUACAGAAAGAAAAAAUAGAAUAUUAAUGGAAAUGGUUAAUGCUAUGCUUUCUAACUUUGGGUUAAGUUAUGAAUUUUGGAGCGAAGCUUUAUUAACUGCUUGUCAUUUACUAAAUAGAAUCCCAACAAAGAAGAAUAAUAAAACUCCUUAUGAAUUAUUUAAGGGAAGAAAGCUCAAUUUAAAUUAUUUAAAAGUUUGGGGUUGUUGAGCUAUUGUGAGGGUUUCAAAACCGAAAAGAAAGAAACUGGAUGAAAGAGGAAUUAAGUGCAUAUUUAUUGGGUAUGCACAACAUAGUAAAGCAUACAGAUUUUACGUGAUUAAAUCUAAUGACUUCAUCGAGAUCAACAUAGUUUUUAAGUCUAGAUAUGCUAUAUUUGAUGAAAACAGAUUUGUUUCAAUUCUUAGACCCAUAGAACUUAUUCUGCGUAAAGAACACUCCAAUAAGAGAAAUAAUGUUGCAAUUGAAACCCCAGAACUUAGAACUACAUAGUAUAUGAUCUAUAACAUGCUACUAUGCCUCGAUAAUCAAAUCUCAUCUCGGCUAACCCGAAGGUUACUACCGACUCAUCUCUAACCCGAAAGUUACUGCCCAAGGCCAACCCGAAGGUUGCUACCCCGACUCACAUCUCAAAUCUCGCUAGUGGGGAGACUCUGCGCUACACUCACCCGAGACCCGUCUGCGGGACAACUAUGUCUGUCCCAACGCGACUAUUACUCUGGAGCUCACUACUUGGGUGGAGCGAGCACGCAAAGGUUACACAGACUAUGUGAGUAUGAUCCAAUCCCCUCACUGGAGGAUACCCUGUCUUGCACUAAUUUUAAAUGCACAAUGUCCACAACACGAUAAUCGGGAGAUCUACUAUCCCUAGGUUCAAAUGCCAUAGUGUUCUACUACACUAGAUUUGAUGCCACUCAUUAUGUCAUGAUGUUGUAAGUGUCUCACUACACUAAGUCGAUAUGCCACUCGUUCAUGUUAUAGUGUCUCUAUUACACUAGUCCAAAUGCCACUCAUCUAGGCCAUAUACAUGUCCAAGUUCAUCUCUUUAUGCCACUAUAGGAUUCAUGUCACAAGACCCAAUCCUCAUGCAACCUAAGUUUAAGUGUCAAGCACACAAUGCCACACUAUAUAGGAAACAUGCAAGGAAGUGGAAAUGUACUCAUCUACUAAUACUAUAAUGUACAAUGUCAAUACAUGAGUAUGAUCAAUAUAGAACUUAGACAUAAAAGGAAGCCCAGUUGCUUCGGGAUGGACACCCCCCACCUUCUGGUGAUUACACGAAGCUAGGUGAUUACACGAAGCUAGGUUCCAACUUUCGUAAUUUUCCGCCGCCAAUCUCUCUCGACUGCGGCAAUCAAAGCCAAAAACAGGCUUUUCUUUAAUAUUUUCGCGCCCACUCGUCGGAUCGCCGAACUGAGUUCACCAAUGCGUUCGAUUACCUAGCAGAUAGGUAUAAAAGAGAUCAAUCCCUACUUUAGAUCUCUACUUUACCAAAUCCCCUUUUCUAACCCUAGAUGCUUAACUUUGCGAGAAAACCCCACACGAAGUCCCGAUUCAAGCAAAUAACAUCUAAUUAGCAUCAAAGGGUUCUACUAAAACCAUUUCUAGAGUAUAAGAAGCUAACCCUAGAAAUAUACCAUUAAAGCUUCAAGAGCUUACCUCUCCACAACUCUCCCAGCCAAGAAAGAAGACGAAGAAGACGAAUAUCGACUUUCUUGCUUCAAUCUCCACCAAUCCCUUCUUUUUGAUCAACCCUUUUGAGAGCUUCUAGAGAGAGAGAGAAAGAAAAAUGAGAUGAAGAGGUGUGACGCCCCAACUUCCCAGGGGGUCACCCAUCCUAGGACUACUCCCGUCCUAGCACGCUUAACUCUCUUAACCUCUUGGGUCUAGCCACCACCCAAAAUGCUUAAGCCGGGUUAAGAGUUUAGCCCUAUUAUAUCUCAUAUAUAGGACUAUCUGGGGUCUCACAAGAGGUGUUCUUUGGCUGUGAAUACAAGAGAGGGAGAUGGGAUCUAUUUGUAGGCUACCAUAAUUGCAUAAAAGCCCCUCAACAAUUGCUAUUUGCAACAUACUGCAUUCUGCAGUUUUCUGCACUUAGUACCGGUACAUGUGACUUUUGUUACCGGUUUAAUGAUUAUGCAACGGCCAACCCGAGAGCUACUACUCUCGGUUUGUUACGGGGUACCGGUACCACCCUGAUGCUGUACCGGUACGCAGUGUCCAGACUGCAGUUUAACACUUGUUCAGCUUUUACUUCGCCCCGAACAAAGAUAAAACUCAAUCAUCUCCUUUAGAACUCAACUUUGACCCUUCCAACAUUAUUGGAAUAUCAAUUGGAGCACGUCCAAGCAUCUCUCUCACCACGCUUUGGUCCUUUUGCCCAAAAGUAGUUUAAUAGGGCGGGGAAUCAAUAUCUUACAUCCUCCCUUCCUUAACAAGAGUUUCGUCUUUGAAAAUCAACUCACAACUCAACUAGACUUAUCGAGCAACUGAGGGUACCAAUGCACCUUCCUACUCCGGAGUGGCCUUUCACUCAUUGGGACUGUUCAAAGGCCCACUACGGAGGACGUGAGACCAAACUCUCUCAUAUUUGCUAAGCACAACACCGAAAGUGCAUUACGGCUCCGCAAGUAUCGGGGGUAGCGUAAGUCGACGCUCGACGACUCUACACGCUCCAACACCACUCGCUACCGAAUUAAGGGAAUGCACUCCGAUUUGAUUACCGGCAUUGCUUAAAAACAAUAUCGUUGGUGACUCGACUAAUCUUGACUGUAAUAUACCGAAACUUCGGUAUAGAUUAUCGAACUUUAGUCAAAUUGACCAAAGUGCGAAAUUGGGAUGCUUCGGGAAGGCCGAAUGCAUCAAAAUUGCAUAAAGUGCAUUGUAGAAGGUCUCGGAGAGCAAAAGAAUGAAAUUCUGCAAAACGGCACCUUUUAUGCUCUCGGCAACCGGUCCCUAGUGGGAGGGACCGAACCCUGUACGCGUGAGAAAUGCAAACUGCCUGACUGCACAAAGUCAUGCUCUCGGGGACCGGUCCCUCAGUGGGAGACAGGACCCUGGCUGCGAAAGUUGCAGAAUGGUGCUCUCGAGGACCGGUCUCUACUAGAGAGGCCGGUCCCCGUGCCCGAAAAGUGCCCAGUCUGGGCAACGCAUUAAGGUUAAAGUUGAGGGGUCUAAAUGCAUUUAUGCAGGGUGUGGGGUAUGUAUGAGGGGGUAUGAGUGUCACGCCCCGCGACCGCUACCAAUUUGGCUCGGCCUGGGCGCGUCGAACAGACGCCGGACGGACAGCACCUCCCCUGUCCGCCCAAGGCUAACAACGAGAUUGUGUACAACAAGUUCCCAGGAAAAUAACUUGAAUACAUACACAAUCGAUAACUACAACGAGAGCACAAUCAGUGAAAACAACCAAGAGCAAGAUACAAAUAUAGAACAUACAAGUAAUGAUAAAGAGAGGAACAUCUAUCUAUUACAUUCAUUCAGCCUUUAUAAUACAACUUGAUUAUACAUUAAGCUUCUAAAAAUAAUAUAGAGCUUACAUCUUCCAAAAUAUAAACAUUAGCUUACAUUCAUUCCAGAAUAUCUCACAUCCUAUACAUCAUCUACUCUCAAAGCAUAUAAAGGUAACUCUAAUGCAGAAAUAGGAAAGUAAACUAAUGCAACUAGGGCGCUAGGCCCUUACCGCGAUCCUCGCCGUGUGAACUCGCGCUCGGCCCUGUAGUAAAAUGGGGGUGAGAACUAACUUCCUUAGUUCCCAGUGGGUUCGGCCGCCGACUCCGCCGAUCUCCCCACUAGGUCCAAGUUGGGCACAAGUAGAUAAUCGAUAGAUAGAUAGAUAAGGAAAGCGGUAAAUGACAGAAGUAAAGCUACGCUACUAUGCCCAAUCAUAAAUAUAUGAAUGCAUGUACAAUGAAAUGGAUAAACAACAAUCCCAUUAUCAUGUCCAAAGGUAAAGCUAUUUACUCGUUCAUCAAUCUCAUCUACUUGUUUCUUAAUCUCGUGGCUUCCCUGAAGGAGCCUACUGCUCACUAGCCAUCUCGAAGGUAGGGAGAGUCAACUCGCACUACGAACCGAGACCGUCUGGCGGGGCCUAAAAUAGGCAAUCCCUUGGGACCCAAAAUAGGCGAUCCCACGUGACCAACUCCGGAGCGCACUACUUGUGUGGGGCUUCCAUCACAAGAUUUAAAAACAGACCGUGAGCAUGAUCCAAUCCUCAUCUCGAGAAUACCCUAUCCUCUAGGGUUACAACCAUCAUAUAGUCCAUAGGUUUCAUAUACACUAUGACUCACAUAUGUCACUUGUUCUUUAUAAGUUUCCAAUGCAAUAGCCAAUACAUUACUAAAUUCCCAUCCACACUUAUCAUCUUAUUAUAGGGUUCCACAUCACAUAUAUAAACCUCAAGCAUGCUAGAUAUAAGUACUAAGCCAAAUACAUUAUUCUACCAAAGAACAUGCCAGGUAUAGGACCAAACCAUCAUUUAUCACCCUAUAAUGCAAGAUGUCAAUAUGCAAUUUGAUCAAUAUAAAACUUAGACAUAAAAGGGAGCCCGGUUGCUUCGGGAUGGACACCACCCACCUUUUAUAGCGUUCCGAUUGCUCGUCGACACUUGCAAUCGGCCUCCCGCGGCACCCGGCACCCGGUUUGGCCCGAUCUCUCGCGCGACCAUCCGAACGGCCUCCAAUUCACGAUCCGAAAAUUAAAGGUCUUCGGUUAUGUGCCACGAUGUUUCAAAUCCAUUUUCAUGAGUAUACAAUGUCGCCUCGGCCCUCCAGGCGGAAAC
rnacentral:lncRNA from 1 species